GUGCUUCAGCGACACCAACUGUCCGAACAUCUGCAUGGCCGAGGGCUUCACCGGCAGAAAGUGCGUGGUUCCGAUCGAUGGAUGUGACGAUUGUUGUGCAUUUCAGUGAAUGGAUCACGGUCUAUAAAAUUGUAUGGGUCAUUGAGUUGGCAAUAGGGAGAGGGGGGCAAAUAAAAUCUGGCCCAUAGAUGGAGGCGGUACCAGGAAAUACGACAAGAACUAGGUAGAAAACAAGUCGCAGCUUGGCCCGGCAUGAGGCGCGGAGCGGAAAAAAGAAGUGAAAUUGGAUUAUUUGGGAAAACCGCAUUGUGCAAAGUGUUCGCCGGAGGUUGCCACCCAUCUUUGGUUGUGGCGCCUCCAUUUUCCAUUCAUCCUUUCUUGCUUGUCACCGCGCAUUUUUAUUUGAAGUGUUUGAGAUGCUACAACUAUUAUAUUCAACUUUACAUUAAGACAUUAGUAGACUAAUAAUAUUACGAAGAGAACCAUUCCAAAUAUAAUAGUACAACGUAACUUCAUAUAUAGCCAAUGUCGAUAGUUUUAAAUCCAUAUAUAUAUUCACAAGCCUAUAGCACUAUCCAUCAAUAUCUAUAGCCAGGCACCUACAUAAAAACUGACAUAAAAAUACAGAGAGGUGGUGAGAAAGCUGUAUCCUAUGAAUAGACCAGCAAAUGUGAAGAACCAAUAGUCAUAUUCUUUUUGACCAAAAGUGCAAUAGUUUAGAUACAACGUAUAUAGUACAUCAUAUUGGCAUUUUGAGACACUCCUAGCACGAGCUAUUUAUUUUGUGUGAUCCAAUGGAUAUCACGUGUUAUAGGAGGUUAUUGCUUAGUAUCUGACCACGAGACAAACACAAUGGGGCUGCUAAAUAAUGUUUAUUCUCUUUCCAUUUUUGCCAGAACACUAUAGUGUUCUGGUUAUCCUGGAGUACAUGUGAUCAUGUGUAACUAACUAAGAUGAACAUGCAACCAUGCAUAUCAUAACUUCCCUAGAGUACUUCCUGCGACAUCAACAUGGGCGAUUGCAGUCUCGAUCAAUUCCUUCAUCUCGCUCUUAUGUAUUUCCUGUCUCUGAGAAAUAAGAAUUAUGUAAUCACAAAACAAUGCAACUAUAACCAGCAGCACAAUGACCGCCAUGCAUGCUCUUUUGACUUGACAAUUGUUUUAUUAUAUUUAAAUUCUUCAAGACUCUAUAUCUAUUACAUUUCUCGACUUUACAUUAGGAUGUAUUAGUUGACUAGUAAUAAUAUUAAAGGCCAGUUCUUUUAACAGCUUAGAAAGUAAGCCAUCCCCUCCCCAACUUUUUUAAUAAGCCGCCUCUCUAAUCCAUUGGGGUUCCUAAACUAGUUAUACGAUAACUAAUUCAAAAAUCUCAACAAAGUUAGGGGAUGACUUAUUUCGUAAGCUGAGGAAAGGCAACAUAAUUUUUAAGCCGCCCAAAAAAACUGGCCAUAGGAAGAUAAUAAUAUAAAGUCUAGAAUACAUAGUAACUUUAUAUGGCUAAUUAUGAUUGGUUUUGAAUUUCUGUUUCAGAAAUAUCUCAGUCGUAGCCAUUAUCACCGAACUUUAAAUGAUUUCGGUUUUGCCAAAUUAAGGACCAGAAUAUCUACUUGAAUGUGACAAAAAUCAAACCAAGUAUUUAAAAAAAAUUAAAUUGUGUGUGUUGUAAUGGCUGGAAUAUUUUGACCAAAAGAUAAUCAUUUUAGUAUUCUACCAAAAUGACUGAAAUUUUGAUGAAAUUCUACUGGAACUAAAAAACCCUUCUUCAUGAAAGUUUUUUUUCUUAUGAAACUCUAGAACGUUUGAUAACACAAGUUUUGAGGAAGGACACAAUUACUACCUGUAGGAGCGCGGUGUGCGUCACCGUCCCGGACGCAACCGUGACGUUAGCCGAGAUGACGGCGAGCCGGAGGCUCUGGAGCGCGCGGCACACCUUGCCCAUGGCGUCCUUCCGGUGGCGGCACGCGACGCUCACCACCAGCAGCUUAUCGCCAGCGCCCGUCACCCUCACCUGUCCAUGUAACGAACCGAAAGUAAGUACUACAAGAUCGAGCCAAGUGGUCGGUGUCCGCGUGCGGCGGGCGGGUAGAGCAGACGAUGCCGCUCAAGAUCGGAGGACCAUGGCGUCAACAUCAGGGCAGGGCCCCGUCUGCCGGUCGCUUGUCAUCGUCGCAAUUAUUACUUGAUGAUUAAAUAGAUAAAGUACGUUGGUGGGUGCGUUUACCUCGACAGCCUCGACCGGCGGAGAUGCGGCUGCCAUGGCGGAUGCGGGGGUGGGGGUCACCGCCGGCGAUAAUGAAUGGGUCCUCGUUUUCUUCAGCGGCGGCAUGGCGUGUCCGGCGCAGCCGUUCGGAAGGACGGGCUGUAGUGUAGCAGUAAGCAGCUGGCCAUGGCCAUGUACCUCCGCCACCGACUCAAGGAUGGAUAUCUCGGCGAGCAUCCAGCGCUCCUGCUCCUGCAGCUGCUGGAUGUACUCGACGGCGUCCCUGAGGAUGGACACCUUAUCCAUCUGCCAGGAAGAAUGGUUAAUGUUUGAACUGCCGCCUGCAUGCCAAGUGAAUUGAGUUGGUUGCUCGUUGGCACGUACGUGCGUACCUUGGUGAUGUUUGGGACGACGCUCCGGAGGGCGUAGAGCUUGCCGUUGAGCGUCCGGCCGCGUAGCCUCCUCGUGACGACGACGUUGCUCUUGCUCGCCGACACCGCCGCCGACACCACUGGGGAGCUCGAGUAUCCGGUGUCCGGGGGGCUCCAGUUCCAGUAGUCGUUGUAGCCGCCGGACACCCUGCUGCCGCUGCCGCCGCCGUGCAUGCUGCGGUCCAGGUCAGUCGAUUCAGCCUCAGUCCUCUUCAUCCUCUGCCCGGUAAGUUCGUACCUAGGGCGCUCUUGUGCUUCCAAGCAAACCGAGUAGUCCAAGCUAUCGACCAUCCCUGAGCCGUAUGCGUGUAUCUGGAUCCAUCGUCUAUCCCCUUAUUCCCCAGUUUUGGAUGAUGUAUAUCUUUGAUUUUGUCACUAUCCACCGUCUAUUCCCUUGUUGCCAGGCAAACCGAGUAGUAUUUGUUUGUUUCUUUUUUCUUUUUCAUGGAUAUAUGAUCCAAGCAGGGAUGGGGUUGGGGGUCCAGGAAUCAUCCUCAGCAGAUUUACAUUGUGAUUGUACUAGUGGAAACAAAAUUGUAGUAGAUCUCGAUGGGUUGGCUUGGCAUUGAAGUUGUGAAUGUGGACACAUGAGACUGUCAGGAAGGGAUAGACAUUUCUCAAUCUUAAGAUGUUGUGCCGACUUAGUAUCUGAGAUGUGCUUAUAAAGAUCGGACGUGUAAUGCGUGCAUUCAUAAGAUGAGUGUAUUUAUGUAUGUGAGCAUAUAUAUAGACAAAUAAUAGGAUGCAACACACAUGUAUUCACGGGCAUCCAGUGCCGAUAUAUAGAGAUGUACAUACAGGAAGAUCAUCACGUCCAGGACUAAACCCUAAUGAGAUAGACGGAGAUUAGAGUACAUGUGUAUAUACGAAUACAUAGGUCGCUCAACACCCAUCCACAGUCGAAGCGUCGGCACUGACGCGCAGACUGGACCGAAACUCCUCGAAAACUGACGUUGGCAACCCCUUCGUCAUGAUAUCCGCAAGCUGCUGAGAGGUAGGCACGUGAAGAAGUCAAAGGUGACCAAGAGCCACCUGCCCGCGAACAAAGUAGAUAUUCAACUCAAUAUGUUUGGUGUCGCGAUGAUGAACAAAGUUGGCGGAGAGGUAAACGGCAGAGACGUUGUUGCAAUACAUAACGGUGGCCUUGUCAACAGGAGAAGAGAGCUCGUAGAGAAGUUGCCGAAGCCAGCAUCACUUAGCAAAGAUGUUGGCCAUGGAACGAUAUUCAGCCUCGGCACCAGACCGAGAGACUGUGGGCUGCCGCUUGGAUGACCAGGAUAUAAGUGAUGGUCCAAGGUAGACACGGUCUUCGGAGAUGGAACGCCGUGUGUCGGGGCAUCCAGCCCAGUCCGCAUCAGAGUAUGCCAUGAUGUCUAGCUGUCGAAGCGUGGAGCGAGAGGCCAAGAUCCAUAGUACCAUGAAUGUAACAGAGAACAUGUUUCACCACGGUCCAGUGUGCAUCACGAAGUGAAUGCAUAUGAAGACCGUUGAGUCCAAUUUAUAUGAUGAUUUUACUGAGUAUUUUGUGCCUACAUGGUAUGCUUAGUGGAAUUUUACUGCAUCCGCGAAUAUCCUUUUGUUGCUAAUCCCUCAGGUAAUGCCUUUUGGAUUAUUUAUCAUAUAAUAGAAGAAAUCCUCAGAAAUAGUAGUGGAAUCACGUAUUUAAAGUGAUAAUCACCUACCAUAAAAGAAUCAAACAAAAAGGCCACGGAAGAAGUUGUCAACAUGCCUCCAGUGCAAAUGACGGCGUUCCAUACGACCGCUCCUACCCGUAUGGGCGGUCGUAUGGUGUGUCAUCGCCGCCGCCAGAUCAACUAUUUCCACCCCGUGGAAAUGGGUCAUGGAUGAGACGCCCCAAGAGAUCAAAAACUCAUCCAGAAGGAAGAACCCAGCCUCCAGAGUUCAUUGGAGGAGGGAUUGGCAAGGAGAGGAAGGGGAUCUUCCUCACCACGCACAAGGGAGAUACAACAUCACUGCCACUGUCAUCAUCAUCAUCAUUCACGUCCUUAUCAUUUAUAACAUCAAGAACCCUAGUGGACCAUCUUGUGUUUCAUUUGAAUCAUUCAUCCAUGUAUGGCAUUACUUUUGUCAUGAUGAGUGUUGUCCCCAUGUGUGAGUAGACCCCUAGUUCUCGAGGAUAUGGAUGAACCUCGGUAUGUGUAGGAUCUAAAAAAUUAUUAUAGAUAUGAGAUUCUUUGUUGAAUGCUUAGUUUAAUAACUUUUUGAAUAUUGUGAAGGGCCCCACUCAGUGCUACUUCUUGAGCUUGCAUUUUUUCCCUUAAAAAGGAAAGGGUGAUGCAUCAAAGUAGAAAUAAGUAUUUCCCUCUGUUAAGAACCAAGGUAUCAAUCCAGUAGGGGUACAAGCAAGUCCCCAAUAGAUGCACCUGCACAAACUAACAAACACUUGCACACAACGCGAAAAAGGAGUUGUCAAUCCCUUCACGGUCACUUGCAAGAGUGAGAUCUAAUAUAAAUAGAUAUAAAAGAUAAGUAAAAGGUAAAAUAAAGUAAAUAUAAAUAAAUUGUGGAAAGAUAUUUUUGGGUUUUUAGUUUUAUAGAUCUGAAAAUAAUAUGAUGGAAAAUAGACCCGGGGUCCAUAGGGUUCACUAGAGGCUUCUCUCUUGAAGAAAGCAUACAGUGGGUAAACAAAUUAUUGUUGAACAAUUGAUAGAAAAGCGCAUAGUUAUGACGAUAUCUAAGGAAAUGAUCAUGAAUAUAGGCAUCACAUUCGUGAAAAGUAGACCGACUCCUGCCUGCAUCUACUACUAUUAGUCCACACAUCGACCGCUAUUCAGCAUGCAUCUAGUGUAUUAUGUUAACAAGAACAAAGUAACGCCUUCAGCAAGAUGACAUGAUGUAGAGGGAUAGAUCCAAUCAAUAUGGUAAAAACUCCAUCUUUUUAUCCUUAAUGGCAACGAUAUAAAUAUGUGCCUCGCUACCCCUACUGUCACCGAGUGAGGACACCGCAAGGUUGAACCCAUCACAAAGCACCUCUCCCAUGGCAAGAAAAACCAAUCUAGUUGGCCAAACCAAAUCGAUAGAUCGGAGAGAAAUACAAAACUAUCUUAAUCAUGCAUAAAAGAGUUUAGUAAAGACUUAAAUAAUAUUCAUAGAUAAUCUAAUCAUAAAUCCACAAUUCAUCGGAUCUCAACAAACGCACCGCAAAAGAAGAUUACAUCGGAUAGAUUUCUAAGAACAUCAAGGAGAAUAUUGUAUUGAAGAUCAAAGAGAGAGAGAGAGAGAGAGAGAAGAAGCCAUCUAGCUACUAGCUAUCGACCGGUAGGUGUGUGGUAAACUACUCACACAUCAUCGGAAGGGCAACAAGGUUGGUGUAGAGGCCCUCCGUGACCGAAUGCCCCUCCAGUGGAGUGCCGGAAAAGACCCCAAGAUGGGAUCUCACAAGAACAGAAGCUUGUGGCGACGGAAAAGUGUUUUUGGUGUUCCCUCUGAUGUAGGGGAGAUAUUUGGGUAUUUAUAGAGCUAGAGUUAGGGUUAGGAGAGCCACGAGGGGGGCACAAGCCCCCUGGCUGCCCCCAGGGCGCGCCCCUAGGGCUUGUGGCCCCCGUGUGGGUCUUCUGGCCUCUUCCCGAAGCUUAGUGGGUGUCUUAUUGUCCAAGAAGAAUUGUCAAAAAGCUUCGUUCCGUUUGGGCUCCGUUUGGUAUUGAUUUUCUGUAAGAGUCAAAAACAAGGAAAAAAACAACAAUUGACACUGGGCACUAGGUUAAUAUAGGUUAGUCCCAAAAAUAAUAUAAAAUAGCAUAUUAAUGCAUAUAAAACAUCCAAUAUGGGUAAUAUAAUACCACAAUAAAAAAUUAUAGAUACGUUGGAGACGUAUCACUCAGCAUUCAUGCCUUAUGGCCAUGAAGUAUAUCACUAUCGUAGUAAAGGGCUAGGAUAUGGAGGUAAUUCGAGGUGACGGUAAAAGCCUACCGCUCCUAAUUUUUACAAUUGACCAGGGAAUCACGAGAUCCCUUAGAGCUGCAACCCUCUGAGGGAGACUAUGAUAGUGGCAUGUGUGGCACGAAGUCUACCUAGAGUAGAAUGUGUACUGUACCCGCCUCUGCCUAGCAUAAUCAUCAAUAGUGGCUCAAGUAUCCAUCCCAUACUAUGCCUAAGCAUAUGUGCACUAGAAACAUACCAUUGGGGAUUCCAGACUCCCUGAGAACACCCCACUCACCUAUUUUUUCGCCAGUCACUCUAGUCAUUGUUCUUUAUUUACUUUAUGUUAUUUACUUCCAAGUUCAUUCCACAACUCAAUUACAAUUUAUAUCAUGCUAUCUCUUGAGCAUGCAUUGGUUUUCCCUUGAAGAGGAAAGGGUGAUGCAACAAAGUAGCGUAAGUAUUUCCCUCAGUUUUGAGAACCAAGGUAUCAAUACAGUAGGGGACAACACACAAGUCACCUAGUACCUGCACAAACAAUCAAGAACCUUGCAACCAAAACGAUAAAGGGGUUGUCAAUCCCUUCACGGUCACUCGCAAAAGUGAGAUCUAAUAAAUAUAAUAAAGUAAAUAUUUUUGGUAUUUUUGUUGUAUAGAUUCGAAAGCAAAGAUUGCAAAAUAGUUACCGAGAUGCGAUGUAAAUAAAAGAGAUGCAAUAUAAUAAGAAAGAGACCCGGGAGCCAUAGGUUUCACUAGUGGCUUCUCUCAAGAUAGCACGUAUUACGGUGGGUGAACAAAUUACUGCCAAGCAAUUAAUAAAAAAGUGCAUAGUUAUGAAGAUAUCUAAGGCAAUGAUCAUGAAUAUAGGCAUCACGUCCGUGUCAAGUAGGUCGAAACGAUUCUGCAUCUACUACUAUUACUCCACACAUCGACCGCUAUCCAGCAUGCAUCUAGAGUAUUAAGUUCAUAAGAACAGAGUAACGCAUUAAGAAAGAUGACAUGAUGUAGAGGGAUAAACUCAACCAAUAUGAUAUAAACCCCUUCUUUUUAUCCUCGAUGGCAACAAUACAAUACGUGCCUUGCUGCCCCUACUGUCACUGGGAAGGACACCGCAAGAUUGAACCCAAAGCUGAGCACUUCUCCCAUUGCAAGAAAGAUCAAUCUAGUAGGCCAAAUGUAACGUCCCAAAAUUUCAAUUUGGAAUACAUUAGAUCAUCAUGCAUAUCAUAUUUUAUUUUGCUUUUUUGGUUGAUCCUAGAAAUUCUACGCAACUCAAUGACCCACGGAGAGAGUUGGAGAUUUCGUUAUUUUCAUAUUUGAGUUCUCUCAAAUUUUGAGAAUAGGAUCAUUUGAUUUUAUUUAUUUUAUCAUCAAUUAUUUCUAUUACAAAAAUAUGAGAGAGGGAAUAAAAUGACUUUCCCAAAAUAAAGAAAUAUUGAGGAUUUAAUAAUAAAAUCAAAUAAGAUUUUAUUUCGGAGUUUUUCGGUGUUUUAUUUGAAUUUAGGAAAAAUGUGCGUUUUUCAAAAUUGCAUUUAGGGCCCAAAUAAAUGUUCACCUUGUGUGGCUUGAUUUUAGAAGCCCGUCAAAAUUUAUUUCGGAAUUUUUGGAGUCCGUUUAGUAUUUCUUUUUAUUUUCUUACGAGCGGAAUAAUAAAAAAAACUAACCGACUUCGGGCCGUACCCAAGCGGGACACCGCCCGGGGGCAGCCUUUAAAUAGCGCCGCCCCGAGCCGCCCCACCCCAUCAGCCCUGCCUCGAUCCGUGCGUGCCGCCGGAGCCGCCGCCGCCGCCGCCGACGAUCCCGCCGCCCGAGGUUUGUCAUGCCUCGAUUUCCGUGCCGAAAAAAAAGAGAAAAAAAAUUCGGCGUUUGUCAUUUUUCUUUUUUCUUGGAUUAAAUCCGCGAUUUUUCUGAUCGUGAUUCCUGAUCCGAUUUUCGUUUUAGUUUAACUUUUCGUUCGUUUAUCGGAAUCAGACGAUUCAAGCGCCUAGAGUUUCGUCUCGAAACCCUCUAUCCGUUUAACCAACUUAAAAAAGUUUUUUUUACUGUAAAAUUUUCCCUAGAUCCAGAUUACUAGAACGAAGUUGUUUUCUUUCGCAGUUUGUCUUUCGUUGCUUCGUUCGAUUUGAUUCUUUUUGCCAACCGGAGUUCUUAAGUUGAACCUUCUAGUUAGAUCUCUUAUUUGAGUUUUACCUGUGCAUUAGAUGAGUACUUAUUGUAUGCUUGUGUGAUUGUCUGCGAUAGAAUACCCGGAGUGUGCCGCCUGUUACUUCGAAUCGUUAGGUUUCGCGGAUCAUCAGCAAGGCAAGUUACACUUUGAUCAUACCUUUUCCAACUACCCAGUUUUAUUGCAUUUGAUCAAUCCUCACACAUUGCAUGAUUAGGAUCUAAUUAAAUUGUGGGAUGGGAAGUAGAUGAGGUAGUACGUAUUACCUAUUUAUUAUCAAACCUUUGGGAGUUACUUCUACGUUUGCUUAUUAUGCCAUGCUAUGCUAGUAGACGUGGAUUGGGUGAGUGAAAUCCAUGACAAAUGUGAGAUUGUUAAUUAAUGGUUUAUCUAAGGUGUCAACUUAAACACACAUCUGGGUGGAUUGAGGCACCUGGGUAUUCCAGGACUUGCCUGUUUUCUUUUGGACCGCCACCCAGGCUCAAAGGGAUCAUGAGACUAUUCAUACUAGAAACUUCCGUGUGCAGCCAUAAGCUAUUAUGGGCUCUAGCAUAGUUGACUAAGUCGUGCGAACUCUUAUAGUGGUAGACUAGCAGAUGUAGGGGUUGUAGGUGGUACGGUCUACCCAUCGUAAGGUGCUAGCGCUUCUGAAAGACUAUGUCUCGGUCAUCCGUCUUCUCAAACACCCUGUAGUGCGAGAAACCAAACGGAGGCGGUCGAGUCUUGUGGGGAGAAGUGCGCAAACCUCUACAGAGUGUAAUAAACUAAUCAUGAUUAGCUGUGUCCCCGGUUAUGGACAUCUUGAGUAUCUAGUACUUGGAUUAUCAUGUGAAUCUCAUCAUGUUACUCUAAAUUAAUUUUGUUGGGUUAUGUUUAAUGAUGAUGCUUAAUUGGGAUUGAGGAUGCUGUCAACCAUUCUCAAUGUUUAAUAACCACCAUGAUAGUAAUUAAAUUUAUUCCUUUGAAGUAGGGAAAAUUGGCUUUACGCAAAACUGUAACCAUAGAGCUUUCCACCAGCCAAAUAUGCAUAUAGUAUAGCUAUUUCAUUUCAUUACUCUCUAUGUGUUACCUUGCCAGCAUAUUCCAUGUGCUGAUCCGUUUUCGAGCUGCAACGUUAAUGUUGCAGACUUUUUAGAUGACUAUUAAGGAGUUUUUAGGUCGUGGUCCUAUACUCAGUGAUGCCGUUGGAGUUGAUGGACUCACUUAUCUUCCAAGCCUUCCGCUGUUAUCGUUAUUAGAUGGCCUUAAGCCAUACUUAUUGUAAUAAGUUCUCUUUUGAGACACUCGAUGUAAUAAGUGUGUGAUUGCUACUCUGCUAUAAAUCCUCCGAGUACUGUGUGGUGUCAGCAUUACUGAUCCAGGGAUGACACCGGUGCACAGAGAUCAGACUGUUUGAGGUCUGGUCGCUACAGAGAUGGUAUCAGAGCACACGCUGACUGUAGGACACGACCACUAAGCUAAAGACCUAGAUCACUAUUCACUCUCUUCUCUUCUGACCUCUCAUCUUUUUUACUCUUUAGGAUGGCGGAUGCAAGGAACAAGUUCACGCAACCGGAUGAAGAUACACCCUUUGGACGUCACUUGAAGGAAGUCACUAGAUACCUGAACAUAGGAGUACCAAGCUUCACCGGAACCUACAACGCCACUUUACCUGAAGAAGAGCACUGGAUGAUUCAAAUUCAAGUUCCAGGAAGGACGUUCAUGCCAGUCACUGAGCCCAUAGAGUUUACUUUUGAUGCACCAACUUGGAGUCUAGGAAAGAGCAUGGCAGCUCACAUCGCCAUGGGACGCAUUGGAGAAGUCUACCGCAAGGAUCUCAAGGAUACUAUCUACCAGAUUUGUGGGCGCCGAGAUGAACACUGGGAGAUGACCAGCACCAGGAAGGAUAGAUCAAUCGCAGCUUUUAUCCAAGAGCUAAACCAACACAUUCGACGACUGGAGAACCAGAUGUGUGCCGACAUGAUAGACCUGAAGAAGGCUAAGACUAGAAUCAAGGAACUGGAGGAAGAACUCAAGGCUACACGUGAAGAUUAUGAAGAGGAAAUUGAAGUAUUGGUGAAGAAGAAUGACGACCUGAUCAAGAAGAUUGGAAUAUUUAUGGGAGGCCCUACGCCAGUAGAUGAAGACGAAGAACCCCAGGAAAUUAGCCCGGAAGACUACAUCAUCAUCGACGGCACCGACUCGGAAGCAGAUAGUAGCGAUGAUGACUAUGUUGAUGAAGCUGGAGCAGAUAUUAUGGAGUCAACAACCGUAGAAUAUUUCUAGUAGACCACCUUAUUAGUAGUAGUAGUCCACCAUGUAAAUAUAGUAGUCCGAGCACUUUUGCGAUAGUUAGAUCGAUUGUAUGCCUUUGUUUGAUUGAAUGAAGUGAAUUGUUUGCUUUUGCCUCAUGUGCAUAUGGGUAGUGUUUUCUCUUUAGACCCCCUCUAUUCUUAUAUCUCAUCUUUUCUAAACCCUCAGAUGCCUCCGAGACGUGACCCCGGAUUUGUCUUUCCACCGGAGCUCACCCAGUUGAUCCAGCAGCAGAACACAUUGAUGCAGUUACUAGUCCAGAAUCAGAAUCAAGGGAACAACAACAACCCACCACCACCACCACCACCUGUUGACCACUUACCCAUUUUCUUAGGCUGAAUCCGCUAGUGUUUUCCAGUAGCACCGAGCCGAUAGUAGCAGAUGAUUGGCUCCGCAAGACAACUAGGGAGUUGACCAAAGCAGGAUGCACAGAUGCAGAAAAUGUGAAGUUUGCCGCGCAUCAGCUAGAAGGACCCGCAACAUCAUGGUGGGAGAAUUUCACAGCCACUUUCCCAGUUGACACUGUCACAUGGACCAGUUUCAGCAGGCUUUUCGUACUGCCCAUGUUUCAGCAGGAGCUAUGGCCAUAAAGAAGCGUGAGUUUCGCAACUUGCGCCAAGGAGGACGGACAGUUGGCCAGUAUGUGGAGGAAUUUAGUAAGCUAGCACGUUAUGCCCUAGAUGACGUUGCUACAGAUGCAGCUAAGUAGGAGAAGUUUCUGGAAGGACUGAAUGAUGAGUUGAGCAUGCAGUUGAUGGUAGCCACCUUCAACAACUACCAGGAGUUGGUAGAUCGUGCUCUUAUGAUUGAAGGGAAGCAGCAGCAGAUUGAGAAUCGCAAGAGGAAGUAUGGACAAGGAAAGUACAAUUCAGGAGCUUAGCAGAAGCCACGUUUUACCCCUAGACUGGGAGGACAUUUUGAUCAUACUCAUGGAGGAGGUAGCUCUCACAAUCACAAUGGUACCAAGAAUGGUAAUAGCAACGGAGGAAGCAACGGCCAGAACCGCACCAACCCCUCAACCCCAGCCAAGAAGGACUUGAGCCAAGUCACUUGCUUUAAGUGUUCGAAGACAGGACAUUAUGCUAAUGAAUGUCCUGAAGGCCAAAAUGGCAAUGGAAGUUCUGGGAAGAAGCCGAACCCUUUCAACAGGGGACAGGUGAACCACAUUAGCGUGGAGGAGGUUGAAGCUCAGCCCGAUGCAGUAAUAGGUAAGUUUUUGGUUAAGUCAUUUACUGCACUCGUUCUUUUUGAUACUGGAGCAUCGCAUUCAUACAUCUCAAGGGGAUUUGUGGAUAAGUAUAACCUACCAACCCAAUCCCUUAGGUCACCCAUGUUAGUAACCUCGCCCGGAGCAGAGUAUGUGGCUAGUCUAUGGUGUGGUCGGUUACCAUUAAGGAUUGGUAACUAUGUUUUUCCCUCAGACCUAAUAGUAUUGGAAUCUCAAGGAUUGGAUGUGAUAUUAGGCAUGGAUUGGUUAUCAAAGUAUGAAGGGAAUAUUGAGUGUGCUAGCAAGUCCAUUUUGCUUACCACACCAGAAGGGAGAAGGAUCAAGUAUGUAUCCCGACAUGUGCCAAAGAGGACUCAAGUAAAUUGCCUAACAGGAGUUGUGGAGGAGGAAGUACUAGUGGUAAGGGAUUUCCCAGAUGUUUUUCCAGAGGAGUUGCCCGGUAUGCCACCGGAUAGAGAUAUUGAAUUUUUGAUUGAGCUAUUGCCAGGCACAGGGCCAAUAUCAAAGAGACCAUAUAGGAUGCCAGUAAAGGAUUUGGUGGAAAUUAAGAAGCAGAUUAAGGAGCUACAGGAUAAAGGAUAUAUUCGCCCAAGUUCUUCGCCUUGGGGAUCUCUAGUACUUUUGGUGGAGAAGAAGGAUGGAUCGUUAAGGAUGGUUGUUGAUUAUCGAGGAUUGAAUAAAGUAAUGAUCAAGAACAAGUACCCACUACCAAUGAUCAAUGAUCUGUUUGAUCGAUUGGAAGGAGCUAAGGCAUUUUCCAAGAUCGAUCUGCGAUCAGGAUACCACCAGUUGAAGAUUUGAGAACAGGAUAUUCCUAAGACAGCUUUUACCACCAGGUAUGGGUUGUACGAGUAUACCGUUAUGUCAUUUGGUCUAACUAAUGCACCUGCCUAUUUUAUGAACAUGAUGAACAAAGUGUUUAUGGAGUUUUUGGAUAAGUUCGUCAUGGUGUUCAUUGAUGAUAUCUUGGUUUACUCGAAGAAUGAAGAGGAGCAUAAGGAGCAUUUGCGUUUGGUACUUGGAAAGCUCAGAGAACAUCAAUUAUAUGCCAAGUUCAGCAAAUGUGAGUUUUGGUUGAAGGACGUAGGAUUCCUCGGACAUGUUAUAUCUGGAGAAGGUAUAGCAGUAGAUCCCGCUAAAGUUGAAACCGUGACCAAGUGGGAAGCCCCAACAACAGUUGGAGAGAUCCAGAGUUUUCUUGGACUCGCAGGAUACUACCGGAGAUUUAUUGAGAAUUUCUCAAAGAUUGCGAAGCCUAUGACUGAGUUGUUGAAGAAGGAUACCAAGUUCAUAUGGACAGAGGAGUGUGAGGCUAGUUUCCAGGAGUUGAAGAAACAUUUGGUUACCUCACCAGUGUUGAUUUUGCCAGACCAGACCAAGGAUUAUGAGGUGUAUUGCGACGCUUCACGUCGAGGACUUGGAGCAGUGCUUAUGCAGGAAGGGAGAGUUGUUUCAUAUGCCUCAAGACAACUGAAGCCUCAUGAGUUGAAUUAUGCUACGCAUGAUUUGGAGUUAGCAGCCGUAGUGCAUGCACUGAAAACAUGGAGACAUUUUCUCAUUGGAAACCAUUGUGAGGUGUACACGGAUCAUAAGAGUUUGAAGUACAUUUUCACACAGAAGGAGUUAAAUCUCAGACAAAGGAGAUGGUUGGAGCUUAUCAAGGAUUAUGAUAUGAAAUUGCAUUAUCACCCCAGAAAGGCAAAUGUAGUAGCUGACGCAUUAAGUUGUAAGAGCCAUGUCAAUAUGUUAAUGAUGGGAGAAAUACCCAAGGAGUUAGCAGAAAAUCUUCGUGAACUAUGUUUGGAAAUAGUUCCGAGAGGUUAUGUAGCAGCAAUGGAGAUUCAGUCAACCUUGAUGGAUAAAAUCAGGGAAGCACAGAAAACUGACAAAGAGAUUGCCGCUAUAAAGGAGAAACUGAGCAAAGGAAAAGCUAAAGGAUUUCAUGAGGAUGAGCAUGACACCUUAUGGUUUGAAGACCGCGUUUAUGUGCCCAAUGACCCGGAGAUCAGGAAGUUGAUACUGCAAGAGGCACACGACUCACCGUAUUCAAUUCACCCAGGAAAUACCAAGAUGUAUCUUGAUUUGAAGGAUAUUUUCUGGUGGACCGGUAUGAAGAAGGAUAUUGAGGAGUAUGUAGCAGUCUGUGAUGUAUGUCAGAGAGUAAAGGCAGAGCAUCAGAAGCCAGCAGGAUUGUUACAACCAUUGUCGAUACCCGAAUGGAAGUGGGAUAAGCUAGGCAUGGAUUUUAUCAUGGGAUUGCCCAGGACUCGUUCAGGCUAUGACUCAAUUUGGGUUGUAGUUGAUCGAUUGACGAAAGUAGCUCAUUUCAUCCCAGUGAAGACCACUUACACCAGUGCUAAGUUGGCAAAGAUAUACAUGACCAGGAUCGUAUGUUUGCAUGGAGUUCCAAGGAGUAUCGUAUCAGAUAGAGGAACCCAGUUUACCUCAAAGUUCUGGAAGCAGUUGCAUGAAACUUUGGGAACCAGGCUAGAAUUCAGUACAGCUUUUCAUCCACAGACAGAUGGACAGACCGAGAGAGUCAAUCAGAUUUUGGAGGAUAUGCUGAGAGCUUGUGCGCUAGAUUAUGGAUCUAGUUGGGACAAUAAUUUUCCAUAUGCAGAGUUCUCUUACAAUAACAGUUACCAAACCAGUUUGAAGAUGGACCCUUUCAAAGCUUUGUACGGAAGGAGGUGCAGGACACCGUUGUCAUGGGACGAAGUUGGAGACCGCCAGUUGUUUGGUCCUGACUUGAUUAAAGAUUCUGAACAGAAGGUGAAAUUGAUUCGCGAUAGGCUCAAGGUAGCCCAGUCCAGACAGAAGAGUUAUGCGGAUUCUAAACGCAAGGAGAUAGUUUACCAAGUCGGAGACAGAGCUUAUCUUCGAGUAUCUCCACUUCGAGGAACAAAACGUUUUGGAGUUAAAGGGAAGUUAGUGCCACGAUUUGUAGGACCAUAUCGAGUUUUGGAGCGUAUGGGAGAAGUGGCCUACAAGUUGGAAUUGCCCGAAGGAUUGUCAGGAGUUCAUGAUGUGUUCCACGUUUCCCAGUUAAAGAAAUGUCAUGCGGAGAUGGCUGACAUACCAUUGAGAGACACAGUGCCUUUGGAAACUAUUCAGUUGGAUAACGAUUUUACCUACGAGGAGAAACCAGUUAAGAUUCUCGAGUUUUCCAGUCGAGUCACUCGCAGCAAGGUUAUCAAGUUUUGCAAAGUUCAGUGGAGCCACCACACGGAGGACGAAGCCACCUGGGAGCGAGAGGAAGAUUUGCUCAAAGACCACCCUCACCUAUUUUCUAGCCAACCUGAAUCUUGAGGGCGAGAUUCAUCUUAAGGGGGGUAGGUUUGUAACAUCCCAAAUUGUCAAUUUUGAAUACAUUAGAUCAUCAUGCAUAUCAUAUUUUAUUUUGCUUUUUGGUUGAUCCUAGAAAUUCUACGCAACUCAAUGACCCACGGAGAGAGUUGGGGAUUUCGUUAUUUUCAUAUUUGAGUUCUCUCAAAUUUUGAGAAUAGGAUCAUUUGAUUUUAUUUAUUUUAUCAUCAAUUAUUUCUAUUACAAAAAUAUGAGAGAGGGAAUAAAAUGACUUUCCCAAAAUAAAGAAAUAUUGAGGAUUUAAUAAUAAAAUCAAAUAAGAUUUUAUUUCGGUGUUUUAUUUGAAUUUAGGAAAAAUGUGCGUUUUCAAAAUUGCAUUUAGGGCCAAAUAAAUGUUCACCUUGUGCGGCUUGAUUUUAGAAGCCCGUGAAAAUUUAUUUCGGAAUUUUUGGAGUCCGUUUAGUAUUUCUUUUUAUUUUUCUUCUGAGCGGAAUAAUUAAAAAAACGAACCGACUUUGGGCCGUACCCGAGCGGGACACCGCCCGGGGGCAGCCUUUAAAUAGCACCGCCCCGAGCCGCCCCAGCCCAUCAGCCCCGCCUCGAUCCGUGCGCGCCGCCGGAGCCGCCACCGCCGCCGACGAUCCCGUCGCCCGAGGAUCGUCGCGCCUCGAUUUUCGUGCCGAAAAAAAAGAGAAAAAAAUUCGGCGUUCGUCGUUUUUCUUUUUUCUUGGAUUAAAUCCGCGAUAUUUCUGAUCGCGAUUCCUGAUCCGAUUUUCGUUUUAGUUCAAGUUUUCGCUCGUUUAUCAGAAUCAAGCGAUUCAAGCGCCUAGAGUUUCGUCUCGAAACCCUCUAUCCGUUUAACCAACUUAAACAAGUUUUUGUUACUAUAAAAUUUGCCCUAGAUCCAGAUUACGAGAACGAAGUUGUUUUCUUUCGCAGUUUGUCUUUCGUUGCUUCAUUCGAUUUGAUUCUUUUUGCCAACCGGAGUUCUUAAGGUGAACCUUCUGGUUAGAUCUCUUAUUUGAGUUUUACCUGUGCAUUAGAUGAGUACUUAUUGUAUGCUUGUUUGAUUGUCUGCGAUAGAAUACGCAGAGUGUGCCGCCUGUUACUUCGAAUCGUUAGGUUUCGCGGAUCAUCAACAAGGCAAAUAACACUUUGAUCAUACCUUUUCCUACUACCCAGUUUUAUUGCAUUAGAUCAAUCCUCACACAUUGCAUGAUUAGGAUCUAAUUAAAUUGUGGGAUGGGAAGUAGAUGAGGUAGUACCUAUUACCUGUUUAUUAUCAAACCUUUGGGAGUUACUUCUACGUUUGCUUAUUAUGCCAUGCUAUGCUAGUAGACGUGGAUUGGGUGAGUGAAAUCCAUGACAAAUGUGAGAUUGUUAAUUAAUGGUUUAUCUAAGGUGGCAACUUAAACACACAUCUGGGUGGAUUGAGGCACCUGGGUAUUCCAGGACUUGCCUGUUUUCUUUUGGACCGCCACCCAGGCUCAAAGGGAUCAUGAGACUAUUCAUACUAGAAACUUCCGUGUGCAGCCAUAAGCUAUUAAGGGCUCUAGCAUAGUUGAAUAAGUCGUGCGAACUCUUACACUGGUAGACUAGCAGAUGUAGGGGUUGUAGGUGGUACGGUCUACCCAUCGUAAGGUGCUAGCGCUUUUGCAAGACUAUGUCUUGGUCAUCCGUCUUCUCAAACACCCUGUAGUGCGAGAAACCAAACGGAGGCGAUCGAGUCUUGUGGGGAGAAGUGCGCAAACCUCUACAGAGUGUAAUAAACUAAUCAUGAUUAGUCGUGUCCCCGGUUAUGGACAUCUUGAGUAUCUAGUACUUGGAUUAUCAUGUGAAUCUCAUCAUGUUACUCUAAAUUAAUUUUGUUGGGUUAUGUUUAAUGAUGAUGCUUAAUUGGGAUUGAGGAUGCUGUCAACCAUUCUCAAUGUUUAACAACCACCAUGAUAGUAAUUAAAUUUAUUCCUUUGAAGUAGGGAAAAAUUGGCUUUACGCAAAACUGUAACCAUAGAGCUUUCCACCAGCCAAAUAUGCAUAUAGUAUAGCUGUUUCAUUUCAUCACUCUCUAUGUGUUACCUUGCCAGCAUAUUCCAUGUGCUGACCCGUUUUCGGGAUGCAACGUUAAUGUUGCAGACUUUUCAGACGACUAUUAAGGAGUUUUUAGGUCGUGGUCCUAUACUCAGUGAUGCCGUUGGAGUUGAUGGACUCACUUAUCUUCCAAGCCUUCCACUGUUAUCGUUAUUAGAUGGCCUUAAGCCAUACUUAUUGUAAUAAGUUCUCUUUUGAGACACUCGAUGUAAUAAGUGUGUGAUUGCUACUCUGCUAUAAAUCCUCCAAGUACUGUGUGGUGUCAGCAUUACUGAUCCAGGGAUGACACCGGAGCACAGAGAUCAGACUGUUUGAGGUCUGGUCGCUACACCAAACUAAACCGAUAAUUCGAAGAGACUUGCAAAGAUAUCAAAUCAUGCAUAUAAGAAUUCAGAGAAGAACCAAAUAAUAUUCAUAGAUAAUCUUGUUCAUAAACCCACAAUUCAUCGGAUCUCGGCAAACACACCGCAAAAGAGUAUUACAUCAAAUAGGUCUCCAAGAACAUCGAGGAGAACUUUGUAUUGAGAAUCAAAGACAGAGAAGAAGCCAUCUAGCUAAUGACUAUGGACCCGAAGGUCUGUGGUAAACUACUCACGCUUCAUCGGAGAGGCUAUGGUGUUGAUGUAGAAGCCCUCCGUGAUCGAUUCCCCCUCCGGCAGAUCGCCGGAAGAGGCCCCAAGAUGGGAUCUCACAGGCACGAAAGGUUGUGGCGGUGGAAAAGUGGUAUCAUGGCUCUCUGCGAUCGAUCUAGGGUAUAAGAGUAUAUAUAGGCGAAAGGAGUACGUCGGUGGAGCUACGUGGGGCCUGAUACGUCCAUUUUGCAUCAUGCCUAUUUUCUCUUAUUUUACAAGGUUUUCAUGAAGAGGGAGAAUGCCGGCAGCUGGAAUUCUGGGCUGGAAAAGGACCAAAUAUUAGAGACCUAUUCAGCACAACUCCAAAAGUCCUGAAACUCCACGGAAGUCAGUUUUAAAAUAUAUAAAAAAUAUUGGGCGAAGAAAGCACCAGAGGGGGCCACCCACCAUCCACGAGGGUGGGGGCGCACCCUACCCCCUGGGCGUGCCCCCUGUCUCAUGGGCCCCCUGGCAGGCCUCCGGUGACCAUCUUUUGAUAUAUGAAGUCUUUCGCCCUGGAAAAAAUCAGAAGGAAGCUUUCGGGACAAAGAGCCACCGUCUCGAGGCAUAACCUUGGCGGAACCAAUCUAGGGCUCCGGCGGAGCUGUUAUGCUGGGGAAACAUCCCUCCGGGAGGGGGAAAUCAUCACCAUCGUCAUCACCAUCGAUCCUCUCAUCGGGAGGGGGUCAAUCUCCAUCAACAUCUUCACCAGCACCAUCUCAUCUCAAACCCUAGUUCAUCUCUUGUAUCCAAUCUUUGUCUCAAAACCUCAUAUUGGUACUUGUGGGCUGCUAGUAGUGUUGAUUACUCCUUGUAGUUGAUGCUUGUUUGUUUAUUUAGUAGAAGAUCAUAUGUUCAGAUCCUUUAUGCAUAUUAAUACCCCUCUGAUUAUGAACAUGAAUAUGAUUUUUGAGUAGUUACGUUUGUUCCUGAGGACAUGGGAGAAGUCUUGCUAUAAGUAGUCAUGUAAAUUUGACAUUCGUUCGAUACUUUGAUGAGAUGUAUGUUGUCUCUCCUCUAGUGGUGUCAUGUGCGUCGACUACAUGACACUUCACCAUUAUUUGGGCCUAGGGGAAGGCAUUGGGAAGUAAUAAGUAGAUGAUGGGUUGCUAGAGUGACAAAAGCUUAAACCCUAGUUUAUGUGUUGCUUCGUAAGGAGAUGAUUGGGAUCCAUAUGUUUCAUGCUAUGGUUAAUUAGGUUUACCUUAAUACUUCUUUUGUAGUUGCGGAUGCUUUCAAGAGGUGUUAAUCAUAAGUGGGAUGCUUGUCCAAGUAAGGGCAGUACCCAAGAACCGGUCCACCCACAUAUCAAAUUGUCAAAGUAACAAACACGAAUGAUAUGAGUGUGAUGAAAACUAGCUUGACGAUAAUUCCCAUGUGUCCUCGGGGGCGCUUUCCUUUAUAUAAGAGUUUGUCCAGGCUUGUCCUUUGCUACAAAAAGGAUUGGGCCACCUUGCUACACCUUGUUUACUUUUAUUACUUGUUUCUCGUUACGAAUUACGUACCUUAUCACAAAACUAUCUGUUAUCGAUAAUUCCAGUGCUGGCAGUGAAUACCUUACUAAAAACUGCUUGUCAUUUCCUUCUACUCCUCGUUGGGUUCGACACUCUUACUUAUCGAAAGGACUACAGUAGAUCCCCUAUACUUGUGGGUCAUCAGGGCCCACGAGGGUGGGGGCGCGCCUAUCCCCCCUGGGCGCGCCCUCCUGCCUCGUGGCCACCUCGUGGAGUUCCAGACUCCGAGUCCAAAUCUUCUGGAUUUAUUUUGGUCCAAGAAAGAUCAUCGCGAAGGUUUCAUUCCGUUUGGACUCUGUUUGGUAUUCCUUUUCUGCGAAACUCUAAAUAGGAAAAAAAACAGAAACUGGCACUGGGCCUUCGGUUAAUAGGUUAGUCCCAAAAAUAAUAUAAAAUAGCAUAUUAAAGCCCAUUAAACAUCCAAAACAGAUAAUGUAAUAGCAUGGAACUAUAAAAAAGUAUAGAUACGUUGGAGAUGUAUCAUAUCAGCCCUCACUUUCCUUUGCUUUAAGUCUAUAAUUACCUGCAGGCAUAAAAAUACACAAUUCACUUCAAGAAGCAAAAGUUUGAUUCCUAUGCUCCUUGUGGGAUGAUACAUUUACUUCAAAAUGGCUACAACUAAACCUUGUGCACUUGUAGGCCAUCAAUAUUUUUCUGGUGCCGUUGCCGGGGAGCUGAGCGCUUUUGGGCUUUGUCUUGAGUUUUGAAUUAUUUUGUGUUCUAAUGGUUUUUGUGGAUUGCAAGCCAACCAUGGUCCUUCAAGAACAAAUUUUUUAGGUAGGUGUGGAAUUAGUAGUGAGGGAGUCCUGGAUUAGGGGGUGUUCGGGUAGCCGGACUCCAGGACUAUGAAGAUACAAGAUUGAAGACUUCGUCCCGUGUCCGGAUGGGACUUUCCUUGGCGUGGAAGGCAAGCUUGGUGAUGCGGAUAUUCAAGAUAUCCUACCAUUGUAACCAACUUUGUGUAACCCUAACCCUCUCCGGUGUCUAUAUAAACCGGAGGGUUUUAGUCCGUAGGACAACUUCAUCAUACAACAAUCAUACCGUAGGCUAGCUUCUAGGGUUUAGCCUCCUUGAUCUCGUGGUAGAUCUACUCUUGUACUACCCAUAUCAUCAAUAUUAAUCAAGCAGGACGUAGGGUUUUACCUCCAUCAAGAGGGCCCGAACCUGGGUAAAACAUCGUGUUCCUUGCCUCCUGUUACCAUCUGGCCUAGACGCACAGUUCGGGACCCCCUACCUGAGAUCCGCCAGUUUUGACACCGACAUUGGUGCUUUCAUUGAGAGUUCCUCUGUGUCGUCGCUUUUAGGCCCGAUGGCUCCUUCGAUCAUCAACAACGAUGCAGUCCAGGGUGAGACUUUUCUCCCCGGACAGAUCUUCGUCUUCGGCGGCUUCGCACUGUGGCCCAAUUCGCUUGGCCACCUUGAGCAGAUCGAAAGCUAUGCCCCUGGCCAUCAGGUUAGGUUUGGAAGCCUAAACUACACGGCUGACAUCCGCGGGGACUUGAUCUUCGACGGAUUUGAGCCACAGCCAAGCGCGCCGCACUGUCUCGAUGGGCACGAUAUAGCUAUGCCGCCGAACAACGCCUUGGAGGCCGCACACGCAUCGGUUCCGACCGUUGAUUCGGAGCCUACUGCGCCGAUCGAGGAUCAGCAGUUGGACGCUGCCUCAGGGGCUGCAAUCUCAGAGGCGAUCGAGCCGAACUCCAGCCCCGCACUCCGCAUGGCCCGUGACUCUGAGGAGCCGAAUUCCUCUCCGAACUCUGAGCCCCCCGCGCCCCCGCCGAUCGAAUCCGAUUGGGCGCCAAUAAUGGAGUUCACUGCCGCAGACAUCUUUCAGCACUCGCCCUUCGGCGACAUCCUGAAUUCUCUAAAGUCUCUCUCUUUAUCAGGAGAGCCCUGGCCGGACUAUGGUCAACAAGGUUGGGAUACGGACGAUGAGGAAAUUCAAAACCCACCCACCACCCACUUCGUAGCCACUGUCGAUGACUUAACCGACAUGCUUGACUUCGACUCUGAAGACAUCGACGGCAUGGACGACGAUGCAGGACACGAGCAAGAACCAGCACCUGUAGGGCGCUGGAAGGCCACCUCGUCAUAUGACAUAUAUAUGGUGGACACUCCAAAGGAUGGAGAUGGCGAUGGAACAGCAGGGGACGAUACCUCUAAGAAACAGCCCAAGCGCCGGUGUCAGCGGCGCCGCUCUAAAUCCCGCCAAAGCAAAAACGGUGAUUCCGGCACGGGAGAUAAUACUACUCCGGAUAGCGCUGAAGAACACCCGCUCCAACAAGAUUCAGCACAGGAGGACAGAGAAGCCAGCCCUCAUGAGAGGGCGGCGGACCAAGAGGUUGAGGACGAUAAUUAUACGCCUCCCUCCGAAGACGAGGCAAGCCUCGACGACAACGAGUUCGCCAUGCCAGAGGAUCUCGCCGAACAAGAGCGUUUUAAACGCAGGCUUAUGGCCACGGCAAGCAGCCUCUAGAAAAAGCAGCAACAGCUUAGAGCUGAUCAGGAUUUGCUAGCGGACAGAUGGACUGAAGUCCUUGCGGCCGAAGAGUAUGAACUCGAACGCCCCUCUAAGAGUUACCCAAAGCGCAGGCUGCUACCCUAACUAGAGGAGGAAGCACUUACAUCACCAGCGCAUGACAUGGCCGACCGGCCACCUCGUGGCCGUGACAGAGAGGCCUCUUGGCCCUCCACUCAAGCCAUGCCCCGACGCCGCAUCAAGCAUACUAAGGCACGGGAAAAUGCGCCCGACCUGCGCGACAUACUGGAGGACAAGGCAAGGUAAACAAGAUCGAUCUACGGAUCAUGCAGGUGCCCCGCGGCACGUGACGGUGAUCGUCACUCCAGAUGCAAUAAAUCCGACCGGGCCGAACUCAACAGACAAAACUCCCUCAAGCUGCGUCGUGAUAUAGCACAAUACAGAGGCGCCGCACACCCACUAUGCUUCACAGAUGAAGUAAUGGAUCAUAAAAUCUCUGAGGGCUUCAAACCCGUAAACAUCGAAUCGUAAGAUGGCACAACAGAUCCUGCGGUAUGGAUCGAGGAUUAUCUCCUUCAUAUCCACAUGGCCCGCGGUGAUGAUCUACACGCCAUCAAAUACCUCCCACUCAAACUUAAGGGACCGGCCCGACAUUGGCUUAACAGCUUGCCAGCAGACUCAAUCGGUUCUUGGGAGGACCUGGAAGCCGCAUUCCUUGACAACUUCCAGGGCACUUAUGUGCGACCACCGGACGCCGAUGACCUAAGCCACAUAAUUCAGCAGCCAGAGGAAUCGGCCAGGCAAUUCUGGACACGGUUCCUAACAAAGAAAAACUAGAUAGUCGACUGUCCGGACGCAGAGGCCUUAGCGGCCUUCAAGCAUAAUAUCCAUGACGAGUGGCUUGCCCGGCACCUGGAACAGGAAAAGCCGAAAUCUAUGGCAGCCCUCACGACACUCAUGACCCGCUUUUGUGCGGGAGAAGACAGCUGGCUAGCUCGCAGCAACAAUUUAACCAAGAACCUUGGUAAUUCGAAUACCAAGGACAAAAGCGACAGGUCGCGUCGGAAAAAAAAGGCCGCGUUAACAGCGACAGCAACGAGGAUACGACAGUUAAUGCCGGAUUCUGAGGCUACAAAUCCGGUCAACGGAAAAAGACAUUCGAAAGAAAUACUCAGGGCCCGUCCAGUUUGGACCAAAUACUCGACCGCUUGUGCCAGAUACAUGGCACCCCCGAAAAGCCAGCCAAUCACACCAACAGGGACUGUUGGGUGUUCAAGCAGGCAGGCAAGUUAAGAGCCGAAAACAAAGACAAGGGGCUGCAUAGCGACAACGAGGAGGAGCCCAGGUCGCCGAACAAUAGUGGACAGAAGGGAUUUCCUCCCGCAAGUGCGGACGGUGAACAUGAUAUACGCAACCCACAUCCCCAAGAGGGAGCAGAAGCGUGCGUUACGGGACGUAUAUGCGAUGGAGCCAGUCGCCCCAAAGUUCAACCCAUGGUCCUCCUGCCCGAUCACCUUUGAUCGAAGGGACCACCCCACUAGCAUCCGUCACGGCGCUUCGCCGCAUUGGUUCUAGACCCAAUCAUUGACGGAUUUCAUCUCACAAGAGUCCUCAUGGAUGGCGGCAGCAGCCUGAACCUACUUUACCAGGAUACAGUGCGAAAAAUGGGCAUAGAUCCCUCGAGGAUCAAGCCCACCAAAACGACCUUUAAAGGCCUCAUACCAGGUGUAGAAGCCAACUGUACAGGCUCAGUCACACUGGAAGUGGUCUUCGGAUCUCCGGAUAACUUUCGAAGCAAGGAGUUAAUAUUCGACAUAGUCUCGUUCCGUAGUGGCUAUCACGCACUGCUCGAGCGAACCGCAUUCGCAAAAUUCAACGCGGUACCGCACUAUGCAUACCUCAAGCUCAAGAUGCCAGGCCCUAGAGGAGUAAUCGCGGUCAAUGGGAACACUGAACGCUCCCUCCAAACGGAGGAGCACAUGGCAGCGCUCGCAACAGAAAUACAAAGCAGCCUCUCUAGGCAGUUCUCCAGUUCAACCUUCAAAAGGCCGGACACUGCCAAGUGCGCCCGGAGUACCCUACAACAAGACUGCCUGGCACGUUCUGAGCUAGCGUAGCAUCGGCCCCAACCCUAGCCCUCGUGAUAUAGCGAAACCAGUGCUUCGUGUACAUAACUACGCUCUUGAAAUACCAUGGGCACAGGGGAAGGGGCACUAUCACGGCACGCCCAAAAUACGGCCUAAACCGCACCAGGGGCUGCCGGAUUCCUCUUUUUUCUUUUUUCUCUUACUCUCAGGACUCCAUACUUCGGAUGACCCAUUCGGCAAUUCAACUGCCGCACAAACGAUGCAAGAUCCAGGAAAGCAGACAAGCCACGCCGCAUUAUGGAACUCCCAGGUGGUCUCUAUUGCGAGCAGUAUACCUGUUUUUUAAUACAAUUCCGCGGCCUGCCCCUGGCCAGGACAUGUUAAAUAGUCCAAUUUGUUUUGCUUAUCGCACUAUUUGUAUCAUUCCGCUUUCAUAGCAGCCUUUCUAUAAACAAUGCAUAGCUUUUUGUCUAUUUCUUACAUUAUCCUCUUUUUAUAUAUAUGUUUAUAACAUGUUGCAUCCGUACACUGUGGUACGGCAAAAAUACGCCAGGGGCUUCAGUACCCAUCAAUAUGGCGUGAGAAGUCCGUACACUUUCACAAGUGCGGCACCCCGAACUUAUAGCACUAUAUGCAUCGGCUCCGAAUCAUGAUUUGGGUCAAUAGUUGGGUUUGCCCGGCUCCUAUGUUUUGGUGCCUUACAUUCCGCUAUAUCGGCUAAGGUAGCACUAGGAGAACUACUGCGAUUGUGCCCUAGUUAAGCUGGGCUGAGCACCUCAGUAGAGAAAGCUAAAACUGACUGUCAUGAUGAGGCGAGAGACCGGUCGCUGUUCGAGAGGGUUUUCGAGUCCUUAAAGACUUAUGCCACUUCGAGCGAGGAACCGGCUUUGUCCGGCCAAGGCGUGGAUAGCGCCCCGAACUCGGUCUUCCGAAUACUAGGGGCUUCGCCGAAAUUUAAAAUUAUAGAGUUCUAUGGCUAAGUGAGAGUGUUCAAGCAUUAUAGUCCGAUUGCCUUGUUCGUUGUGCUGAGCGCCUCCCUCGACAGACCCAAUCAUGGGAAAAAGAGCGCUCAGGUUUAUCCUGAACACCCCAGCACUAGUGGCAUGGGGGCAGAAGCCGACGACUGGCCAUCUCUCAAUUUUUUGAUAAACGGCCGCACAGAAAGUAAUAUUUUAAAUUCAACAAGCAUUGCUCAGCGCAUAUGAACAAGUUUUCAGCGCACAGGAUAACACGAGCGAGUUCAUUCAAAAAUUACAUCUUUGGUACAUUCAUCUGCCAUAAGGCGGGCACCAGCCAGAACAUCCUUGUAAUAGUUCUCAGGCUUGCGAUGCUCCUUCCCUGGCGGCGGCCCGUCCCUCACAAGCUUCUCACCGUCCAGCUUACCCCAGUGCACCUUUGCACGGGCAAGGGCCCUACGGGCACCUUCGAUGCAGACGGAGCGCUUGAUGAUCUCGAGCCUUGGACAAGCCUCCACCAGCCGCCGCACCAGUCCGAAGUAGCUCCCAGGCAGGGCCUCUCCAGGCCACAGCCGAACUAUGAAGCCCUUCAGGGCUUGUUCGGCCGCCUUGUGUAGCUCGACCAGCUGCUUCAGCUGGUCGCUCAAGGGCACAGGGUGUCCGGCCUCAGCGUACUGAGACCAGAACACCUUCUCCGUCGAGCUGCCUUCCUCGGCUUGGUAGAAUGCGGCGGCAUCGGAUACACUGUGGGGAAGAUCUGCGAAUGCCCCUGGAGAGCUCCGGAUUCGGGUAAGUAACAAGUAGCUUACUUUUAUAUGUCUGCUUUGCAUAGAGAAUGCCUUACCCGCCGCUAUCUUUUUCACCGCGUCCAAUUCCUGGAGGGCCUUCUGGGCUUCGGCCUUGGCAGAUUCGGCAGUUUUAAGGGCCGCAGCAAGCUCGGAAGCUCGCGUCUUCGAGUCGAGCUCCAAACUCUCAUGUUUUUUCAUGAGAGCCUGAAGCUCUUGCUGCACCCUGCCGACCUGCGCCUCAAAUUUCUCCCGCUCGGUACACUCCGUGGCCGCUUUCUUCUCGGCCUCAGACAGCGCCUGCUUGAGGGUCACCACCUCAGUUGUGGCCCCUACAACAAGCAGGGUACUCCUGUCAUUUUUUGCAAUUGCGUCUUCUUAUAGGCAUUUUUUCUAUAAGGUAUCUCUUACCUUCUUUCUCCUCGAGCUGCCGUUUGGCAAGGCCGAGCUCUUGCUCAGUCCGCUCGAGGCCCUGCUUCAGGGCACCCACCUCCGCAGUCAAUGCGGUGGUGGCCAGCAGCGAAGCCUGCAUACGUAUGUUGACUUCUUUUUAGUUAGACUCCUACGAUAUAUAAUAGAUCCUCUAUUCGGCUUUUCUUUUCGAACGCCAAACAGAGCAUCAGGGGCUACUGUCUAUGCGGUGAUAUUUUUAUAUAUUUUUUACUUACCUCGAAGCCUGUUAGAAGGCUAGAACAAGCUUCAGUCAGUCUGCUUUUGGCGGACCGAACCUUCUGGACCACCGUACUCAUGAUGGUACGGUGCUCCUCGUCGAUGGAGGCGCCCUUAAGCACCUCCAGCAGAUUGUCCGGCGCCUCCGGUUGGACGGAGGACGCCGGCUCAAUAGGCUUGCUCCUCUUAGCAGGAGUUCGCCUGCCGCGGUCCGGAACCAUUGAUGAUUCCGGCGCGGUGUCCGGCUUAAAGCCGGACUUGGAGCCCUGGGGGGUCUUGUCCCCUUUACUCCUGGAGUCCGGGAGGUCGCCUCGCGGUUCAUCCUAGACCACCUCCUCUUGCCCCGGAGCUUGUCGCGACGUCACUUCAGCGUCAUCCGCAGUGCAGGGGGAGGCAGCGGGCGGAACUGAAUUCACGUCCGAGGAAUCCAGGGAGCCGCUCGACGACUCGUCGAGCCCGUCCUUGGGCGGGCUGCAUGAUGAUAUUCGACAUUAGGGAAAGCUGCGCAACAAAAGGAGAAUCAUGAGUUAUUCUGGUAUCUGAACACUUACGAUUUCGCCGGACGCUUGGUCCUAUCCGGCCACUCCUCUUCGUCCUCGUCAGUGUCAGGAGCGUAGUCCAGCGGAGGGGUUUUCCUCUUCUUGGACCAUUCGGCCUCCCCUACUGGGGCGGCCUUCCUCUUCUUUCCUCCCCCCGCUAGAGGAGGAGAGGCCUCUUCUUCCUCCUCCUCGUCUUCACGGGAGGAGUGCGUCUCGGACUCGUCAGACGACGAGUCCGACACCACCAUAUGCCGGGAUCUCUUUCGAGUCCCCAUGGGCUUCUUCUUCUUGGCCUUCUUCUCCGGCACCACAUAAGGUGCCAGAACCAGCAGCUUCACUAGGAGAGCAGGGGCUGGGUCUUCGGGCAAGGGAGUCGGAUAGUUAAUCAGUCCACACUGCGCCUGCCAAUCCUGUCAAAGGUGAGGGAGUUUAGAUCCCGCAUAGAGUCAAACUAUGGAGAAACUUAACAUCCUGUAAAAGAUGAAAAUAUUUUACCUCGCCAGCAGGAUGCUGCGAGCUGAAUCUGCGGUCCUCGGAGGCGGAUGCGGGAGCCUCGACGCCUUUGGUUAGCCCCUUCCAAGCAUCUUCGUACAUCGUGUCGAAGAGCCUGCUCAGAGUUUAGUGUUGCGCCGGGUUGAACUCCCACAGAUUGAAGUCCCGUUCUUGACACGGAAGGAUCCGGUGGACGAGGAUGACCUGGACUACGUUGGCAAGCCUGAGCUGCUUGUUCACCAGGGACUAGAUGCAUUUUUGCAGUCCGGUCACCUCUUCUUCGUCGCCCCACGACAAGCCCGUCUCCUUCCAGGACGUGAGCCGCGUAGGGGGUCCGGAUCGAAAUUCAGGGGCUGCGAUCCACUUCGGAUCGCUUGGCUCGGUGAUGUAAAACCACCUUGACUGCCACCCCUUCAAGGUCUCCACAAAGGAGCCCUCGAGCCAUAGGACGUUGGCUAUUUUGCCCGCCAUGGCACCUCCGCACUCCGCCUGGUUGCCGUGCACCACCUUUGGCUUGAUGCUGAAGGUCUUGAGCCAGAGGCCGAAAUGGGGGUGGAUGCAGAGGAAAGCCUCACACACGACGAUAAACGCCGAGAUAUUGAGGAUGAAGUUCGGGGCCAGAUCGUGGAAAUCUAGGCCAUAGUAUAACAUGAGCCCGCGGACGAAUGGGUGGAGAGGAAAACCCAGUCCGCGGAGGAAGUGGGGAAGAAAUACUACCCUCUCAUGGGGCCUUGGGGUGGGGAGAAGCUGCCCCUCCUCAGGACCCGGUGCGUGAUGUCUUUGGACAGGUAUCCGGCCUUCCUUAGCUUUUUGACAUAGCUCUCCGUAACGGAGGAGACCAUCCACUUUCCUCCCGCUCCAGACAUUGUUGGAGAAGGUUGAGGUAGGAAGUGCGGGCUUGGGCGCUGGAGCUCGGGUGCGCAGAAGAUGGAUGGGCAAAGGAGGAAGAAGGCGUAGGUAAAAAGGUGGAUCCGUAUCCCCUUAUAUGGGCGGAUGCGACUGUGCGUCCCCACCAGCCUAGUAAAACUCGCUUGCCCAGCGCCGUGAUAAAUGGCGCGGUUGGGUUACCCACGUCCGUAUUGAUGAGAAUCCCGUAAAUGGGGGACACGAUCUCUGCUUUGACAAGACGUGCCAAGGAAACCGCCUCGCAAAACACGCUGAGGUGGAAAAGUGAAAACAAUUCGAAUAGAGGCUUGGUCGUAGUGUGAUGUCACGCUACGGAAUACGUCAGCAGAUUAGAUUUGUGUUAAUAUUAUUCUCUCUGUGGCAAUGCGUGGAAACUUAUUUUGCAGAGCCGGACACUACUUUUGGUGUUUACAAACUUUUAUGAAGAAUUUGGAGGAGGAACCCGCCUUCCAAUGCCGAAGACAAUCUACGCGCCGGACUCGUCGUCAUUGAAGCCUGGUUCAGGGGCUACUGAGGGAGUCCUGGAUUAGGGGGUGUUCGGGUAGCCGGACUAUACCUUCAGGCGGACUCCGGGACUAUGAAGAUACAAGAUUGAAGACUUCGUCCCGUGUCCGGAUGGGACUUUCCUUGGCAUGGAAGGCAAGCUUGGCGAUGCGGAUAUUCAAGAUCUCCUACCAUUGUAACCGACUUUGUGUAACCUUAACCCUCUCCGGUGUCUCUAUAAACCGGAGGGUUUUAGUCUGUAGGACAACUUCAUCAUACAACAAUCAUACCGUAGGCUAGCUUCUAGGGUUUAGCCUCCUUGAUCUCGUGGUAGAUCUACUCUUGUACUACCCAUAUCAUCAAUAUUAAUCAAGCAGGACGUAGGGUUUUACCUCCAUCAAGAGGGCCCGAACGUGGGUAAAACAUCGUGUUCCUUGCCUCAUGUUACCAUCCGGCCUAGACGCACAGUUCGGGACCCCCUACCCGAGAUCCACCGGUUUUGACACCGACAAGUAGCAUGACCAGUUCGAGGAAAGAACUUUAUAUCUGUUGGUCCUGACUAUCUGGUAAAGUAUUUGACAUAAACCCUCGGUUAAUUGAUGUGUUUAAAAAGAAUACCUUCUAAGGUGAUGCAAAAAAGCCAUUAUAAACAUAUUGAAAGCUUUAACAUUGUGUGUGGAACUUUUUAGUUGCAGGAUUUAACUAACGAGGAGAUAAAGACUAAAAUAUUUCCUUAUUCACUUGAAAGAGGAGCUACUGAAUGGCUAUCACAUCAUCCCGUAAGUACCUUGAGUAAUUUGCCAAAAUUAGUAUCUGCGCUCUAUGCUUGUUAUUACCCUCAAGGAAAGUUAUAUACAAUAAUAAUAAAGAUUAGCAGCUUUGUACAACAAUCAGGUGAGAAACUGGAAGAUGCAUAUAUAAGGUAUCGUGGAAUACUUUCUGCAUCUCCUGAACACCAUUAUCCUAAUUGUUUAAUUGUGAAAUUAUUUUAUGAGGGACUUGAUUCCCAAAGUAAACAGACUUUAGAUCUUGCUUCCAAAGGUUCUUUUAUGGGAACUGAGAUAUCAGAGGCUUGGAAUUUACUUGAUAGAACUCGGCAUAAUGCUGAGAGUUGUUACCUGUGUUCAAAGGAGAAAAGUAAGCUUGAUCAUGUUUAUGAUACUAUUAAGUCUUUUCUAAGAACAAAGGAGAUGAAAGACCUUCGUCAUGAGCUAAAUAUUGGAACUGAGCCCAUUUUGCAUUAAAAAAUUCAUAAAACAUAACGGGGAAUCCAAAGCUAUUUGCAUGGUCAAAGCCAUAGUGAAGAAGACCACUCCACCCUAGAACCGAAAAGAGGCUUAUCACAAUCAGAAGAAUAAAAAGCACGAGGAAUCACUUUCAGCUAAGGAUAAGAAGAGAAUGAAAAUGGAACAGUGUGGGUGUUGGGGAACGCGGUAAUUUCCAAAAAAAUCCUACGCACAUGCAAGAUCUAUCUAGGUGAUGCAUAGCAACGAGAGGCAAGAGUGUUGUCCACGUACCCUCGUAGACCGUAAGUGGAAGCGUUAUGACAACGCGGUUGAUGUAGUCGUACGUCUUCACGAUACGAUCGAUCCUAGCACCGAAGGUAUGGCACCUCCGCGAUCUGCACACGUUCAGCUCGGUGACGUCCUGCGAACUCUAGAUCCAGCUGAGUGUCGAAGGAGAGUUUCGUCAGCAUGACGGCGUGAUGACAGUGAUGAUGAAGCUACCGGCGCAGGGCUUCGCCUAAGCACUGAACUGAUAUGACCAAGGUGGAAAUCUGUGGAGGGGGGCACCACACACAACUAAACAAUCAAUUUGUGUUUCUAUGGGGUGCCCCCUCCUCGGUAUAUAAAGGAGUGGAGGAGGCGGAGGGCCGGCCCCACUAUGGCGCGCCCAAGGGAAGUCCUACUCCUACCAGGAGUAGGAUCCCCCCUUCCCUAGUUGGAUUAGGAGAGGAAGGAAGGGGAGAGAGGGGGAAGGAAAGGGGGGCCGGCUCCCACCCAAUUCGGAUUGGGCUUGGGGGGUGCCCCCUCCUAGGCUCCCUUCUCCUCUCUCCCACUAUGGCCCAAUAAGGGCCAUAUACUUCUCGGGGGGUUCUGGUAACCUCCAAGUACUCCGGUAUAUGCAUGAACUCACCCUGAACCAUUCUGAUGUCCAAACAUAGGCUUCCAAUAUAUCGAUCUUUAUGUCUCGACCAUUCCGAGACUCCUCGUCAUGUCCGUGAUCAUAUCCGGGACUCCGAACUACCUUCGGCACAUCAAAACACAUAAACUCAUAAUACCGAUCGUCACCAAACGUUAAGCGUGCGGACCCUACAUGUUCGAGAACUAUGUAGACAUGACCGAGACUCAUCUCUGGUCAAUAACCAAUAGCGGAACCUGGAUGCUCAUAUUGGUUCCUACAUAUUCUAUGAAGAUCUUUAUCGGUCAAACCGCAUAACAACAUACAUUGUUCCCUUUGUCAUCGGUAUGUUACUUGCCCGAGAUUCGGUCGUUGGUAUCUCAAUACCUAGUUCAAUCUCAUUACCGGCAAGUCUCUUUACUUGUUCCAUAAUGCAACAUCCCGUAACUAACUCAUUAGUUACAUUGCUUGCAAGGCUUAUAGUGAUGUGCAUUACGGAGAGGGCCCAGAGAUACCUCUCCGAUACACAGAGUGACAAAUCCUAAUCUCGAUCUAUGCCAACUCAACAAACACCAUCGGAGACACCUGUAGAGCAUCUUUAUAGUCACCCAGUUACGUUGUGACGUUUGAUAGAACACUAAGUGUUCCUUUGGUAUUCGGGAGUUGCAUAAUCUCAUAGACAUAGGAACAUUUAUGAGUUAUGGAUAAAGCAAUAGCAACAAACUAAACAAUCAUCGUGUUAAGCUAAUGGAUGGGUCAAGUCAAUCACAUCAUUCUCUAAUGAUGUGAUCCCAUUAAUCAAAUGACAACUCAUGUCUAUGGUUAGGAAACAUAACCAUAUUUGAUUAACAAGCUAGUCAAGAAGAGGCAUACUACUGACACUUUGUUUGUCUAUGUAUUCACACAUGUACUAAGUUUCCGAUUAAUAAGAUUCUAGCAUGAAUAAUAAACAUUUAUCAUGAUAUAAGGAAAUAUAAAUAACAACUUUAUUAUUGCCUCUAGGGCAUAUUUCCUUCAGUCUCCCACUUGCACUAGAGUCAAUAAUCUAGAUUACAUUGUAAUGAUUCUAACACCCAUGGAGUCUUGGUGUUGGUCAUGUUUUGCUCAUGAGAGAGGCUUAGUCAACGGGUCUGCAACAUUCAGAUCCGUAUGUAUCUUGCAAAUCUCUAUGCCUCCCUCCUUGACUUGAUCGCAGAUGGAAUUGAAGCAUCUCUUGAUGUGCUUGGUUCUCUUGUGAAAUCUGGAUUCCUUUGCCAAGGCAAUUGCACCAGUAUUGUCACAAAAGAUUUUCAUUGGACCCGAUGCACUAGGUAUUACACCUAGAUUGGAUAUGAACUCCUUCAUCAAGACUCCUUCAUUUGCUGCUUCUGAAGCAGCUAUGUACUCCGCUUCACACGUAGAUCCCGCCACAACGCUCUGCUUGGAACUACACUAACUGACAGCUCCACCAUUUAAAAAAUAUGUACCCGGUUUGUGACUUAGAGUCAUCCGGAUCAGUGUCAAAGCUUGGAUCGAUGUAACCGUUUACGACGAGCUCUUUGUCGCCUCCAUAAAUGAGAAACAUAUCCUUAGUCCUUUUCAGGUAUUUCUGGAUGUUCUUGACCGCUGUCCAGUGAUCCACUCCUAGAUUACUUUGGUACCUCCCUAAUAAACUAAUAGCAAGGCACACAUUAGGUCUGCUACACAGCAUUGCAUACAUGAUAGAACCUAUGGCUGAAGCAUAGGGAAUGACUUUCAUUUUCUCUCUAUCUUCUACAGUGGUCGGGCAUUGAGUCUGACUCAACUUCACACCUUGCAACACAGGCAAGAACCCUUUCUUUGCUUGAUCCAUUUUGAACUUCUUCAAAACUUUAUCAAGGUAUGUGCUUUGUGAAAGUCCAAUUAAGCACCUUGAUCUGUCUCUAUAGAUAUUGAUGCCCAAUAUAUAAGCAGCUUCACCGAGAUCUUUCAUUGAAAAAAUCUUAUUCAAGUAUCCUUUUAUGCUAUUUAGAUAUACAGUAUCAUUUCCGAUCAGCAAUAUGUCAUCCACAUAUAAUAUCAGAAAUGCUACAGAGCUCCCACUCACUUUCUAGUAAAUACAGGUGAUACGCCUCCAAUGUAUCUACUUUUCCAAACACUUUUGCCCUUGUUUUGGACUCUAACUUGCAAGAUUUGAGUGGAACUAACCCGGACUGACGCUGUUUUCGGCAGAAAUACCAUGGUGUUAUUUAUGUGCAGGAGCAAACGUUCUCGGAAUGACCUGAAACUUCACGGAGACACUUUUCAGAAAAUAAUAAAAAUACCGGCCAAAGAUGAAGGCCAGGGGGGGCACCACCUUGCCACGAGUGUGGGGGCGCGCCUGCCCCCCUAGGGCGCGCCUCCCUACCUCGUGGGCCCCCUGUUGCCUCUCCGACUCCAACUCCACCUCCAUAUAUUGAGUUUUGAGGAGAGAAGAAAUCAUCGCGUUUUAUGAUACGGAGCCGCCGCCAAGCCCUAAAACCUCUCGGGAGGGCUGAUCUGGAGUCUGUUCGGGGCUCCGGAGAGGGGAAUCCGUCGCCAUCGUCAUCAUCAACCAUCCUCCAUCACCAAUUUCAUGAUGCUCACCACCGUGCGUGAGUAAUUCCAUCAUAGGCUUGCUGGACGGUGAUGGGUUGGAUGGGAUCUAUCAUGUAAUCGAGUUAGUUCUGUUAGGGUUUGAUCCCUAGUGUCCACUAUGUUCUGAGAUUGAUGUUGCUAUGACUUUGCUAUGCUUAAUUCUUGUCACUAGGGCCCGAGUGCCAUGAUUUCAGAUCUGAACCUAUUAUGUUUUCAUCAAUAUAUGAGCGUUCUUGAUCCUAUCUUGCAAGUCUAUAGUCACCUAUUAUGUGUUAUGAUCCGUUAACCCUGAAGUGACAAUAAUCGGGAUACUUCCCGGUGAUGACCGUAGUUUGAGGAGUUCAUGUAUUCACUAUGUGUUAAUGCUUUGUUCCGGUUCUCUAUUAAAAGGAGACAUUAAUAUCCCUUAGUUUCCGUAAGGACCCCGCUGCCAUGGGAGGGUAGGACAAAAGGUGUCAUGCAAGUUAUUUUCCAUAAGCACGUAUGACUAUGUUCGAAAUACAUGCCUACAUUAUAUCAAUGAACUAGAGCUAGUUCUGUGUCACCCUAGGUUAUGGCUAUUACAUGAUGAACCGCAUCCGGCAUAAUUCUCCAUCACUGAUCCAUUGCCUACGAGCUUUCCAUAUAUUGUUCUUCACUUAUUUACUUUUCCGUUGCUAUUGCUAUGAUCAUUACAAAAUACCAAAAACAUUACUUUUACUACUGUUACCUUUUGCUACUGUUAUCACCACUAUCAUAUUACUUUUCUACUAAACACUUUGCUGCAGAUAUUAAGUUUCCAGGUGUGGUUGAAUUGACAACUCAGCUGCUAAUACUUGAGAGUAUUCUUUGGCUCCCCUUGUGUCGAAUCAAUAAAUUUGGGUUGAAUACUUUACCCUUGAAAACUGUUGCGAUCCCCUAUACUUGUGGGUUAUGAAGACUAUUUUCUGGCGCCGUUGCCGGGGAGCAUAGCUCUAUUCUUUGAGUCACUUGGGAUAUAUAUCUGCUUAUCAUUAUGAAGAACUUGAGAGAUCCAAAAACCAAGAUCUAUCCCUCAACUACGAGGGGAGGUAAGGAACUACCAUCUAGCUCUGCACUUGAUUCACCUUCUGUUAUGAGUAAGUUUGCGACACCUACACCUGCUUCUGCUAUUCGUUCUAAUAUGUCGCAUGUUAUUGAUGAUGCCACUUCUGCUAUGCAUGAUACUUAUGAUGAAACUACCUCUAUGCCUGAUACUACAAUGCCACUUAGUGCUUUUCUUGAUGAACAACUUGCUAGGGCUAGAGAAAUUGAAAAUAUUGAAUCUGAUGAUACUGAUGAAAGUGAUGAUGAAGAACCAUUUGCCAUUCCUAAGGGUUAUGUUUUUUAUCAAGAUGCUUCUUUAGCUAUUUUAGCUUGCAGAAAUAGAAUUGAACUUAAAAGAUUAUUAGCUAAAUGUAGUAAGCAAUCUCUAAAUGCUAGAAUGAAACCUGACCCUACUUUUGCUACUUCACCUAUCUUUGUUACUGAUAAGGAUUAUGAAUUCUCUGUUGAUCCUGAUAUAAUUACUUUGGUUGAAUCUGAUCAUUUUCAUGGUUAUGAAUCUGAAACUGUUGUGGCACAUCUUACUAAACUGAAUGACAUAGCUACCCUGUUCACUAAAGAUGUGAGAACUCGCUACUUUUAUAUCCUUAAAAUAUUUCCAUUCUCAUUAAAGGGUGAUGCUAAGGUGUGGUUUAAUUCUCUUGAUCCUGGUUGUGUGCAUAGUCCCUAGGAUAUGAUUUAUUACUUCUCUGCUAAAUAUUUCCCUGCUCAUAAGAAACAAGCUGCUUUAAGGGAUAUAUAUAAUUUUGUGCAAAUUGAAGAAGAGAGUCUCCCACAAGCUUGGGGGAGGCUUCUCCAAUUACUUAAUGCUUUGCCUGAUCAUCCUCUUAAGAAAAAUGAAAUAUUUGAUAUCUUUUAUAAUGGGCUAACCGAUGCCUCCAGAGAUUACCUGGAUAGUUGUGCUGGUUCUGUUUUUAGGGAAAGAACACCGGAUGAAGCUGAAAUUCUAUUGAAUAAUAUGUUGACAAAUGAAAAUAAUUGGACACCUCUGGAGCCAAUUCCUGAGCCUAUUCCUAAACCAACUCCGAAGAAGAGGGGUAUUCUAUUUCUCAGUCCUGAAGAUAUGCACGAGGCAAAGAAAUCUAUGAAAGAAAAGGGUAUUAAAGCUGAAGAUGUUAAGAAUUUACCUCCUAUUGAAGGAAUACAUGGUCUUGAUAACCCGACACAGGUAGUAAAGGUAAAUUCUCUCUAUAGAUAUGAUAAAGCUGAAAUCCCAUUUACUAAGUUUGCUAGCCCAUGCUUAGAUGAGUUUCAUAAAUUUAUGGCUAAGCAAGAAGACUUUAAUGCUUAUUUUGGUAGACAAUUGAAAUACAAUUCAAAUAUGCUUGGACACUUGGGUGAUUAUAUGGCUAAUGUUAAAGGUGAACUUAAACUUAUUAGUAAACAUGCUUCGAUGGUUACCACUCAAGUAGAACAAGUACUUAAAGCUCGAAAUGAUUUGCUCAAUGGAUUGAAUAGUAAGAAUAAUGAUAAUGAUGUUAGAGUUAUGACUAGAGGUGGUAGAAUGACUCAGGAACCUUUGUAUCCUGAAGGCCAUCCUAAGAGAAUUGAGCAAGAUUCUCAGAGAAAUAAUUUAGAUGCACCCUAGUUCUUCUAAAAAGAAGAAAAAGAAAAAUGAUAGGACUUUGCAUGCUUCUAGUGAUCCUAUUGUUGAAACACCUAAGAAUCCAAAUGAUAUUUCUAUUUCUGAUGCUGAAACUCAACCUGGUAAUGAACCUGAAACUAGUGAUAACAUUCAUGAUGAUGCUCAACCUAGUAAUGAUAAUGAUAUAGAAAUUGAACCAACUGUUGAUCUUGAUAACCCACAAUCAAAGAAUCAACGUUAUGAUAAGAAAGACUUUGUUGCUAGGAAACAUGGUAAAGAAAGAGAGCCUUGGGUUCAGAAACACAUGCCCUUUCCUCCCAAACCAUCCAAGAAAAAGGAUGAUGAGGAUUUUGAGCGAUUUGGUGAAAUGAUUAGACCUAUCUUUUUGCGUAUGCGAUUAACUGAUAUGCUUAAAACCAAUCCUUAUGCUAAGUAUAUGAAAGAUAUUAUUACAAAUAAAAGAAAGAUACCGGAAGCUGAAAUUUCCACCAUGCUUGCUAAUUAUACUUUUAAGGGUGAAUACCAAAGAAACUUGGAGAUCCAGGAGUACCCACUAUACCAUGCUCCAUUAAAAUAAACUAUGUUAAAACUGCUUUAUGUGAUCUUGGAGCCGGUGUUAGUGUUAUGCCUCUCUCUUUAUAUCGUAGACUUGAUUUGAAUAAGUUGACACCUACUGAAAUAUCUUUAAAAAUGGCUGAUAAAUCAACUGCUAUACCUGUCGGUAUUUGUGAGGAUGUGCCUGUUGUAGUUGCAAACGUUACUAUUUUAACGGACUUUGUUAUACUUGACAUUCCCGAGGACGAUAGUAUGUCUAUUAUUCUUGGAAGACCCUUUUUGAAUACUACAUGGGCUGUUAUUGAUUGCACUAAAGGCAAUGUCACUUUUCAUGUUAAUGGUAAUGAGCACACGGUACACUUUCCGAGGAAACAACCUCAAGUUCAUAGUAUCAACUCUAUUGGAAAAAUUCCAUCGAUUAUAUUUGGAGGUUUUGAAUUUCCUCUUCCUACUGUCAAGAAGAAAUAUGAUAUUGUUAUUAUUGGGGAUGUGCAUAUCCCCGUUGAGGUAACAUAGUGUUAUUCGAAAUUUCUCCGGUUCCAUGUUAUUUGGAAUGAGUUCAUUAACAAGACUUGAUCAACCUUGUUAGUGGAUUCCUUUUGAUGAUCAUGAGAUGGAUGAAACUAGAAGGCACAACCUUCUGUACCCCACUUUUACUUUCUGUUAUCUAUAUUAAAUAAAAUAGAAAUAAAUAUUUUUCUGUUUGUUAUCUGAUUAUCCGUGCAAUAUAAAAAUACCUCGAAAAUAAAAGUUCUCCAAAUGCCCUAAAAAUUAAAUAUAAUUUUUUCUAGAAUAUUUGAGGAUUUAUGGAACUCAGAACACACGAGGGGGGCCAACCACCUGCCGACGAGGGUGGAGGGCGCGCCCACCCCUCUAGGGCGCGCCCCCUGCCUUGUGGGCCCACAGUGGCCCUCCUCCACUUAUCCUUUCACCCAUACACUCCUUCUUCCUCCCCCAAACACGAAUAACCAGCUCAAACCCGAGUCCAAGCUCGUUUUGCUGCCAUUUUCGAUCUCCUUGCUCAAAGCACCUCUCACAAAACUGCUUGAGGAGAUUGUUCCUUGGUAUGUGACUCCUCCAUUGGUCCAAUUAGUUUUAGUUCUAGUGCUUUAUUCAUUGCAAUUUUUUGCUGCUUAGGUGACCCUGUUCUUGAGCUUGCAUGUCAAAUUUAUAUGGUCACAAGUAGUUUUGAUGCAUGAUAUAGCCCUAGGCACUUGCAGGAGUAGUUGCUAUCAAUAUUAUUGAGUUUGGUUUACUUUUAUUUUGAAGUUACUAAAAACUUCAGAGUUUUUCAAAAAAUGAUGUGGAGACUCUUGAGGGGUUCAUUGAGCCAAAGCUCGAAGGAAAAGGCACAAAAGCCUAAGUAUAACCUGCCUCGCACCGCAGAGGUUCGGGCGUGUGAAUGGCCUUCCGAGGAUUUCUUAAGAGCAGCCGGGAUUUAUGAAGAUUUUCAUGAGUUGGCUCAGACUGCAGGCCUUAUCGCUUUCCUCCACGACCAAUGCGAUCAGUAUCUCUUGCUCACAAAUAUAUUUCUGCAAAACUUUCAUUUCCAUUCUAGGAUCUCACCACCUACGGUGGAGUUUUAUUUAUAUGAUGAGCAUAAGGAGAUGUCACUUUAUGAUUUCUGUCAGAUUUGUUUAGUCCCUUUUGAGGGCAAUACAGAAGAACCACAUCAUGAUGAUGUGGAGGGAUUUAUUGACACUAUCACUAUAGGGGAAACAAGGAAGGUUUCCGAUGCACGAAUCACUAGCAUACACUUUCCUGGUUUACGUUAUUUUGCAUUAUUUGCUAGUCGUUGCUUAAUUGGUCGCGGAAACUGUGGAAACCUGAGUAUCCCUGAUAUUAUUAUUUUGCACCACGGUUUAUACGGUGAUAACUCUUUUAGUAUGGGUGGCAUUAUUGCCAAACGGUUAAGUCUGAACCGUACCAAGGGCCCGAUCUUUGGAGGCAUCUAUGCCACACGCCUAGCUGCACAUUUUAACAUACCUAUUAGGCAUUAUGAGAAGGAAGAAAAGGUGCUGCCUUGUGUUUAUUUAGAUUAUAAAAGUAUGGUAGCACAUGAUUUUAUUGUUAAGAAUAGGGAAGGAGAGCUUAAAUAUCAAUUGUUCUUUAAUAAACAUCAUCCUGAGACUAUUACCUUGCCUGCUCCUUCUUUGUUUGAUUUGACUAUAGGCACGUACCUUGUUCCGUUGACGGCUAUUCACGCCUACCGGAACCCUGCACCAGCCGAGGAGCUAGAGCUGGAACCAUAAUUUGAUCCGUCACGACAGUCUAAUUAUCAGUGGGAUCUAGAGAUGAUUGUCAGCCAGUGGCAAUCAGAGUCUUCCUCUUCCGCAUCACAGUACGACCCCAACUAUUAUUAUGGAUAUCCGUCAGGCCAGCCGUGGCCAUAGACCAACUUAGGCCAAAAGCCUAAGCUUGGGGGAGUACGUAUUUCUCACCGACAUUACAUUUAUGCUCACACACUCAUUGCUAGAUGUCGGUGCUCAUACUUUUUAAUUGUAUCAUACAUGCUAGUUUAUUUUCCUUUUUUAUGCUUUCUUCUUGUGUGUUUAAUAAACCUAAAGAAAAACCAAAAAAAUUAGUUGUAGCUUUUAAUUAGUUUACUUUCCAUGCUUGUAGUAGUAAUUAAAAAGAAAACCCAAAAAGAUUUCCUGUUCUUCUUUUGCUUGUUGGGAGCUUUCCCAUGUAAAUAGUUUUAUUUCUUUUCUUUUCCUUGGGGGUUGGUAGGAGAAGACCAUAAUUAAAUUGUUGAAGUGGCUCUUAUAUGCAUUAUUGUUGAUCUGACAAAAGAGCCCAUAUUGCCUUGUCAUGUUUAUUCAAUGCCUGCAGAUUCCAGCUUAGUCCAAUGCAUGUGCACUAUUAUUAUUAUUCACAUCGUUCGGUCAUGCAAGUGAAGGGUAAUUAUGAUGAUAUAUGAUGGACUGGCUAAGAUGAGAAAAGCUGGUAUGAACUUGACCUCUUUUGUUUUUGUAAAUAUGAUUAGUUCAUCGUUCCUGAUUCAGCAUAUUAUGAAUAAACAUGUUUGCAAUGACAACUAGAGAUCAUAGUUUCUUGUGCCAUGCUUGAUUAGCUAUGAGUUAUAAUGGUCUACCUUGCGUGCCAACAUGCUAUUAAAAUGGUUAUGAUGUGGUAUGAUAGGGUGGUAUCCUCCUCUGAAUGAUUUAAGUGACUUGACUUGGCACAUGUUCAGGCAUGUAGUUGAAACAAAAUCAACAUAGCCUUCAUGAUAUUUAUGUUCAUGGUGGAUUAUAUCCUACUCAUGCUUGCAUUCAGUGUUGAGUAAUUUUAAUGCAUGUUAAUGACUGUUGUCGCUCUCUAGCUGGUCGCUUCCCAGUCUUUUUCUAGCCUUCACUUGUACUAAGCAGGAAUACUGCUUGUGCAUCCAAUCCCUUAAACCCCAAAGUUAUUCCACAUGAGUCCACUAUACCUACCUAUAUACGGUAUCUACCUGCCGUUCCAAGUAAAUUUGUAUGUGCCAAACUCUAAACCUUCAAAUAAAUAUCCUGUUUUGUAUGCUCGAAUAGCUCAUGUAUCAACUAGGGUUGUCUGUAUCUUCCAUGUUAGGCGGGUUAUUCUCAAGAGGAGUGGACUCCGCUCCUCACUCACGAGAUAAAUGGCUGGUCACCGGGAUGCCCAGUCCCAUGCUUUAUGUAAACUAAAUCAAAAUAAUUUCAAACAAAACUCCCCCUAGGACUCUUGCUAGUUGGAGGCACUCGUUGUUUCGAGCAAGCCAUGGAUUGAUGCUUGUGGUGGAAGGGGGAGUAUAAACUUUACCAUUCUGUUUGGGAACCGCCUAUAAUGUGUGUAGCAUGGAAGAUAUCACCAUCUCUUGGUUGUUAUGUUGACAAUGAAAGUAUACCGCUCAAAAUAUCAUUCACCUCUGUUUCAAAACCGAGCUCUGGCACCUCUACAAAUCCCUGCUUCCCUCUGCGAAGGGCCUAUCUAUUUACUUUUAUGUUGAGUCAUCAUCCUCUUAUUAAAAAGCACCCGUUGGAGAGCACCGCUGUCAUUUGCAUUCAUUAUUGUUAGUUUACAUUGAGUAUGACUUGACUGGAUCUCUUUUACCAUGAAUUACAAUGUCUAGUCAGUCCUUGGUCUUUAAAGGUGCUCUGCAUUUAUGUUUUGCGGUCUCAGAAAGGGCUAGCGAGAUACCAUCCUGUUAUAUCAUAUUAUGAUUGUUUUGAGAAAGUGUUGUCAUCCGAGAUUUAUUAUUAUGGCUCGCUAGUUGAUUAUACUAUUGAUAUGAGUAAACUUGAGAUCUAUGCGUUAUUGUGAAUGUGGUUAGUUAUAAUCUUUGCUGAAAACUUGAAUGCUGGCUUUACAUAUUUACAACAACAAGAGCAAAUAGAGUUUGUAAAAGUUUUUCUUUGUCUCUUUCAGUUUGUCAACUGAAUUGCUUGAGGACAAGCAAAGGUUUAAGCUUGGGGGAGUUGAUACAUCUCCAAUGUAUCUACUUUUCCAAACACUUUUGCCCUUGUUUUGGACUCUAACUUGCAUGAUUUGAAUGGAACUAACCCGGACUGACGUUGUUUUCAGCAGAAUUACCAUGGUGUUAUUUAUGUGCAGGAGCAAACGUUCUCGGAAUGACCUGAAACUUCACGGAGACACUUUUCAGAAAAUAAGGAAAAUACCUGCAAAAGAUGAAGGCCAGGGGGGGCACCACCUUGCCACGAGGGUGGGGGGCGCUCCUGCCCCCCUAGGACGCGCCCCCUACCUCAUGGGCCCCCUGUUGCCUCUCCGACUCCAACUCCACCUCCAUAUAUUGAGUUUCGGGGAGAAAAAAUCAGAGAGAAGAAAUCAUCGCGUUUUACGAUAUGGAGCCACCGCCAAGCCCUAAAACCUCUCGGGAGGGCUGAUCUGGAGUCCGUUCGGGGCUCUGGAGAGGGGAAUCCGUCGCCAUCGUCAUCGUCAACCAUCCUCCAUCACCGAUUUCAUGAUGCUCACCGCCGUGCGUGAGUAAUUCCAUCGUAGGCUUGCUGGACGGUGAUGGGUUGGAUGGGAUCUAUCAUGUAAUCGAGUUAGUUUUGUUAGGGUUUGAUCCCUAGUGUCCACUAUGUUCUGAGAUUGAUGUUGCUACGACUUUGCUAUGCUUAAUGCUUGUCACAAGGGCCCAAGUGCCAUGAUUUCAGAUCUGAACCUAUUAUGUUUUCAUCAGUAUAUGAGUGUUCUUGAUCCUAUCUUGCAAGUCUAUAGUCACCAAUUAUGUGUUAUGAUCCGUUAACCCCGAAGUGACAAUCAUCGGGAUACUUCCAGGUGAUGACCGUAGUUUGAGGAGUUCAUGUAUUCACUAUGUGUUAAUGCUUUGUUCCGGUUCUCUAUUAAAAGGAGACCUUAAUAUCCCUUAGUUUUUGUAAAGACCCCGCUGCCACGGGAGGGUAGGACAAAAGAUGUCAUGCAAGUUCUUUUCCAUAAGCACGUAUGACUAUGUUCGAAAUACAUGCCUACAUUAUAUCAAUGAAGUGGAGCUAGUUCUGUGUCACCCUAGGUUAUGACUGUUACAUGAUGAACCGCAUCUAGCAUAAUUCUCCAUCACCAAUCCAUUGCCUACGAGCUUUCCAUAUAUUGUUCUUCGCUUAUUUACUUUUCCGUUGCUAUUGCUAUAAUCACUACAAAAUACCAAAAACUUUACUUUUACUACUAUUACCUUUUGCUACCAUUAUCACCACUAUCAUAUUACUUUGCUACUAAACACUUUGCUGCAGAUAUUAAGUUUCCAGGUGUGGUUUAAUUGACGACUCAGCUGCUAAUACUUGAGAAUAUUCUUUGGCUCCCCUUGUGUCGAAUCAAUAAAUUUGGGUUGAAUACUUUACCCUCGAAAAUUGUUGCGAUCCCCUAUACUUGUGGGUUAUCAACAGGCUUCUCCAAAAGUUUGUAUAAAACCAUAUGCUUUGGUCACACUUAUCAAAGCGUAUAUUCCAACUCCGAGAGGUUGCACCAGUCCAUAAAUGGAUCGCUGGAGCUUGCACACUUUGUUAGCACCUUUUGGAUCGACAAAACCUUCUGGUUGCAUCAUAUACAACUCUUCUUUAAGAUAUUCAUUAAGGAAUGCAGUUUUGACAUCUGUUUGCCAAAUUUCAUAAUCAUAAAAUGCGGCAAUUGCUAACAUGAUUCGGACGUACUUAAGCAUCGCUACGGGUGAGGUCUCAUCGUAGUCAAAUCCUUGAACUUGUCAAAAACCUUUUGCAACAAGUCGAGCUUUGUAGACAGUAACAUUACCGUCAGCGUCAGUCUUCUUCUUGAAGAUCCAUAUAUUGUAUAUGGCCUGCCGAUCAACGGGAAAGUCAACCAAAGUCCAUACUUUGUUCUCAUACAUGGAUCCCAUCUCAGAUUUCAUGGCCUCAAGCCAUUUUGCGGAAUCUGGGCUCAUCAUCGCUUCCUCAUAGUUCGUAGGUUCUUCAUGGUCAAGUAACAUGACCUCCAGAACAGGAUUACCGUACCACUCUAGUACGGAUCUUACUCUGGUUGACCUACGAGGUUCUGUAGUAACUUGAUCAGAAGUUUCAUGAUCAUCAUCAUUAGCUUCCUCACUUACUGGUGUAGGAAUCACUGGAACUUAUUUUUGUGAUGAACUACUUUCCAAUAAGGGAAUAGGUACAAUUACCUCGUCAAGUUCUACUUUCCUCCUACUCACUUCUUUCAAGAGAAACCCCUUCUCUAGAAAGGAUCCAUUCUCAGCAACGAAUAUCUUGCCUUUGGAUCUGUGAUAGAAGGUGUACCCAACAGUCUCCUUUGGGUAUCAUAUGAAGAAACAUUUCUCCGAUCUGGGUUCGAGCUUACUAGGUUGAAGCUUUUUCACAUAAGCAUCGCAGCCCCAAACUUUAAGAAACGGCAACUUGGGUUUCUUGCCAAACCACAGUUCAUAAGGUGUCGUCUCAAUGGAUUUUGAUGGUGCCCUAUUUAAUGUGAAUCCAACCAUCUCUAAAGCAUAACCCCAAAAUGAUAGCGAUAAAUCAGUGAGACACAUCAUAGAUUGCACCAUAUCUAAUAAAAUGCGGUUACGACGUUCGGACACACCAUUACGUUGUGGUGUUCCAGGUGGCGUGAGUUGCGAAACUAUUCCGCAUUGUUUCAAAUGAAGACCAAACUCAUAACUCAAAUAUUCACCACUGUGAUCAGAUAGUAGAAACUUAAAUUUCUUGUUAUGAUGAUUUUGCACUUCACUCUGAAAUUCCUUGAACUUUUCAAAUGUUUCAGACUUAUGUUUCAUCAAGUAGAUAUACCCAUAUCUUCUCAAAUCAUCUAUGAAGGUAAGAAAAUUAUGAUACCCGCCGCGAGCAUCAACACUCAUCGGACCGCAUACAUCAGUGUGUAUUAUUUCCAACAAGUCUGUUGCUCGCUCAAUUGUUCUGGAGAACGGAGUCUUAGUCAUCUUGCCCAUGAGGCAAGGUUCGCAAGCGUCAAGUGAUUCAUAAUCAAGUGAUUCCAAAAGUCCAUCAGAUUGGAGUUUCUUCAUGCACUUUACACCAAUAUGACCUAAACGGCAGUGCCACAAAUAAAUUGCACUAUCAUUAUUAAACUUAUAUCUUUUGGCUUCAAUACUAUGAACAUGUGUAUCACUACUAUCAAGAUUUAGUAAAACCAGACCACUCAUCAUGGGUGCAUGACAUAAAAGAUAUUAUAUUCAUAUAAAUAGAACAACCAUUAUUCUCUGAUUUAAAUGAAUAACCGUCUCGCACUAAACAAGAUCCAGAUAUAAUGUUCAUGCUCAACGCUGGCACCAAAUCACAAUUAUUUAGGUCAAAAACUAAUCCCGAAGGUAGAUGUAGAGGUAGUGUGCCGACGACGAUCACAUCAACUUUGGAACCAUUUCCCACGCGCAUCGUCACCUCGUCCUUAGCCAAUCUUUGCUUAAUUCAUAUCCCCUGUUUUGAGUUACAAAUAUUAGCAACAGAACCAGUAUCAAAUACCCAGGCGCUACUGCGAGCAUUAGUAAGGUACACAUCAAUAACAUGUAUAUCGAAUAUACCUUUCACUUUGCCAUCCUUCUUAUCCGCCAAAUACUUGGGGCAGUUCCGCUUACAAUGACCAGUCCCUUUGCAGUAGAAGCACUCAGUCUCAGGCUUAGGUCCAGACUUGGGUUUCUUCACUUGAGUAGCAACUUGCUUGCCGUUCUUCUUGAAGUUCCCCUUCUUCCCUUUACCCUUUUUCUUGAAAUCGGUGGUCUUCUUGACCAUCAACACUUGAUGCUCUUUCUUGAUUUCUACCUCUGUGGCCUUUAGCAUUGCGAAGAGCUCGGGAGUUGUCUUAUCCAUCCCUUGCAUAUUAUAGUUCAUCAUGAAGCUCUUGUAGCUUGGUGGCAGUGAUUGAAGAACUCUGUCAAUGACACUAUCAUUAGGAAGAUUAACUCCCAGCUGAGUCAAGUGGUUGUGGUACCAAGACAUUCCGAGUAUAUGUUCACUGACAGAACUAUUCUCCUCCAUUUUGCAGAUGUAGAACUUAUUGGAGACUUCAUAUCUCUCAAUCCGGGCGUUUGCUUGAAAUAUUAACUUCAACUCCUGGAACAUCUCAUAUGAUCCAUGACUUUCAAAACAUCGUUGAAGUCCCGGUUCUAAGCCGUAAAGCAUGGCGCACCGAACUAUCGAGUAGUCAUCAGCUUUGCUUUGCCAGGUGUUCACAACAUCUCCCGUCGCGCCUGCAGCAGGUUUGUCACCUAGCGGUGCUUCCAGGACGUAAUUCUUCUGUGCAGCAAUGAGGAUAAUCCUCAAGUUACGGACCCAGUUUGUGUAGUUGCUACCAUCAUCUUUCAACUUAGCUUUCUCUAGGAAUGCAUUAAAAUUCAACGGAACAAUAGCACGGGUCAUCUAUCUACAACAACAUAGACAUGCAAAAUACUACCAGGUACUAAGUUCAUGAUAAAUUAAAGUUCAAUUAAUCAAAUUACUUAAGAACUCCCACUUAGAUAGACAUCCCUCUAAUCAUCUAAGUGAUCACGUGAUCCAUAUCAACUAAACCAUGUCUGAUCAUCACGUGAGAUGGAGUAGUUUUCAAUGGUGAACAUCACUAUGUUGAUCAUAUAUACUAUAUGAUUCAUGCUCGACCUUUCGGUCUAAGUGUUCCGAGGCCAUAUCUGCAUAUGCUAGGCUCGUCAAGUUUAACCCGGGUAUUCUGCUUGUGCAAAACUGGCUUGCACCCGUUGUAUGUGAACGUAGAGCUUAUCACACCCGAUCAUCACGUGGUGUCUUGGCACGACGAACUGUAGCAACGGUGCAUACUCAGGGAGAACACUUAUACCUUGAAAUUUAGUGAGAGAUCACCUUGUAAUGCUACCGCCGAACUAAGCAAAAUAAGAUGCAUAAAGGAUAAACAUCACAUGCAAUCAAUAUAAGUGAUAUGAUAUGGCCAUCAUCAUCUUGUGCCUUUGAUCUCCAUCUUCAAAGCACCGUCAUGAUCACCAUCGUCACCGGCUUGACACCUUGAUCUCCAUCGAAGCAUCAUUGUCGUCUCGCCAGCUAUUGCUUCUACGACUAUCGCUACCGCUUAGUGAUAAAGUAAAGCAAUUACAUGGCGAUUGCAUUUCAUACAAUAAAGCGACAACCAUAUGGCUCCUGCCAGUUGCCGAUAACUCGUUUACAAAACAUGAUCAUCUCAUACAAUAAAAGUUUAGCAUCAUGUCUUGACAAUAUCACAUCACAACAUUCCCUGCAAAAACAAGUUAGACGUCCUCUACUUUGUUGUUGCAAGUUUUACGUGGCUGCUACGGGCUUCUAGCAAGAACCAUUCUUACCUACGCAUCAAAACCACAAUGCGCUAUAGUGAUUGAUUUUUGAUCUUCAUAAAGAACCAUGUUCAUUGAAUCCAAUUCAACUAAAGUUGGAGAAUCUGACACCCACUAGCCACCUGUGUGCGAAGCACGUCGAUAGAACCAGUCUCGCGUAAGCAUACGCGUAAUGUCAGUCUGAGUUGCUUCAUCCAACAAUACCACUGAAUCAAGAAUCAACUAGUGACGGCAAGCAAUAUGUAUAUACCCACGCCCACAACUCCUUUGUGUUCUACUCGUGCAUAUAACAUCUACACAUAGAUCUAGGUGAUGCAUAGCAACGAGAGGGAAGAGUGUUGUCCACAUACCCUCGUAGACCGUAAGAGGAAGCGUUAUGACAACGCGGUUGAUCUAGUCGUACGUCUUCAUGAUCCGACCGAUCCUAGCAUCGAAGGUACGGCACCUCCGUGAUUUGCACACGUUCAGCUCGGUGAUGUCCCGCGAACUCUAGAUCCAGCUGAGUGUCGAGGGAGAGUUUCGUGAGCAUGACGACGUGAUGACGGUGAUGAUGAAGCUACCGGCGCAGGGCUUCGCCUAAGCACUGCAACAAUAUGAUCGAGGUGGAAAUUUGUGGAGGGGGGACCACACACGGCUAAACAAUCAACUUGUGUGUCUAUGGGGUGCCCUCUCCCCCGCAUAUAAAGGAGUGGAGGAGGGGGAGGGCCGGCCCCCCUAUGGCGCGCCCAAGGGAGUCCUACUCCUACUGGGAGUAGGAUUCCCCCCCCCCCCUUCCCUGGUUGGAUUAGGAGAGGGAGGAAGGGGGAGAGAGGGGGAAGGAAAGGGGGGCCGCCCCCACCCAAUUCAGAUUGGGCUUCGGGGGGCGCCCCCUCCUAGGCUCCCUUCUCUCUCCCACUAUGGCCCAAUAAGGCCCAUAUACUUCCCGGGGGGUUCCGGUAACCCCUCGGUACUCCGGUAUAUGCCCGAACUCACCUGGAACCAUUCCGAUGUCCAAACAUAGGCUUCCAAUAUAUUGAUCUUUAUGUCUCGACCAUUCCGAGACUCCUCGUCAUGUCCAUGAUCAUAUCCGGGACUCCGAACUACCUUCGGUACAUCAAAACACAUAAACUCAUAAUACCGAUCGUCACCAAACGUUAAGCAUGUGGACCCUAUGGGUUCGAGAAUGAUGUAGACAUGACCGAGACUCAUCUCCGGUCAAUAACCAAUAGCGGAAGCUGGAUGCUCAUCUUGGUUCCUACAUAUUCUAUGAAGAUCUUUAUCGGUCAAACCGCAUAACAACAUACGUUGUUCCCUUUGUCAUCGAUAUGUUACUUGCUCGAGAUUCGAUCGUCGGUAUCUCAAUACCUAGUUCAAUCUCAUUACUGGCAAGUCUCUUUACUCGUUCCGUAAUGCAACAUCCCGUAACUAACUCAUUAGUUACACUGCUUGCAAGGCUUAUAAUGAUGCACAUUACCGAGAGGGCCUAGGGAUACCUGUCCGAUACAUGGAGUGACAAAUCCUAAUCUCGAUCUAUGCCAACUCAACAAACACCAUAGGAGACACCUUUAGAGCAUCUUUAUAGUCACCCGGUUACGUUGUGACGUUUGAUAGCACACUAAGUGUUCCUCUGGUAUUCGGGAGUUGCAUAAUCUCAUAGUCAUAGGAACAUGUAUAAGUUAUGGAUAAAGCAAUAGCAACAAACUAAACGAUCAUCGUGCUAAGCUAAUGGAUGGGUCAAGUCAAUCACAUCAUUCUCUAAUGAUGUGAUCCCGUUAAUCAAAUGACAACUCAUGUCUAUGGUUAGGAAACAUAACCAUCUUUGAUUAACGAGCUAGUCAAGUAGAGGCAUACUAGUGACACUUUGUUUGUCUAUGUAUCCACACAUGUACUAAGUUUCUGGUUAAUACAAUUCUAGCAUGAAUAAUAAACAUUUAUCAUGAUAUAGGGAAAUAUAAAUAACAACUUUAUUAUUGCCUCUAGGGCAUAUUUCCUUCAGUGGGACACCACAUUAUGUUGAUAUUAUGAACGAACUUGCUACACCCAUACCAGUGAUUAAUAAAAAAAGUUUAUCUAGAUCGAGACACCACUUCUUAUCUCAAAAGGUGUGCCAAAGGUAAGGAUGCAUGUAAACAUAUCAGAUUCCUUCAAAAGCAAGCCUUACUUUGGGUUGUGUGACCCUGGAUCCCUAGUCAAUAUUAUUCACUAUACACUUUAUGCAAAAAUUAAUGAGGAAAUAUCACCAUGUUCUCUUGAGCCAACUAAUGUUGUUAUUAAGCUUGCAGAUAAGACUGGUAGAAAACCAUGUGGAAUUCUUAAAGAUGUCUAUGUUAUAAUAUGAUCACUCAUUUAUCCCAUUGAUGUUUAUGUACUAAUGAAUUUUGAGGAUAAAAAUUGUCCUAUUGUUUUUGGAACCUCUUUCCUGAAUGUUGCAGGGGCAUAUAUCAAAAAGAAAACUAUCUCCAUGAAAUCAGGGAUGAGAUUAUUAAAUUCCCAUUCUCUUUAGUCUUAAGCAAAUCAUAUCAAGAAGAAGCUCAAGAUGAGGAGGAACAAAAAUUUGAUGAACUAGCUGAAAUUCAUCUCCAAACCCCGGAAGAUGAAAUUGAGCGGAUCCUGGUAAGAACCGAGUCUCUGUUUGAAGGAUAGAAAGAGGAGAUUGAAAUGAUAAUGGAUGCUACUUUAAUAGUUUGCCCGCGCUUAAGUAAAGUGUAUGAGGUACUUGAAAGGAAAGGAGAUGAAGAACUACCUCCUCCUAACCUAAAACAUUACCAAAAGGGCUAAGGUGUGAGUUUAUGGAUGACACAAAUAGGUUUCCUGUUAUUGUUAGUGCUGACCUUCCAUGAAAAUAGAAAGGGAAGCUCUUAAUGGUGCUAAGUAAAAAACGUAAAUCUUUAGGAUAUUCAAUGAAGGAUGUAAAGGGGAUACAUCCAUCCAUAUAUUCUCAUGAUAUUCCCACUGAAGAAGGAGCUAAAUCGGUGAUUGAAAGUCAGUGAAGACUGCACUCCGCUUCCAAGAAUGUAGUAAGAAAAGAAGUAAUAUGUCUUCUUGACGCAGGGGUAAUUUACCCUAUCUGUGAUAGUAAGUGGGUAAGUCCAGUCCAUUGCAUUCCUAAAAAAGGGAGGAAUCUCCUUAGUGACUAACGAAAAUAAUGACCUAGCCCCUGAAGGAAAUAUGCCCUAGAGGCAAUAAUAAAGUUGUUAUUUAUAUUUCCUUAUAUCAUGGUAAAUGUUUAUUAUUCAUGCUAGAAUUGUAUUAACUGGAAACUUGAUACAUGUGUGGAUACAUAGACAAAACAGAGUGUCCCUAGUAUGUCUCUACUUGACUAGCUCGUUAAUCAAAGAUGGUUAAGUUUCCUGGCCAUAGACAUGUGUUGUCAUUUGAUGAACGGGAUCACAUCAUUAGAGAAUGAUGUGAUGGACAAGCCCAUCCGUUAGCUUAGCAUCAUGAUCAUUUAGUUUUAUUGCUAUUGCUUUCUUCAUGACUUAUACAUGUUCCUCUGACUAUGAGAUUAUGCAAAUCCCGAAUAUCGGAGGAACACCUUGUGUGUUAUCAAACAUCACAACAUAAUUGGGUGAUUAUAAAUAUGCUCUACGGGUGUCUACAAUGGUGUUUGUUGAGUUGGCAUAGAUCGAGAUUAGGAUUUGUCACUCCAUGUAUCGGAGAGGUAUCUCUGGGCCCUCUCGGUAAUGCACAUCACUAUAAGCCUUGCAAGCAAUGUGACUAAUGAGUUAGUUGCGGGAUGAUGUAUUAUGAAACAAGUAAAGAGACUUGCAGGUAACGAGAUUGAACUAGGUAUGAUGAUACCGACGAUCGAAUCUCGGUCAAGUAACAUACCGAUGACAAAGGGAAUGACAUAUGUUGUUAUGCGGUUUGACCGAUAAAGAUCUUCGUAGAAUAUCUAGGAGCCAAUAUGAGCAUCCAAGUUCCGCUAUUGGUUAUUGACCAGAUAUGUGUCUCGGUCAAGUCUACAUAGUUCUUGAACCCAUAGGGUCCGCACGCUUAACGCUCGAUGAUGAUUUAUAUUAUGAGUUAUGUGAUUUGAUGACUGAAGUUGGUUCGGAGUCCCGGAUGAGAUCACAGACAUGAUGAGGAGUCUCGAAAUGGUCGAGAGGUAAAGAUCGAUAUAUUGGAAGGCUAUAUUCGGACAUCGGAAUGGUUCUGAGUGAUUCGGGUAUUUUUCGGAGUACCAGAGAAUUACGGGAAUUCGCCGGGGGAAGUUAAUGGGCCUUAUUGGGAUUUAGUGGAGAGAGGGAAGAAGGGCCACGAGGUGACGCGCGCCUCCCCCCUGCCCAAACCGAAUUGGACAAGGGGUGCGGGCGUGCCCCCCCCCCCUUCCUUCUCCCCCUCCGUCCUUUCCUUCUUUCGUACUCCAAAAAGGAAAGGGAAUCCUACUAGGACUUGGGAGUCCUAGUAGGACUCCCUACACUUGGCGUGCCCCUAGGAGGGCCGGCCUCUCUCCCUCCCUCCUUUAUAUAUGUGGGCAGGGGCACCCAAAAGGGAUACCAAGUCUUCUCUUAGCCGUGUGCGGUGCCCCCUCCACAGUUACACACCUUGGUCAUAUCGUCGUAGUGCUUAGGCGAAGCCCUGCGUCGGUAACUUAAUCAUCACCGUUACUAGGCCAUCAUGCUGACGGAACUCUCCCUCGUCCUCAACUGGAUCAAGAGCUCGAGGGACGUCAUUGUGCUGAACGUGUGCUGUACACGGAGGUGCCGUACGUUCGGUACUUGGAUCGGUUGGAUCGUGAAGACGUUCGACUACAUCAACCGUGUCACUAACGCUUCCGCUUUCGGUCUACGAUGGUACAUGGACACACUCUCCCGUAUCAUUGCUAGGCAUCUCCUAGAUAGAUCUUGCAUGAUCGUAGGUAAAUUUUUGAAAUACUGUGUUCCCUAACAGUGUGGCAUCCGAGCCAGGUCUAUGCGUAGAUGUUAUAUGCACGAGUAGAACACAAUGAGUUGUGGGCGAUAAUAGUCAUACUGCUUACCACCAACGUCUUACUUUGAUUCGGCGGUAUUGUUGGAUGAAGCGGCCCGGACCGACAUUACAUGACCGCGUUCAUGAGACUGGCUCUAUCGAUGUGCUUCACACACAAGUGGCUGGCGGGUGUCUGUUUCUUCAACUUUAGUUGAAUCGAGUUUGACUACGGCCGGUCCUUAUUGAAGGUUAAAACAACACACUUGAUGAAAAAUCAUUAUGAUUUUGAUGCGUAGGUAAGAACGGUUCUUGCUAGAAGCCCGUAGCAGCCACGUAAAACUUGCAACAACAAAGUAGAGGACGUCUAACUUGUUUUUGCAGGGCAUGUUGUGAUGUGAUAUGGUCAAGACGUGAUGAGAUAUACAUUGUUGUAUGAGAUGAUCAUGUUUUUUAGAAGUUAUUGGCAACUAGAAGGAGCCUUAUGGUUGUCGCUUUAUUGUAUGAAAUUCAAUCGCCAUGUAAUGGCUUUACUUUAUCACUAAGCGGUAGCGAUAGUCGUGGAAGCAAUAGUUGGCGAGACGACAACGAUGCUACGAUGGAGAUCAAGGUGUCAAGACGGUGACGAUGGAGAUCAUGACGGUGCUUUGGAGAUGCAGAUCGAAGGCACAAGAUGAUGAUGGCCAUAUCAUGUCACAUAUUUUGAUUGCAUGUGAUGUUUAUCUAGUAUGCAUCUUAUUUUGCUUAGUACGGCGGUAGCAUUAUAAGAUGAUCCCUCACUAAAUUUCAAGGUAUAAGUAUUCUCCCUGAGUAUGCACCAUUGCGAUAGUUCGUCGUGCUGAGACACCACGUGAUGAUCGGGUGUGAUAAGCUCUAAGUUCACAUACAACGGGUGCAAGACAGUUUUGCACACGCGGAAUACUCGGGUUAAACUUGACGAGCCUAGCAUAUGCAAAUAUGGCCUCGGAACACUGAGACUGAAAGGUCGAACGUGAAUCAUAUAGUGGAUAUGAUCAACAUAGAGAUGUUCACCAUUGAAAACUACUCAUUCUCACGUGAUGAUCUGACAUGGUUUAGUUGAUAUGGAUCACGUGAUCAUUUAGAUGACUAGAGGGAUGUCUAUCUAAGUGUGAGUUCUUAAGUAAUAUGAUUAAUUCAACUUUAAUUUAUCAUGAAGUUAGUCCUGAUAAUAUUUGCAAAUUUUGUUGUAGAUCAAUAGCUCAUGUUAUAGAUCCCCGUUUAUUUUUGAUAUGUUCCUAGAGAAAAAUAAGUUGAAAGAUGAUAGUAGCAAUGAUGCGGACUGGAUCCAUGAUCUGAGGAUUAUCCUCAUUGUUGCACAGAAGAAUUAUGUCCUUGAUGCACCGCUAGGUGAUGAACCUUUUGCAGGAGUAGAUGCAGGCGUUAUGAACGUUUGGCAAGCUCGGUAUGAUGACUAGUUGAUAGUUUAGUGCGCCAUGCUUUACGGCUUAGAACUAGGACUUCAAAAAUGUUUUGAACGCCACGAAGCAUAUAAGAUGUUCCAAGAGCUGAAAUUGGUAUUUCAGACUCAUGCCCAAGUCGAGAGGUAUGAGACCUCUGACAAGUACUUUGCCUACAAGAUGGAGGAAAAUAGCUCAACUAGUGAGCAUGUGCUCAGAAUGUCUGAGUACUACAAUCGCUUGAAUUAAGUGGGAGUUAAUCUUCCAGAUAAGAUAGUGAUUGACAGAGUUCUCUAGUCACUAUCACCAAGUUACUGGAACUUCAUGAUGAACUAUAAUAUGCAAGGGAUGACGAAAACAAUUCCCGAGCUCUUCGCGAUACUGAAAGCGGCGAAGGUAGAAAUCAAGAAAGAACAUCAAGUGUUGGUGGUUAACAAUACCACUAGUUUCGAGAAAAGGGGCAAAGGAAAAGAAAGGGAACUUCAAAGAAUGGCAAGCAAGUUGCCACUCCUGUGAAGAAACCCAAAGCUAGACCUAAGCAUGAAACUGAGUGCUUCUACUGCAAAGGGAAUGCUCACUGGAAGCGGAACUACCCCAAAUAUUUAGUGGAUAAGAAGGAUACCAAAGUGAAAGAUAUAUUUGAUAUACAUGUUAUUGAUGUGUACUUUACUAGUGUUCAUAAUAACCCCAGGGUAUUUGAUACCGGUUCAGUUGCUAUGAUUAGUGACUCGAAAGAGGAGUUACAAAAUUAACAGAGACUAGUUGAGGGCGAGGCAACGAUAUGUGUUGGAAGUGAUUCCAAGGUUGAUAAGAUCACCAUCGCAUACUCCCUUUACCUUCAGGAUUAGUGUUGAACCUAAAUAAAUGUUAUUUGGUGUUUGUGUUGAGCAUGAAUAUGACUGGAUCAUGUUUAUAGCAAUAUGGUUAUUCAUCUAAGUUAGAGAAUAAUUGUUGUUCUGUUUACAUGAAUAAAACCUUCAAUGGUCAUACACCUAAUGUGAAUGGUUUGUUGAAUCUCGAUCGUGGUUAUACACAUAUUCAUAAUAUUGAUGCCAAAAGAUGCAAAGUUGAUAAUGAUAGUGCAAAAUAUUUGUGGCACUGCCAUUUAGGUCAUAUUGGUGUAAAGCGCAUGAAGAAACUCCAUGCUGAUGGGCUUUUGGAAUCACUUGAUUAUGAAUCACUUGAUGCUUGCAAACCAUGCCUCAUGGGAAAGAUGACUCCAUUCUCCGAAACAAUGGAGCGAGCAACUGACUUAUUGGAAAUAAUACAUACUGAUGUAUAUGGUCCGAUGAGUGUUGAGGCUCGCGGCGGGUAUCGUUAUUUUCCGACCUUGACAGAUGAUUAGAGCAGAUAUGGGUAUAUCUACUUGAUGAAACACAAGUCUGAAACAUUUGAAAAGUUCAAAGAAUUUCAGAGUGACGUGGAAAAUCAUCGUAACAAGAAAAUAGAGUUUUUGUGAUCUGAUCGUGGAGGUGAAUAUUUGAGUUAUGAGUUUGGUCAUCAUUUGAAACAAUGUGGAAUAGUUUCACAACUCAUGCCACUUGGAACACCACAGCAUAAUGGUGUGUCCGAACGUCGUAACCGUACUUUAUUAGAUAUGGUGCGAUCUAUGAUGUCUCUUACCGAUUUACCACUAUCAUUUUGGGGUUAUGCAUUAGAGACAACUGCAUUCAUGUUAAAUAGGGCACCAUCUAAAUCCGUUGAGGCGACACCGUAUGAACUAUGGUUUGGCAAGAAACCAAAGCUGUUGUUUCUUAAAGUUUGGGGCUGCGAUGCUUAUGUGAAAAAGCUUCAACCUAAUAAGCUCGAACCCAAAUCGAAGAAAUGUGUCUUCAUAGGAUACCCAAAGGAGACUCUUGGGUACACCUUCUAUCAUAGAUCCGAAGGCAAGAUAUUGAUUGCUAAGAAUGGAUCCUUUCUAGAGAAGGAGUUUCUCUCGAAAUAAGUGAGUGGGAGGAAAGUAGAACUUGAUGAGGUAAUUGUACCUUCUCCUGAAUUGGAAAAUGGUUCAUCACAGAAAUCAGUUCCAGUGAUGCCUACACCAAUUAGUGAAGAAUUUAAUGAUGAUGAUCAUGAAACUUCAGAUCAAGUUACUACCGAACCUCGUAGGUCGACCAGAGCAUGAUACACACUAGAGUGGUACGAUAAUCCUGUUCUGGAAAUCAUGUUACUAGACCAUGAUGAACCUACGAACUAUCAGGAAGCAAUGAUGAGCCCAGAUUCCACGAAAUGGCUUGAGACCAUGAAAUCUGAGAUAGAAUCCAUGUAUGAGAACAAAGUGUGGACUUUGGUGGACUUGCCCGAUGAUCGGCAAGCCAUUGAGAAUAAAUGGAUCUUCAAGAGGAAGAUGGACGUUGAUAGUAGUGUUACUAUCUACAAAGCUCGACUUGUCGAAAAGGGUUUUUGACAAGUUCAAGGUGUUGACUACGAUGAGAUUUUCUCACUCGUAUCGAUGCUUAAAGUUUGUUUGAAUCAUGUUAGAAAUUGCCACAUUUUAUGAAAUCUGACAAAUGGAUGUCAAAACUACAUUCCUUAAUGGAUAUCUGAAAGAAGAGUUGUAUAUGAUGCAACCGGAAGGUUUUGUCGAUCCAAAAUGUGCUAACAAAGUGUGCAAGCUACAGCAAUCCAUCUAUGGACUGGUGCAAGCAUCUUGGAGUUGGAAUAUAUGCUUUGAUGAGUUGAUUAAAGCAUAUUGUUUUAUACAGACUUGCAGUGAAGCCUGUAUUUACAAGAAAGUGAGUGGGAGCACUACAUCCUUUUUGAUAAGUAUAUGUGAAUGACAUAUUGUUGAUCAGAAAUGAUGUAGAGUUUUCUGGAAAGCAUAAAGGGGUGUUUGAAAGGAGUUUUUCAAAGAAAGACCUCGGUGAAGCUGCUUACAUAUUGGGCAUCAAGAUCUAUAGAGAUAGAUCAAGACGCUUGAUAAGAUUUUUCAAUGAGUACAUACCAUGACAAGAUUUUGAAGUAGUUCUAAAUGGAAUGGUCAAAGAAGGAGUUCUUGCCUGUAUUGCAAGGUUGAGUAAGACUCAAAACACGACCACGGCAGAAAAUAGAAAGAGAAUGAAAGUCAUUCCCUAUACCUCAGCCAUAGGUUCUAUAAAGUUUGCUAUGCUAUGUACCAAACCUAUUGUGUACCUUGCCAUGAGUUUGGCAAGGGGGUACGAUAUUGAUCCAGGAGUGGAUCACUAGACAGCGGUCAAAAUUAUCCUUAGAAAACUAAGGAGAUAUUUCUCGGUUAUGGAGGUGAUAAAGAGUUCGCCGUAAAGAGUUAUGUCGAUGCAAGCUUUUACACCGAUCCAGAUGACUCUAAGUCUCAAUCUGGAUACAUAUUGAAAGUGGGAGCAAUUAGCUAAAGUAGCUCCAUGCAGAGCAUUGUAGACAUAGAAAAAUUACAAAAUACAUACAGCUCUGAAUGUGACAGAUCCAUUGACUAAACUUCUCUCACAAGCAAAACAUGAUCACACCUUAGUACUCUUUGGGUGUUAAUCACAUGGCGAUGUGAACUAGAUUAUUGACUCUAGUAAACCCUUUAGGUGUUGGUCACAUGGUGAUGUGAAAUAAUCACAUAAAGAUGUGAACUAUUGGUGUUAAAUCACAUGACGAUGUGAACUAGAUUAUUAACUCUAGUGCGAGUGGGAGACUGAAGGAAAUAUUCCCUAGAGGCAAUAAUAAUGUUGUUAUUUAUAUUUCCUUAUAUCAUGAUAAAUAUUUACUAUUCAUGCUAGAAUUGUAUUAACUAGAAACUUGAUACAUGUGUGGAUACAUAGACAAAACAGAGUGUCCCUAGUAUGCCUCUACUUGACUAGCUCAUUAAUCAAAGAUGGUUAAGUUUCCUGACCAUAGACAUGUGUUGUCAUUUGAUGAACGGGAUCACAUCAUUAGAGAAUGAUGUAAUGGAGAAUACCCAUCCGUUAACUUAGCAUAAUGAUCAUUUAGUUUUAUUGCUAUUGCUUUCUUCAUGACUUAUACAUGUUCCUCUGACUAUGAGAUUAUGCAACUCCCGAAUACCGGAGGAACACCUUGUGUGCUAUCAAACGUCACAAUGUAACUGGGUGAUUAUAGAGAUGCUCUACAGGUGUCUCCAAUGGUGUUUGUUGAAUUGGCAUAGAUUGAGAUUAGGAUUUGUCACUCCGUGUAUCGGAGAGGUAUCUCUAGGCCCUCUCGGUAAUGCACAUCACUAUAAGCCUUGCAAGCAGUGUGACUAAUGAGUUAGUUGUGGGAUGACGCAUUACGGAAUGAGUAAAGAGACUUUCCGGUAACGAGAUUGAACUAGGUAUGAUGAUACCGACGAUCGAAUCUCGGGCAAGUAACAUACCAAUGACAAAGGGAAUGACAUAUGUUGUUAUGCGGUUUGACUGAUAAAGGUCUUCGUAGAAUAUGUAGGAGCCAAUAUAAGCAUUCAGGUUCCGGUAUUGGUUAUUGACCGGAGAUGUGUCUCGGUCUUGUCUACAUAGUUCUCGAACCCGUAGGGUCCGCACACUUAACGUUCGAUGACGAUUUAUAUUAUGAGUUAUGUGAUAUGAUGACCGAAGUUUGUUCAGAGUCCCGGAUGAGAUCACAGACAUGACGAGGAGUCUUGAAAUGGUCGAGAGGUAAAGAUCAAUAUAUUGGAAGGCUAUAUUCGGACAUCGGAAUGGUUCUAAGUGAUUCGGGUAUUUUUCAGAGUACCGGAGAGUUACGGGAAUUCGCCAGGGGAAGUUAAUGUGCCUUAUUGGGCUUUAGUGGAGAGAGGGAAGAAGGGCCACGAGGUAGCGCGCGCCUCCCCCCUGCCCAAACCGAAUUGGACAAGGGGUGGGGGCGCCCCCCCCCCCCCUUUCCUUCUCCCUCUCCCUCCUUUCCUUCUUUCCUACUCCGAAAAGGAAAGGGAAUCCUACUAGGACUUGGGAGUCCUAGUAGGACUCCCUACACUUGGCGUGCCCCUAGGAGGGUCGACCUCUCUCCCUCCCUCCUUUAUAUACGUGGGCAGGGGCACCCCAAAGAGACACCAAGUCUUUUCUUAGCCGUGUGCGGUGCCCCCCUCCACAAUUACACACCUUGGUCAUAUCGUCCUAGUGCUUAGGCCAAGCCCUGCGCCGGUACCUUAAUCAUCACCAUCGCCAUGCCGUCAUGCUGACAGAACUCUCCCUCGUCCUCAACUGGAUCAAGAGCUCGAGGGACGUCAUUGUGUUGAACGUGUGUUGAACACGAAGGUGCUGUACAUUUGGUACUUGGAUCGGUUGGAUCAUGAAGACGUUCGACUACAUCAACCACGUUACUAAACGCUUCUGCUUUCGAUCUACGAGGGUACAUGGACACACUAUCCCGUCUCGUUGAUAUGCAUCUCCUAGAUAGAUCUUGCGUGAUCGUAGGUAAAAUUUUGAAAUACUGUGUUCCCCAACAGUCCCUACUAGGGCUAUUGUUGGAUAUAGAAUGUGUGUUGUUUUAAGGAAAUGAAAUAACUGGACCCGGAAAGAUCACUACCUACUACCCUUUAUAAAUGAGAUAUUGGACAGGUUGGCCAACAACUCUUAUUUUUCUAUCUCGAUGGAUAUUCCGGAUUUUCGCAAAUACAUAUCUGACCUGAAAACCAAGAAAAACUACCUUCACUUACCCAUACGGUACAUAUGCAUGUCUUCCUUUAAAAAUUUCUAGCCUUCGCUCAACCACCUUGUCUACGUUAUUAUUACUGGCUUCUGCGUGGGCACGGUUGUUAUAUCUAUACUUAACUAUGACAUGGUCUCUCUUCUUCCCAAAGUUAAGGGUGUGGAUAACAUAUGGCUGUUUAGACCGAUUGCCCUGAUUAAUAACAUCACCAAAUUUCCUUCGAAGGGGUUCGCGACUAGGUUGUCUUACAUUACUCACAAGGUCAUAGGGAAGCAGCAAUUGGCCUUUAUUAAAGGGUGUUUCAUUUUGGAUGGCUUUCUUAGUUUACAUGAAAUUUUACAUGACCUUAAAUCGAGGCAGUGUAACACGGUGAUCAUCAAGUUGGACUUCGAAAAGCAUAUAAUUCGGUUAAUUGGUCUUUCCUUCGCAACGUACUUCUGGCCAAGGGCUUUGACGACGCCGACAUGCACCGCCUCAUGCAACUUGUGUGCCCCCUUGUGGGGGGGGGGGGACAUGGUUGUGAAUGUGAAUGGGGGUGGUCAUCCCUUUCUUCAAAAAUGUCAGGGGCCUUAGACAAGGGAUCAUGUCUCCCCUAUACUAUUCAACUUCGUGGAUGAUGCCUUCUCUUGCAUUCUCAACCGUGUUGCUGCCACGGGCCAUAUCUCCCUGGUUGUCUCCCACCUGAUCCUGCCUGGUGUUUCGCACUUGCAAUAUGUUGAUGAUACUAUCAUCUUGGUUGAGAACUCUGACCGAUAGAUCGCGAACUUUAAAUUCCUCUUUUUCUCCUUCGAGGAGCUCUCCGGGCUUAAGGUUAAUUUUUCUAAGAGUGAAGUUCUAGUUUUGGGUGCCCCCGCUAAGGAGGCGUGCAGGGUAACUAACCUUUGAAACUGCAAACUUGGGUCCUUUCCUUUUAAUUACCUUGUCCUUCCGAUCUCUCCCCUCAAACAGCUUGCCAAAGACUUUACGUUCUCGGUUACCAAGGUUGGUAAUCGAGUCAUGCCCUGGAGGAGUCAUUACAACACGAUGGCUACUAAGGUGUGUCUCAAAAAUGUGUGUCUCUCUUCCCUUCCUAUGUUUCUUAUGGGCUUUUACCGUCUCCUUGAAGGUAUUCACGUUGGCUUUGAUAAACAUAGGGGCGGUUUCUUUUGGAACUCCGUAGAUAACAAAAAGAAGUAUAGGAUGGUUAAGUGGAAGGUGAUUUGUCGGCCAAAAAACCUUGGCGGGUUGGGUAUUGUGGACACCUCUAUUAUGAACAAAUGCCUUAUCCUUAAAUGGUGGUGGUGCAUUCUUAUGGCCGACGCUAGUGAGCUUUUGCUGUGCGUUCUCAAGGCUAAGUACUUCCCAUCCUCCAACCCUCUAUCGGUGUCUGCGUCAGGCGGUUGUCAGUUCUGGAGUCGACUCCUUAAAGUUCGAGAUGAUUUUAGAGCUCUUGUUAAAUUUUGGCGAUGGUACGUCUGUUAGGUUUUGGCUGGAUUGGUGGAAAGGGGAUGGCCCCCUGGCGAUUUCCUUCCGUGUUAUUUUCUCUUUUGUUGCCUUCCCCUCGAUCUCCAUCGCGGAGGUCGCGGCCAGACAGUUGGAUCUCGGUUUUCGCCAAUCCCUGUCUCCGAAAGAGCUGGAUGAUUGGCACCGUCUUGCUGUCGUUUUCCAUGUGCUCUCGGAAUCUACAGAUGUGGUCUCUUGGCAUCAUUCGUCAUCUGGCCAGUUUUCUGUGAAGUCUUGUUAUCGCCAGUUGAUCUCUGGUGUUCCUUCUUAUAGGUUGCGUUCUGUGUGGAAGGCUCGUAUUCCUCCCAAGAUUAAAUUUUUUAUGUGGCAGGGGAUCCGCGGGUGGUCACCAGCCGCGGAUCAAACUAGGAAAAGGAAUGGGCCCCGCUCCGAGUUCAUCUCCCUUUGUGGACAUCCCGAAGAUACUAAUCAUAUCAUGUUUCGGUGCCCUCUUGCUUUGCUUUUCUAGAGCUGUCUUAGGGACUGGCUUGGGGCCGGUGUCUUGGGCCCCCACUUGCUUUGGUGAGCUUUGAUCCCUCGUCUCUAAUCUAGUGGGUUGGGUCAAGCGGGUUUUCUGGGUUGGCUUUUCUGUCAUGUGUUGGACGUUGUGGGCCAUCAGGAACAAAUUUACCAUUGAGCAGGUGUUCCCUAACAAGCCGGUUGACUGCAUUUUUAAAAUUUCUAUUUUAUUGCAGCAGUGGACAUCUCUAACUAAGGGCGAUGACGUGGCGGCUGUGGAGCUCCUGACUCUCGCGUGCGGACAACGAUGAACUCCGUCUUGGUCAGGGGUCGGGCCAGAUGUAGUUGGGGAUGGUGCUACGUCGCCGUCUUCAUUCUGUCGUGCUUCUGGUUAUCUCCUUUGGCCUGCAUGCCUCAUUACUGGUUGUGGCCUGCUAGUCAUUUGGAACUUGUUUCCAUAGGUUUCUUUCUACCUGCCAUGGGUGUUUGCUGAACUCUGUUGAACUACUGUUGGCUUUAUUAAUUUAAAGUCGGGCCUCAACCUUUUCUCUAAAAAUUACAACAAUCAUUCUUGCAACAAUAUGUUACUGAGGUGUUUAGCCCAUGCGAGGCCUCCUAUUUAAUCCUAGCAAACAAGACUCCCGCCGAGACGGCGGCGUUGCAGUCAUAAUAGAUUUGGGGUGAUGAUGUUGUAGUGAUGGUAGACGCAAUCAUCCAUUUGGAGAGUUCGAUUGCCAUCAUCGCAUAGAUUGACAUAGCCGCAAGUACCGCCUGAACCGGCAUAAAAUGACAGACUAGCCUUCCUGCACUGAAGCCGCCACGUCACUUUGUUGACAUACGGCUGAAGGUCAGACUUUUUUAAGAAAGAAAGCACAAGAGGCAGUCCCAAAACAAAUUACAGGGAAAAACAGUGAAUCCAUACGAACAGAGCCGAGGCAAUGUCUCUGGGAUAAUAGUCACAACGAAUCAAUGUUGCGGCGCUCUUUUUAAAGAAUUGUACAGAGCCUGGAAGCAUCUCAGACCAGAUCCUGAAUGACAACGGUGGUGUCGAUCUCGAGCAUAUGGUUGGAUGAUCAAACCAACAUCAUCAGCGAACAGAGAGAGGUGAUGCCUAGUAGCAUGCUGCAAUGAAAGGCCGUAGCAGAUCUCUCUCCUCCGCAAGUGAGAAAGGCUUUCCUAAAACAUCCAGGACAAUCACAAAUAAUAGAGGAUAGAGGGGAUCGCCUUCACCUUGACCUAAACCAUUCCAAUGCCAGGUGUACUCCGUAGGGUGACCAUUGAUGGAAACUUGAGAACAUGAAGAGUGCAGCAGCAUGCAAACCCAACAACGCCAUUUGACACCCAAACCAUGCCACGAGAACUUGUAGGACACUUGUAUCCAUCUCGAAACCUUUACCAAGUGUCUAGCAUACUGUACAGUGGCUGAUAUGUGGACAAGGCAUGACCACCUUUUCCCACUUUCUCAUGUUCUUUUACAGCUUUUAAUUGUGUGUUUCCACAAGUUUGUCACAUUACCAUAAAAAAUGUUUGCUUAUUCUUUCUAUGUUCACACGUCAGUUACACUAUCAUACAAAAAUUGGUUUGCUUAGCGUGUCCAUUUUCACAUGUCAGUUACACUGCCCGACAAAAAUCUAUUUGCUUAGCCUGUAAGCAGCACGAAAAUAAUGCUAAAAAAUAGGAACAAUGCUGCUGCGACGAGGUGAAUACUCCUAUAUAACAAGCCCCUCUCCCCGCUCCUAUACAUCCGUCUACCAUAGAACCCAGCUCGAAGCCGAAGGCUUUCACAUUCUACCAUACAAUCCUCUUCAUCCUUCACAAGCAACCGCCAUGGGUCUGUCCGCAAAGGUCUUCGUGGUCCUCCUGCUGCUGCUCGUUGCCACGGGUAUGUAUACAUGCCUACCUUCGAAAUUAUUUGACAAAACUGAUGAUGCAUCCUACAUACUGCUGCUAAAAUUGUGUGAGAUGAUGACUGAUCUGCACGCUUUGUUGAUUUUGGCGGUGCAGAGGAGCAGGGGGGUUCCGUGCAGGUGGCUCUGGCGAGGGAUUGCAAGUCGGAUAGCCACAAGUUCCAUGGGGCGUGCUUCAGCGACACCAACUGCGCGAACGUCUGCCAGACCGAGGGCUUCACCGGCGGCAAGUGCGACGGCAUCCACUGCCACUGCACCAAGGACUGCUAGAUGCCUAGAUGGCCUUGGCUAGUUUGUUCUCGCGUACUAGAUGCAUGAUUCCAUGUGAUGUUAGCUGAACGAUGGUAGAUCUAUUAUAUGUCUAUGUAUGUGCGCGCGUUGAUCUGCGAGUGCUGGUCCUCGGAGAUUGCAUGAAUGAAUAAGGGGAAUCACAUCAUCUUGUGAGUGAGAUCUGUUCCCUGCUUUGUGAGAUCAUCGAUCAAUAAUUUUUAUGUGGUGUCCAUCUGAUGAUUGAUGGCCAAAGAGAUGAUUGAAGGAUCGAUGGCUCCUCCAUCGGGUCGGUUCGGUUCUCCGUUAAUUCCAUCGAUUUGCUUCGGCCUCUCUCAAGCUUUCUCUAGCUUGCGUCAACCCAUUUCUUUUAGAUGUUCUUGCAUCCUUCAAUCCAACAGUCAUUAGUGAGAACCUUUCCAGUGCCAGAUGUGCUCCGUAGAUGUUUUUGCAUCCUCUUCAUCGCCUCUUGACCUUGACGCAAACCUUUCCAGUGCCAGAUGUGCUCCGUAGGGCGACCAGCCCACCAUUAGUGAGAACAUGAGAACAUGACGAGUGCUGCAGCAUGCAAAACCCAACAACACCAUUCGACACCCAAACGGCCAAACCUUGCCACGAGAACUUGCAGGGCACUUGAAUCCAUCUUGCAACCAUAACCGAGUGUCUAGUACGUACAGUGGCUGAUAUGUGGACAAGAGAUGACCACCUUUUCCACUUUCACGUGUCCUUUUACAGCCUUUAAUUGUGUGUUUCCACAAGUUUGUCACACUGCCAUACAAAAAUUGUGUGUUUCUAUCUUCACAUGUCAGUUACACUAUCAUACAAAAAAUGGUUUGCUUAGCGUGUCCAUUUUCACAUUGUCAGUUACACUACCUGACAAAAAUCUAUUUGCUUAGCCUGGAAGGCUGGAAGCAGCACAAAAUUAAUGCCAAGAAAAUAGAAGCAAUGUACGCUGCCAAACGGGAAAUACUCCUAUAUAACAAGGCCCCCUCCCCUCUCCUCUACACCCAUCUACCAUAGAACCCAGCUCCAAGGCUUUCACAUUCUACCAUACAAUCCUCUUCAUCCUUCACAAGGAACCGCCAUGGGUCUGUCCGCGAAGGUCUUCGUGGUCCUCCUGCUGCUUCUCGUCGCCACGGGUAUGCUAUGUGCAUGCCUACCGUCAAAAUUAUUUGAGAUAACUGAUGAUCUACUUCUGCUAAAAUUGCGUGAGAUGACGACUGAUCUGCAUGCUUUGUUGAUUUUGGUGGUGCAGAGGAGCAGGGGGGAUCGGUGCAGGUGGCUCUGGCGAGGGAUUGCGAGUCGGAUAGCCACAAGUUCCAUGGGGCGUGCUUCAGCGACACCAACUGUGCGAACGUCUGCCAGACCGAGGGCUUCACCGCCGGCAAGUGCGUCGGCGUCCAGCGCCACUGCCACUGCACCAAGGACUGCUAGAUGCCUUGCCUAGAUGGCCCUGGCUACUUUGUUCUCGCGUACUGGAUGCAUGAUUCCCUGUGUGUGAUAUUAGCUGAACGAUAGUAGAUCUAUAUAUCUAUGUGUGUAUGCGUGUGUUGAUUUGCGAGCGCUAGUCGUCAGAGAUUUCAUGAAUGAAUAAAGGGAAUCGCAUCAUCUUAUGAGUAAGAUCCGUUCCCCGCUUUGUGAGAUCAUCGAUCAAUAAUUUUUAUGUGGUGUCCUUCUGAUGAUUGAUGGCCAAAGAGAUGAUGGAAAGGAAGACUCCUCCAUCAGUUCGGUUCGGUUCUCCGUGAAUUCGAUCGAUUUGCUUCAGCCUCUCUCAAGCUUGCUCUUGCUUGCGUCAAACCAUUUCUUUUAGAUGUUCUUGCAUCCAUCAAUCCAUCGGUUCCCUGCUUUGUCGAACUAUGUUAUAUCCAUAUACGUACCAUUGAACCUUCCAGAAUCCGCCUAUUUUACUAGUCUUCGGAAACGGACUCUUAAGGCUUGAAUUCUCUAAAGCCGGGCAAACGCCUCCUUUCUAAAAAAAAAAUCCAUCAACCUAUUAGUCAUCGUCAUCAUCAUUGCUGCUAUUUUCAGACCACUGCAAACAGCAGAGCUAGAAACGGCAUGACCGGGAGUUUGAUUCGAGCUCUAUAUCUAUCUAUUCUGUCUAUCUAUAUCUAUUUAUUUUAUUAGGUCUAUCAUCUACUAAUAAAGCGAGUGCAUUUCUCCGAUUUAUUUAUUCAUUCACCGUGUAGUAGUAUUUUCUUCCGUACCUAUCUUUUUGUCAAUACUGGAUGCACGAUUCCGUGUGAGUAUAUAUGUCUAUGUGUGUAUGCGUGCGUUGAUCUGUGAGCGCUGGUCGUCGGAGAUUGCAUGAAUGAAUCAAGAGAAUCACAUCUUCUUUGAGGAACAUUUGCUUCCUGCUGUGCGAAAUUUGAUCAUCGUCCAUGAAUGGGACCAGUUAGAGGUAAGUUACUGGAAAUAAAAUUUGGGUCCGUUAGUUUUUUUUUCAUGCAACGAAGUGUGAUGUGCCCUGUGCGUGCGUGCGUGAGGGUGUGGCGUGCCGUGUGCCGUGUGCGUGCAUUAGCUAGCUAGCUCCGACUGUAUGCUCGUGAGCUAGCUAGCUUGGGUUGGCCCUGGUGUGCCGGAGCUAGCACGAACAGAUCAUAGCAGUAGAGCUAGCUAUCAUGAACAUUAUUUGUACAUGGUGCAUGUGUAUCCUCUGGACUAAUGUUUUUCCCACAUCGCUGCAGAUAGGACAUGGUAAUUUGAACAAAGGCAAACAAAUUUCUUUGUAAGGAAAAAAGAAUCAUGGGAGUGGAUUUACCUUAAAAUAAACAAACACAAAUUUAAAAAGAAAAAUAAUAUGUGUAACAUAACCUCUGGCCUUCUCAUUGCCCCUAUACUAAUAUACUAAAAAACUGAAGUUUUUGAAAAAGGAAUUAGUUAGUUGCAUUGGCAUUAGAAAAUUUUUGCACACAGUUAAUAAAUAAAUUGCACUAUUUAUAACAUGAAACUAUAAGCAUACAGUAUGAAAUUCUGGCAAAAAAAUCUAAGAAGGACUGAUUUUUUUUUCUCACAGGUAAGAAUGAAUGAAUUAAUGGCAUUGGUAUUACCCCUAAAGAAAAAGUAAAUGAACUAUUCCCUCCGUUCCUAAAUAUUUGUCUUUCUAGAUAUUUUAACAAGUGACUACAUACGGAGCGAAAUGAGUGAAUCUACACUCUAAAAUAUGUCUAUAUACAUCUGUAUGUGAUAGUCCAUUUGAGACCUCUAGAAAGACAAAUAUUUAGGAACGGAGGGAGUAUAAAUUAAAAUAAAAUAAAAAUAAUGAAGUUUAUAAAAGGAAUUAAUGAAUGACAUUGCUUGCAAGAAUAACCACGUAAUAGUAAAAUUUUCACCAAAAAGAAUUUUUGCUAAGAAGGGAUGAAUUAGUGAUGUUGGUACUACCCUUAAAGAAAAAAUAAAAUAAAAACUAAAAAAUGAAAAUCAUGAAGUUUUCUAUGGAAGAAUGAAUUAGUGGCAUUGGGAUUAUCCUUUAAGAAGAAAGAAAAUGAAAAAAAAAUAGACAAAAGUUGCACACAAUUUACACAUAAAUUGCACCUUUUAUAUUAUGGAAGAAUAAGCAUAUAAUAGUGGAUUUUUUGUAAAACAAAUGGAAGUUUCAUAAUAAGGAAUAAAUUAGUGACAUUGGUAUUACCAUUAAAGAAAUGAAGUUUUCAAAGAAAUAAUGAAUUAGUGGCUUUGGUAUUACGCUUUUGAAAAUAAAUAAAUUCUGAAGAAAAACAAAAUAUAUUGAGGUUUUCAAUGGAAGAAUGAAUUAGUGCCAUUGGUAUUACCUGUUAAGUACAAAGAAAAUGAGAAAGAAAUCUAAAAGAAAUGAUGACAAAUUUUACACACAAUAUAAACACAAAAAUAUUAUUUUUUAAAUAUGCAAGAAUAAGCAUAUGAUAGUAGAUGUUUUUGCAAAAAAAAAAUCUAAGAAGAAACAACUUAGUGGCAUCGGUAUUAUAUUAAAUAAUAAAUAUAAUAAUAUAAUAACUAUAUCAAAAUAACAAAAAAUUUAUUAGGAACAAUGAAUUAGUGGCAUUAGUAUUAAUCUUUAAGAAGAAAGAUAAUGAAAAAAAUUAAAACGAACUUCCACACAAUUUUGCACUAAGAUUGCACUUUCUGCACUAUGCAAACAACAAUCAUAUAAUGUUGUAAUUUUCUGACAUACUGUAUACUACUUUUUUCUAUAUUUACACCAACCCAACAUCUCACAAAUACCCACAAAGAAAAUAAAAAAACCAGCUAAUAAAGUAAAAAAAUAGAAACACAUAAAAACAGGAAAACAUUAAAAACACAAAAGCGGAGAGGGGAUGGCUGGGUGGCACAUGUAAUGGGUUUCAGCCCAGUAAAAAAUUGACUGGCCCAAAUAUGUGGUCGGUCAAAACAAACUGCUCAAAGAAUAGACUAGAAACAAAAACACUGAUCUCAAAGCAGAACUCAACCGUCAAAAAUGACUGACCCAAAAUAUAUUUUCAGGCGAUUUCAAAGUAUACAUGAAUAAAGAGAUGUCGUGUUUCGUCGGACCCUUGUACAGUAGUACUGACAUACUUGGCACACAUGCAUCCACGCAGCCAAUGCGAACAAUAAUUUUUAUGUGGUGUCCGAGAGACUUGAUAAAUCCGGCUCUAUAUAUGUCUGCGGACGUGUGUGAUCAUGCCCGCGGACACAGUCGAAUCGCCUUUCAUAUGUCCUGCCUAGUAGUUACAUACCAUAAAUUCGGAUCUCAAAUACAUGCAAAUCCAUACACGUUAUUAUUACACGUAAAUAACAAAUGUUAGUAUUGAAAAUACAUAGUUCUUAUAUAAAUUUAUAUUAAGUGCACCUCAAAUAUUAGCUUUUUGUUUUUCAAUAUGGGUCUACAUAUGCUCCACAAGGUCACUGGAUAGUUGCGCGUGCACCCGAUAAUCUCGAAGAUUUUGAUGCAUCUGCAGAAAUUUCAUAAGCCGAUUUGCAACUUGGUCCUUCGAGAUUUGGAAUUGUUCUACGCGCGCUUCAAAUCAUUGGUUUGGGCUAUCCAUCACCCUUGUUCAUGACAAUUAUAUUGUGCAGAAUAACACAACAUGUCAUUAGCUGCCACAAGGUUUCUAAUACCCACAUCAUUGCAGCUCCACGAACAAUUCCCCAACGAGGUUGAAGCACUUCAAAUGCCCUGUCCACAUCCUUCCUAGCUGCUUCCUGCAUUAGUGCAAAGUGGCUUUUGUUUGUUGCCUUGUGGUUCGGAUAUGGUCUUCACAAAUGUCGCCUACCGAGGAUAGAUGUCAUCGGCAAGAUAGUAUGUUGUAGCCGUAGCUGUUGCCAGUGUAGUUGCACUACGGCAAUUCCCUAUUACAAAGCCUUAUGAACAUGAGAGGUCGUUGAAGCACAUUGAUAUCGUUGUGAAAACCUGGGAUUUCAAAGAAAGCAUGCCAAAUCGCCGCUGCUUCCAGUAUGAUGGUGGUCUCUUUGGGAUGACCUUGGUACAUUCCACACAAAUAUUUGGGGUAGUUCUUUCAUUGUCAAUGCAUGCAAUCAAUUGAUUCGAGCAUACCUAACAUCUUGCCUCUCCAAUAGCCAGCAACUUUUCUGUGUCCUGCACAUCUGGUUCUCUCAGAUACUCUGCCCCAAACACCUGCACCAUGGUGCGGGCAAACCUCACAAUAGCUUUCAGGCAUGUGCUCUCCCCAUCCGGACCAUCUCACCAACGGCAUCGGCGGUAGUACCAAGUGCAAGCAUCCUCAGCGCAGACGUGCAUUUCUGCUUAGCGGAGAAAAAAAGUUGUCCGCAUCACGCAAUCCCUAGUGAGCUUGAAAUAGUCAUUGUGUGCCUCCACUCCCUCCACAAAGUGGAAAACAAUGGUUUGCACAUACGAGAAAACGGCGAUGAAACCAUGUAUCAUCACGAAAAGCUGGGUCCGGAUCAAAGUAAUCCUUGUAGAGUAGCCGUGCUCAAAAGACCCUAUCUCGAUUAAUAACUCACCCAUUAAUUAAAGAAUAUGCUCCACAUGCCGGUCUAUUUCCUUUUGCAUGCUCAUAUGCAUGAUCAUGUCCACUUUUUCGUCUGAAUCUGUAGAAUCGAAGAACUCAUUUCCAAUCAUUUUAUCUAGCUCUGUGGGUCCAUACUCCUCCUCUGACGAAGCAUCAGAAUCCAUCGUUUUCCCUACGAAUAAAUCACAAAAUACCUGAUCGGACAACGUGUCGAACACAUGGAGGGAAAUUUGCAUCCCGGAAGUUGCCGGACAUACCGCGGCGGCUUAUGGGCCGGUGACGACGUGUGCGGCGGCAAGAAUAGAUGAGAAGACUGCAGUGCCGAUGCUGGUGGCACUGAGGCUCGGAACAACAACAGAGGAGUGAGUGACGGCGGAGCUACGAGAAGGUCGGGGCAGACGAGGAAGAACAGAGAAGAGUAGUAAAUGGAAUCGGUAGGUCGACGGGUGGUUUUGGUGCAAUUUGUGAUGGGUUUGAACUGUCGGGCCCGGCGUGGCGGCCGGACCAGGCCACCCCAUACCCGCCCUGGAUUUGGGCUAGAUAUGAGGGUUACCGGUUAGCCCGGUCUUUUGAGGCCCGUUUGAAACGCGUGUCUAGGUCGGGUUUUUUUUUACCGGUCACUGACCGGGCCAUCCGCUCGGGCAUUUAAGGGAUGUUGGAGUCGCGGGGCUGUAGACUCUACAGUAUUUAUGUUCUCGUCGCACUACCAUACAGAAAUAUAUUUGUAUAGCCUUUCUUUUUUCACAUGUCAGUUACACUACCACACAAAAAUCUCUUUGUUUAGCCUUUCUAUUUUCACAUGUCAGUUGCACUACCAUACACAUUUUCUUUUUUUGCUAAGCCUUUCCUAUUUCACACGGCAGUUACAUUACCCUACAAAAAUCUGUCUGCUUAAUCAGCCUAGAAGCAAAAGAGAAAUAACACUCAAAGAAAUUCGGAGCAGCAAGGAAAUCCGUGUGCUGCUACGACGAGUAUAUAACAAGCCCCCCUCCCCCCUCUCCUCUGCAUCAUUCAUCAUACAAUCCAGCUCGAAGGUUUUCAUCUACCACACACACACAAUCCUCCUGAUCUUCCCCAAGAAACCGCGAUGGGUCGUCUGUCCGUGAAGGUCUUGGUGGUCGUCCUGCUGCUCCUUGCGGCCACAGGUACAUAUGCUCGGAGUUGAUGGUUGUUGACUGAUCUUUACUGCACUAGUGCUAAGAUUGUGUGAGAUGACGACGGAUCUGCUUUGUUGAUUGAUUUUGGGUGUCCAGAGGAGCAGGGGGGAUCGGUGCAGGUGGCUCUGGCGAGGGUGUGCACGAGGCCGAGCCACAAGUUCCAUUGGGCAUGCCUCGACACCAACAAAUGCGCGAGCGCCUGCCUGACCGAGGGCUACACCGGCGGCAAGUGCGGCGGCCGCCGCGGCCGCCGCUGCUUCUGCACCUGGCACUGCUAGAUGUUUCGGCUCUGACCGAUCUGUUCUUGCAUAAAACAUGCAUGCUUCCGUGUGAUGAUAGCUGAACGGUGCCACGGUGGUACAUCUAUCUAUAUAUCUAUGUAUGUGUGCGUGCAUGGAUCUCCGAGAGCUAGCUAGCUGCUCGUCGGAGAUUACAUGAAUGAAUAAAGAGAAUCGCAUGCGCAUCGUCUUGUGAGGAAUAUCUCAUGUCUGCUUCCCCCAUUUUGACCCUGGAGUGAAUGAAUAUAUGUUCACUACGACCUUAUUACUCCUUCGGUAAAGAAAUAUAAGAGCGUUUAGAUCUAAACGCUCUUAUAUUUCUUUACGGAGGGAGUACUGGUAAUGACAUACUGGGCACACAUGGAUCGACGCAGCCAAUGGAUCAAGCUACAUCAACAGGGAAUUCACUUACGGAUUUAACGGUCUAUUAACGUGGACCAAUAGGAUUCAAGAUUAGGGGAGGAACUGGUCCGCCCCAGCUGAAGUUCAGGGAGGAGAAAGAUUAGUUUAGAAGGGGAUUCUGUAAAACGUCCGCAAUGAGUCCGCGCGUCUCGGAUUAUUGCAGCCAAUGUGCCCAGGUUCCACACUUAUUGACAAGUGCUGAUGUCCAUCUAACAAUUGGUUCCACACUUAUUAACAAGUUAUCGGUGAAUUGGAUUUGCGUCAGCCUCUCAAGCUUCCUCUAGCUUGCGUCAACCCAUUUCUUCUAGAUGCUCUUGCAUCCAGGGACAAAGCUUGGAAAAAUGGGCACCUGUGUCAACAUAUGCCCACUACAGCACAUCACAAAGUAUAGUGAAAGGAUAUAAAUUACAUCUAAUUAAGGGCAAUACAAAAAGCAAAAAUAUGCAAUGAUUCAAUCAUAUAAAUUUUAUCAUAUUAAAAAGAUUGCCAUACCAAGUAUUGGUUGAGCGAAGUCAUAAAACCAUUUGUUUACAUAUUCACGAAAGAAAGUAAACAACGAUGACUUCUGAGCACAUUUCAUUAGUAACUUACUGAAUAGGAUGAACAAACGAAACAUAUUAUUAUAUUAACAACAAUGGUGCAGAACAAAUAAUACAUAAAAUAAAUAUCAUUAAGCAAAAAUAUGAAGCAAUGUGAGACUGACAUUUGAUAACUUCCCUUCUUGAACUUUCAUCUUCUUGAGUUGAUCAAUUACAACAUCAUUCAUAAUGGUAGAAAUAUAUCUUUCUCCAUAUAGCAAAUCAAGCAAUCACUCAUGAACUGGUCACCUAUUUUGUUACUUUUGACAAUAUUCAUUGCUGAAAAGCAUCUCUCCAUCACCCGCAGAAAAAAAGCAUCUCUCCAUGGAUUGAUGUGGCAAGUGGCAAAAUUAGCACCAACUUUAGAAGUCGAUACCAAAUGAAAAGCAAGAUGUUUCUUAGUGUCCACCAGCAUUAGCAAAAUGGGCACUGCCAUCCAAAUUGGCAAACCGGCAAUGUAUUUGUCCGUGGACUAGUUCAGUCCGCGGACAGUGAUGCGGGAGUCGCCCAUCGAACCAUGUUCCCUGAAUGUCCGCCUCUGUUUUUUUUUUAAGUCUGGAAUACUCAAAAUAAUAGCAUAUGAAAUCUUUGAUUAGCGAAAAUAUUCAAUGCGAAGGUAGUUCUAAUUUAAAUAUUACAAUCCAACUAAAUUUUCAGGUAAAAUAGUUCAAAUUUGAAUUAAACUCACACGAAUGUAGAUGACAUCUUGCUUCUUUCCCCAACCAUUGUAGGCAGGCGUUUCGCGAAGCGAACUUCUGCCUCCUUCCGCAGGCGAGGCUGCGGGUCCUUGACCCCUCCGUCCGUCGCUCCGGCGGCGGGAGGGGCCUGGGACCCCGGCGAUUUCGCUCCGGCAUGUAGUUAGGUUAGGCCUAGUCUUCCUUGGAGGCGUCGCAUCGGUGGCGAGAUCGAUGCCGCGUCGGAAUAAGAUGGUCCUGCUUCUCCCCCACCCAGUGAUGCUUCAGAUCUGAUGUGGAUGGUGGUUUGCACCCGUGUCUCGCCGGAUUUCAGAUCUGACGACGUCAUUUGGUUGUGCUAGCCGGUGUUCAUCGCUCUUCCCGGAGAGGACGUUGUUUAGUACUAGGUAUGUUGCUGUUUUGGAGCAUGUGAUGUGGAUGGUGGUUUGCGGUGGCGUCUUUCUUCUCCAACCUGAGUGGAUGAAGGAGACGGUGCCGGGAUCUGACGGGCUUGGGGAUGAUCCGCGGUCGACGAGCCACAUAGCCUCGGCUCCGUCACAUGCGGCAGACCGUUCAUUCGACUCACCUAGCAGCAUGGUCUGCAUCAGAGUUCUUUCAGAUUUAGGAGUGAUGGUUGCUCUCGUCCAUCUCCGGCGUUGCCAUGGCGAUGAUGGAGUCCGACGAUGCUUAAGGGAUUGGAUUUGCACAGGGAUCUUCAUUGGUCAAAUUUUUUUCUUGGGGUCCUUUGUGCAAAGCUCUAGGACAAUUGUCUAUGUGUUUGUCUUAUGGAGCGACCAUGUGUGUACACCCUGUAAGUUAUUUGUUGAAUGAACAUGUGGUAGUUCCUCUCAAAAAAAAAAAAACUCACACGAAUGUUCUAGGUAUCCCCUUUAACCGCACAGAUACUCGAUGAGAUAUUCAAUCGGAUCUUCCUUGAUAUGUUCAUGAGUUGCUUAAUGCAGAAUUUGUUAAUGCAUUUGGACAAACUGAUCAAAUGUGACCGGAUUCUAAUGUGGAAGUUGGAUAGGACCACUCAUGUUCUUGAAUUCUAGACCUCCGGCAGCAUCUUCACCCUCAUCCUCCAUGAUCAUAUUGUGUAUGAUCAUCACCUCCCACAGGGUCUACAGAUCUCAUUGUUUACCAGGUUCACGAACAAUUGCAAAAUGGGUUGGAGCACUUCGGAUGCCCUCUCCACAUUCUUUCUAGUUCCUUGAGCUUGUCUCUGACCAACUGUAUUUUGGUAUGUUCGCAGCGAAACCAUCUUUACGACACAAAUCUUUUACACUACUCAUGGGAGAUCAUGCAUGAUUAUACAUACAACUACAGUACACGCCUCCAGCAUGAAACUGAUGAGCAGCUAGGUCCUGCCAGUUCACCACCAAGUCACAGCAACAAAAAACCUAUCUUCAUACUACCAAUUGCCUCGAAUCGACCAGGAGGCACAUAAUACAUGUACAUAUCCUCGCCGAGGCGUCGACACUUGUCAGCGAUAAAAGCUUGCCCUUGGGCACAGUUUCUCCACGGACCCAUCCGGCGGCCCAUCCACCUGGCGCAGCUUGAUCUCGUAAAGCUUUGGCCACAGUUUCCCGGUCACUGCGAGUAGAGCCGAAAGGUUAAUUGGACAAGAAACCCAGAGGCCUUGAUCCACGGGACCGAAACUGCAAGUGCAAAAGGACUCACCGAACAGUCUGUCAUUUUCUUCAUCCCAAGCUAUACCAUUUAGAACAUCAAUAUCCUGGAGCAUGAAACAGAGUUUUCAGUGUCAUGUCACUCCCGAUACUGGAUUUGGAUUAUGUGCGUCUAACAAUGCAAUUAGCCAAUGAACCAUAUGGGGACUGCUCACCGUGUUGCCAGAUUUCCAUAAUUGCUGCCUGCAAAAUUGAGGACACAAGGAUCGAUUAUUACUUCAAAUGCAAACAUUACAGGCAAACAGAGUAAUCUUGUGAAGAAACUCAGUGGUCAGGAAAUAGGCAUAGAACAACAACAGUGAUUUCUACUCAGAGCAUACCUCAGCUCAUGAAGAAAGAUCCAGCUCGCCACUUGGCCAUCUUCAUGAGAAACUCUAGCUAUGCAAUCUGUCUACACAUCAUAACUUUCGAUACUGAGAGGUGCACUUCACAACAUUCUAGCAAAUUGGUAGGCAGUUCACAUUGUAUAUGAUACUUGAAUAUGAUCAAACUUUGCAUGGAAAACACAGCUAAGACACAAAUGAUAUUAGCUAGUCAUGCUAAGACCUCGGUUACCUAAUCGCCAAGUCAAAUGGCGUUAGCUAGUCAUGUCUUGUAGAAGAUAUAAAAAAUUCAGACCAGUUAAUUGUAAUAUCAAUUGCCUAUUUCAGAGUAUCAAGUGUAACAAAGGACAACACAGGAUAAAACUUGGAUACACUUCAGUACAAACUGAGUCACACCCCAAAGUUAAUUGUUAAACUUAAACCUCAUAAAUGACACCAGGGUGCACUUUAACAUCAACGCUAAGGUAUACUAAUGAAAAUGUUCUGGUCCUUGAGAUCUUGAACAAUAUAAUAAAACAUGAAAGCAAUAUGGUCAAGGUAGUGCAUAACAACUCUAACCUGCCAGACAUUUGCCCAUACUUCACCAUUUAUAUAUUCCAGUUCAUUAAUAUAGGAAACGUCAUUGUCUUGAUAUUUCACAGUUACUGUCUUUGUUACUGUAUCAACAGAGACAUCAAACAAAAGAAAUUAAGUCCGAAAGCUAACAGAAUAUCAAGUGUGUGAUUAACUUAAUGUACCUUCAAGCGAUAUUGGAUCCAGGUGGUACAACCUUGAAGUACCAUCACUGCCAAAUAGGAUUUUUCUAUCCGUAGCCAACCCCCACCCGUCACGCAUUUUAUGGGUAAAACUUUCACGCUGCAGCAGAGAGCACAAUAACUUGUUACCUCAGACGUCGACAAGAAAUGACUGAAAAACUUGAGAAAUGACCAGUAAAAUGCGAUGUGAAUGAUUGUAAACCCAUAUUUCAGAAGAUCACAUGAAAAUAGAUAUUGAUAGGUCAGGGUUUGGAGAUAAUUAGCCGAGACUAUAAACAGAAAAGAUCUGAAUCAUCUGUAAAUACACUAACAUAGAAACAGGGGCAGCAGCAUUACUUUGCUAAAGUUAUGUCGGUCGUAUAUGAAUCCAUCAUUCUUCAACCAAGUAACUUGAAACAAUCUACAAAAGAUAAUAUUAAAGCAAAUGAAUGAGAUUUAACAGGACCGCAGAAGCAAAUAGAGCCAUCAUGUUCAAGAAAGCAAUUCUCAUGUCGGGCAUAGUCGAGGUUCAUCUACCUGUCGUCGAGAAGUGUUAAGCCUUCUCCAAACAUAUGUCCAUCCAUUUGGUGCUGAUCUAAAACCUGAUAAAUGACAAAGCAGUAACUAGUGAUUUAGUGUAGGGUAGGUGAACCAUUGCCGCGCAAUGUUAAAUAAGGAGAGUGCCAUAUUUAACAUACUUUGCCAGUUUGAAGAUCAACCUUUCGGACCGACGACUGUUCAGAAACAAAAUUAGAAGCAUUUAGUCCUUCAGAAAAACUAGUCCUUCAGAAAAACCGCUUGACAGAAAGCAAGCAAAAACGAAACAAAUGCAACUUGCAAGCUCAGGCAACAGAUCCUCAACAGCUCAUAUAGUGAUAGCCAGUCUGCUUGUUUCCACUAGGGAGGCAUGAAUACCAAGGUUCACAAUUCAAGUGAAACUAGAUGUAGUUUAUUGUGGAAAAACCACGGACGUAGUAUUCCUUAGCAUAUCACAUUUGCAUCACUGUAAUCCACGAGAAGAUUUCCACAUUGCAUUGCAUUACAUUACCUGGUGAUAAAGGCCAGUGGACUCGAAGAGAGUGUCGUUUCCCGCGUACAGGAGACCCUGCCAAAGAACGAAAAACACGCAAUCUGAGGAAAAAAUUCCCCAUGGGAGAGGAGAGGAGCGAAUGAGAUCAGGAGGGAUGCGUGCCUGGGUGAAGGCCUCGGGGUCGUGGGGGUACUCGCGGACCAGGUCGAAGGAGUAGAACCUAGCGACGGCGGGCGCAGGGCGGCGGAGGAGCGCGGCGCGGAGGUAGUCCGGGCGCCAGACGGCGGCGGCCGCGGCGAGGAGGAGGAGCGCCGCGAGCGCGGCGCCGGCGGCCGCGAUGGCCGGACGGCGGAGGCGCCGCGGCGCCGGGGAGGCGUUGGGGGUGGGUACGGACAGGGCGAUAGGCGCCAUUGAGGAGGCGGGCCGCCUCCGUCGGGAGCCGGCGGUCAUUUGGGUCUGGUUUAGUCGCAGCAGAAAGGGUCAACUGUAAUUCUCAGUUUAGCGUGCUUCUCCUGUGAUUUGUAGGAGUAUUUAAGAUUGUCUUCCAAAUUUCUUGGCUGAAAAUUUGGACAUUGGAAUGAAUGUCUAUUUUGAAAUCUUUUUGAUUUUUUUUCAUACAACAUCGUGAUUUCAUUUUGCGAUGCGUGUCUUCGUGCAUUGCACUUGACGCCAAUGUUUCGUUCUUCAAGCCAUGGUGUGAAUAUAAGAAUGUGUGAUGACCAUUUUGGUUGUGCACAUGGACAAUUCCCAAUUAAAUAUUUGGAAAUACCAAUUCAUUAUCGACGUCUCACCAUUGCGGAGUGGAAGCAUGUAGAGGAGCGACUAGAGAAACGCUUGAGCAGCGGGAAAGGCAAGUUGGUCUCGGUUGGAGGACGAUUGAUUUCAAUAAACUCUGUCCUCACAAAUAUGGUUCUCUAUAUGCUUUCGUUCUUCCCGCUCCCAAAAGGGGUCUUGCAAAGAUUGGAUUAUUUUAGGUCCACGAUCUUUUGGCAAGGAGAUGGUGAAAAGAAAAAAAUAUAGGUUGGCCAAAUGGAGUGUGGUUUGUAGGCCGAAACAGCAGUGCGGCCUCGGUAUUCAUGACCUGCAGGUCAAGAAUGAGGCCCUACUUAGUAAAUGGUUGUUCAAACUUCUUACUGAGGAUGGUGUUUGGCAAACCAUGAUGCGCAAUAAGUAUAUAGGCCAAAAGGCAGUGUCUCAGGUAUAUUGGAAACCUGAAGACUCACACUUUUGGGCCGGCCUAAUGGCGGCAAAGAAACAUCAUGCUCUUAAUGCUUUGUAUCACUUUGAUGCUACAUUUUGAGAUAAUAAAAGCGCCCUUUAUCGAAAAAAGAAUGUGUGAUGAUUAUAUAUUGAUAAAAAAAUUAGGACGAUGUCUAUAAACGAAGAAGUUGGGAACUUCUUCCGCAACAAACGAGGGCUUUCCCCCGAAAAAAACGAGGGCUUAGGUAGGGUGACCCUUCCUCCCCUCUUAUUUUCAACUUUGUUGCGGACGCCCUCUCGGCCAUGAUCACUAAGGCGAAGGAUGUCGGCCACAUCCGCGGUGUCGUCCCCCACCUUAUUCCAGGAGGGGUCUCUCACCUUCAAUACGCGGACGAUACCAUGCUGCUCUUCGAGCCGGAAGAUCACAGUAUUGCCUCGAUUAAGCUCAUCCUCCGUGCUUUCGAGAUUGUAUCCGGCCUCAAGAUAAUUUUUCUCAAGAGUGAGGUGAUAGCCAUUGGGAUGGCCGCACCUCUCUCAUUGCGCGUUGCCAACCUACUGAACUGUAAGCUUGGGAGCUUUCCGUCUAAGUACUUGGGCCUCCCCAUCUAUGACAAGCACAUAUCUAUCCGAGAAUGGGAAACCCUAUACGGCAAGGUGGCGAACCGGGUCAGUCCAUGGCGAGGCCGGUUCAUGUCUUCGGCAGCUAGGCUCAUUCUAACGAAUACUAGUCUCUCCUCUUUGCCCAUGUUUACAAUGGGCAUGUUCCUCCUAGCAGACGGUGUUCACGCCAAGCUCGACACCCCCUGAUCCAAGUUUUUUUUGGGAAGGAACUGGGUCCAAAAAGAAGUAGCACUUAACUAAGUGGGCAGCCCUAUGCCGGCCAAAGAAAUUUGGUGGCCUAGGGAUCCUCAAUUCCAAACUUAUGAGCGUUGCCCUUCUCUCCAAGUGGCUCUGGAAACUCGCCCAAAAUGAGCAGGGGCUCUAGGCGGAAAUUCUGAGCGAAAUACUUCCCCGACGGGAAUUUCCUUACCUCCAAGGCUAAAGGGGCGAAAUUCUGGAAUGGGAUCUAGGCUAUCAAACCGGCCUUUGCGCUAGGAGCUAAGCUUAGCGUUAACGACGGAAAAUCCACGCGAUUUUGGUUAGACCACUAGUUCGUUCAGGAGCCAUUGUGGCGUAGCCACUCCUCCAUAUACCAACUUGCUACUAACAUCGAAAUCCUCGUUACCGAUGAGCUUAGAACCCACCUGCCAGCCAUUACUUUCAAAAGCCCCCUUUGAGACGCCGAACAGGCUGUUGGGAUGAGUUACAUAACGCUCUUGUUGUAGUGGUGUUGCGACCCAAGGCUGAUACGGUCUCUUGGUCCCUCACGAGCUCCCGGAAAUUCACGGUUAAGUCUCUUUACCAUAAGUUGACGGAGGGUCGUACACUAGACAUUGCUAGGGGGCUAUGGAAAGUGUCAACCCCCCUCAAAAUUAAAGUUUUCCUUUGGAAAAUGUUCCACGACCGCCUCCCGUCCUCUAACAACAUAGCGAAACAAAAUGGGUCAUCCCGAUAGCAAUUGUGUGAUGUGUGGUGCGCACAAGGAUGCAAACCACAUCUUCUUCAAUUGCCAUCUUGCUCGCUUCGCUUGGAGUGCGGUCCGGUGAGCCUUUGAUCAAAACUGGAAUCCCCACUCGGGUAGAAACCUCCGCGAUAUACUAUUGGCCCAUAGGGGUGGGUUCGGUCGAGUGCUUUGGAGAUGCGUAGGGGCACUUUUAUGGGCUCUAUGGACUACUAGAAACAAAAUCACAAUAGAGCACAAAUUCCCUUAUCACCCCGCUGACAUUAUUUUCAAAUGACAUUUGUUCCUCCAGACUUGGAUGCCGUUGGGAAAACGGCGGACGCUGAGCGGAUGCAGGAGGCGAUGGAGCGGAUUCGACUGAUCCAGAUUGCUGCCCGUCACUAGAUGUUGAGGAUCGUUUCUGCUCCUGCCGGUGUUGGCAUGUUUAGACUUUUGCCUUAUCAUUCUCAGGCCUAGGCCGGUUGCAUGUUCAAACUAGGGCUUUGGAUGCAUUUCCUUUCCUUUUGUUUAAGACUGUCUUGUUUGUUGGAUGUUGCCUGUUCAUGGGCUUUAUUAAGUUAAAGUCGGACGCUCCUUUGUAAGUGCAUCUAGUGCCCCUUAGUGAUUUUGGUGUAUUGAAGACUUAUAGGUUAAGGGACUGAUGCGUUUGUGAGUGUACACAGGUCUAUAAGUCUAUAAGGAGUUUGAUAUUUAGAGUGAAAGUCGACCCCUAAAAAUGAAGUUCUUCGACUAAAGACUUUGGACUUUCUGAAGACUUUGAAAGUGAAGAAAUUGGUGUGAUCCUGAAAUCUUGGUAUUCAUUUGAGGAACAUGAAGCAUGAAGACUUUUGUUUUCGUAGUUUCUUUUUCUCUUUCUUGAGUCAUAGGAAACACUGUACUGUUAAAGGGGGUCGAGGAAAUACUAAGAAAAAAUUUCCAAGUGACGCUCAACUCAAAUCCCACACCUACCAAUCCCUUCGAGUGAAGCCAUUGGAAAUCUCAUACAGCUCAGUCAAUUUCUUCAGUGACAGAGACGAAGUUCUUCUAGUCUCUGAGGAAUUUGUUCUGAUUGAGGAGUUAGGAAUUCGCUAGUGCGGAUUGCCUACAUAGUGAGGAACAUGAUAGGCCUGAGGAAUUGGAUACUCAAAAUUCCGACCGUUGUUGUGCUAUGCGCCAGCUUUCCCAAAAUAUCUACCCACUUAACGGUCAUAUCAUUGAAGGGCAUUUAUGUAUUAUCAUGUCGGGCUGCUCCCUAGGCUAUAAAUAGCCGCCCCCUACAACCACUAGCUGGUUGGCUGCUCUGAGAGAAACUGACACUUGUCAUUUGAGAGUAUCCCAUCCUCCGAGGACUUUGAGUAAAAAUCAUCAAGUGAGGAAAAACCCAAACCCAAACACCUACAAACCCAAAGUGAUUGAGCAUCACUGAAGAAAUUGAUCCUGCGUGGAUCCGACGCUUGUUACCUUUGAAGACUGUGCAUCUUCCAGACGGUUAGGCAUCAUGGUCUAGAGCAUCCAAGAGGAAAUUGUCGAUCGCCGAGUGACCGAGUCUAUGAAGGUUUGGAAGUCACCUGAAGACAUACCACGAGUAAUUGGGCGAGCUCUGUGUGGCCUUAGCUCAAGGGGGAAUACGGUGAGGACUGAGUGUCUUGAGCUGCAUGUUCAGGACUGGGUGUCCGGGACUGUGUGUCCUCAGAUUUAAAUAGCUAGCCACCCUAACCAGACGUACAACUGUCACAGCAGUUGGAACUGGUCUACCAAAUCAUUGUCUUCACCAAGCUACCUGGUUCCAUUUCCUCAACCCUUUCAUUUCCUCAUUUCUGUGUUGUGUGCUUGUUCAUAUCUGUUUGAAGACUUUGACUGAAGAACUUCUCAAUUUCCUUAGUUCAAUUUCUUUAGUCUAUUUGUCUUUGUUUUGUUAUCCUGUAUUUACGCUUUCUGUACUAUGUGUUUGUUUUCAUUUCUUCAUGAAGACCAUGCUCAUGCUCUGUUAUGUUUACUUCUAAGUACUUAUUCCGCUGCAAGUAGUUCUUCACCAUGGAAUUUCCUCACCCUGAAAUUCCUCAGUGAAGAAUUCAUAAAAAUCGCCUAUUCACCCCCCUCUAGUCGAUAUAACGCACUUUCAAUUGGUAUCAGAGCAAGGUACUCCCUUGUUCUGUGUGAUUUUGAUUUAACCACCUGGAGUUUUAGUUAUGUCCACUGCAUGUAUGAUCAAGGUUUCUGCUGGGUGUCCUACCUUCGAUGGGACGGACUACCCCUACUGGAAGAAUAAGAUGCGCAUGCAUCUUGAGGCAAUUGAUAAUGAUCUCUGGUACGUUGUGGAGAAUGGUGUUCCCUCUGUCACUCCCACCAUCAACGCUGCUGAUGUGAAGAGAUUUAAGCAACUCGACUCUCAAGCGAAGAAUACCAUAUGUGGCCAUCUGAGCAAAGGGCAGUAUGGCAGAGUGAGUGCUUUGGAGACAGCUAAGCUUAUCUGGGACAGGCUGUCCAAUGUCAAUGAGGGAGUCUCAACACAGCGUGACUCUCGAGUUGACGUUCUUCGAAAUCUCUGCAACCGCUUGAAAAGACUCGACAAUGAAAAUGUUCAGCAAACCUUCGAUCGCCUCACUGACAUCUCAAAAUGAGCUUCAAGCACUUGGUGCCACUGAUAUCACCGACCAUGAAGUGGUGAAGAAACUGCUGAGAUCGCUUGAUUCCUCAUUUGAUACCUUGGCAUUGAUGAUACAAGAACGUGGAGACUAUAAGUCACUUGAUCCCGCCGAUAUCCUCGAGAGACUAAACACUCGUGAGUUCCAGCUUGCUGAGAAGAGAGAUCUCUAUGGACCAAGCUAUGGUAGAUCAUGGGCUCUGAAGGCCAAGGCAGUGUCUGGAUUUAAAGGUGAAGAUUCUGACAGCAGCCUUGGUGACCCUGAAGAACUGAUCCAGGAGCUAGCUAUGCUCGUGAGGAAGUUCCAAAAGUUCUCAAGACGUGGUCGCUUUGGUAAAUCCUCAAGAGGUGGUGACUUGAAAACAGAUUCCUCAUCCCAUGAUUACAAGAAGAGACUCUGCCACAAAUGCAAGAAGCCUGGACACUACAUUCAAGAUUGUCCUCAGUGGGAAAAUGGAUCAAAGAAGAAGAAGUACAAGGAUUACAGUUCUGAUGAUUCAAAGAAGAAGAAGAAAUCUUCAAAGUCCUCGUCAUCAAAACCUUCAAGGUCCUCAUCUCACAAGAAGAGAAGCUCCAAGAAGGCUCGGGCGUUCAUUGGCAAGGAAAUGGACUCUGAGGCUGAAUCUGAGGAAAAUGAGGAAGAGGAGAAAUCUGAGGAGUCAGACUCUGGUGUGGCAAGCCUAGCCCUUGCUACCACGUUCGUCAGCAAGUCCAUCUUCAACUUUGAAGAAAAGGACCUCUCCAACACUACUAAUGACGGCGAUGAGGACUAUGCUCCCACCUAUUGCUUCAUGGCAAAAGGCUCAAAGGUACUCAAAUAUCCCUCCUUUGAAUCUAGUGAGGAUGGAUCUGAUGAAAACUUCAAACCAGCUAUUCUAAACUUGCUAAGAUUGUUGUGUAACUACAAAAGGCUCUUGAAAAGGUUCAAAACAUGCUAGAUAAAAGUGAUGAUAUGUUGGGCGAGGAAAUGGAUCGCACUAAAAUUUUGACUAAAAAUCUUCAGAGACUUCAGUCAAAGUUUGACAAUCUUCAAGGUCAUCAUAACACUCUCCUAUCUGAUCAUGAGAAGCUUUCUUAUGAAUUUCUUCAAAGAAAGCAAGAUCUUGAGCAGUUAAGAGUGAGUUAUGAAGAUCUUCAGAAGGAGCGUGAUUCAUUACUUGCUCAACAGAUCAGCGCUACUCAGGAUGAAUUUGUUCCUCCAUGUUUGAAGUGCAUUGAACGUGAAACUGCUAAUUCUUCACCUGAAUGCUCAAAUGCUUCCAUUGCUGCAAAUUCUUCAACUGCCUCUGCUAUCACUAAUUCCUCAUCUGAGGACAUUGCUAGUAUCACUGAUGAUGCAGGGCUGAAGGAAUUGUAUAUGACAUGCAUGUACAAAAGCCUCAAAUGGCAUCAGGCUCUUUGUGACGUGCUUAAAAAGAAGAUCCUCAACAGGAACCCUAGGAAACAGGGUAUUGCCUUUGAGAGGAAACUCAAUGCUGAUGGGACCUGCUGGAAACCUGAGCAGUAUCCCAAAACCUCAUGGGUUGCUUCAAAGGGACCUUCAGUGGAUCCAUCUACUUUAUCUGGCUUUACAUGUGAAUCUUCAUAUUCUUUUGAUGAGUCAAUUGACUCCAACUAUAAACUGUUCAAAAAUCAGAAUGGUGAAGUAUUUGCUAGAUAUGUUGGCACUAACUGCAGGAGCGGUCCUCCUAUGAAGAAAAUCUGGGUUCCCAAAAGGUGCCUUGAAAAUCUUCAAGUGAAUGUCAUCAUGACACCACCUGUGAAGAAUAGGAACCUCAGAUCAAAUUCUUCAUAUGAAUGCAAGUGCUCAUACAGACCAAACCCCUCACAUGGAUCAAAUUCCUCAAAAGGAUCAAAGUCCUCAUAUGAACAUCAUCGUGCUAACCCGUCUGUUUCGCAGGAAAGAUCUAAGGACUAUGGAUAUGUGCAUUAUUUUUCAAAUCAUUAUGUUCAUAAGUCCUCGAAGAAUUUCUCUGCUUACUCUUAUGCUUACCCUAACCCCUCUUAUGUGAAACGAAGUGGAUUGGCAUAUAUGCCACCUUUCUCUUAUAGAGCUCGCAGAAUGAUAAACUCUUUGCCACCCCUUCAGAUGUGGGUGGUGAAGAAAAAGAACUAAUCUCUUAUGCAGGAUCAGGUCUCCAGACGAACUUAAUCGUCUGAAGAAUUUGCUGGAGACCUGAAUGUGCUUGAAAGGACGCAAGCUAAUCAUGAAGAAAUGAAUUUUCAUUUCUCACGUCCUCAUACUGCUUUAUCUGUUUUAUUGCUUGAUAAAAUUGAUCUAAAGAAAUUCAUACCAUAUUCUUCUCUGAUGAAGUAUAUGAGUUCAUAAGCUGCACUAAUUCAUCUGCAGGAUUGUAACGCCCCGAGACCGAUGUGCCGGGUGUCUUUCAGUUAUUCGCUAUUGUUGCCUUGUCAUUGCUUGCGUGUCAUGCAUUUCAUAUCAUGUCAUCAUGUGCAUUUCAUUUGCAUACAUGUUCGCAUCAUGCAUCCGAGCAUUUUCCCCGUUGUCCAUUUCUCAAUCCGGCGCUCCUAUGUCAUCCGGUGUCCCUUUCUACCUCUUUUCAUGUGCAGGUGUUAAACGUUUUCGGUUUGGACUGAGACUUGUCAUGCGGCCUUGCUUUACUACCGGUAGACCGCUUGUCAAGUUUCGUGCCAUUUGGACUUCGUUUGAUACUCCAACGGUUAACCGAGGGACCGAAAAGGCCUCAUGUGUGAUGCAGCCCAACACCCCUCCAAAGUGGCCCAAUACCUACCUAAACCCCCUCCAUCAUCUAGGCCGUUCGACCACGAUCGCGUGGCCGAAAACCGCACCUCAUUUGGACUCUCCUAGCUCCCUCUACCUAUAUAUAUGUGUGCCUCCCGGAUUUCUCGUGCAGUUGAAACCCUAAAAAUCCCCCCCCCCCGCACGCUGCCGGACAUGUCCGUCCCGGACCGGACAUGUCCAUCGCCUCCAGCCACCUCACUCCGACGAAUCAUGUCGCGACACAUCAGUGUUGCCGCCUCGCUCCUCCAAUGAUGCGCCACCACGUCGCCACCCCGGCUCCCCUCCACCGCGCCAGGCCCUGUGGGCCUAGAUCCGGCCCGCCUGGCCCGGCCGCCGCCACCGUGAGACGUAGGCGUCCCGCGCUCGCGCCUCCACGACUCCCCGCAUGGCCGCCGCCGUCGUCCUCCCUCUGCGCCGCCGCCGCUCCGGCGUGCGCCACCGGCCGCCCGCGCCGGCAUCUCUCGCGCCGCCUGGAUCCCGCAGCACCGCCGCCACAUAUGUUCGCCGUCUUCUUGUCGCCACACGGACCCGGCCGCGGCCACCUUCGCCGGAGAGUGCCGCCCUGCUCCCACACCGGUAAUGGCGCCGCCGCCCUCGUGCUCGUCGCCGGAGAGGCGAGCUUCGCCGGAUCCGCCCCGGCACCCCCGGCCGCGGCCACCUUCGCCGGAGAGUGCCGCCCUGCUCCCACACCAGUAAUGGCGCCGCCGCCCUCGUGCUCGUCGCCGGAGAGGCGAGCUCUACUUUUACUAUAAAAUGUUCCUGGCAGAUUGUUAACAUGUUUAGCGAUUUUGCUGAGGUUGUUGCUAUUGAUCCGUGCAUGCUAUGUUGUUGUUCUUGCCAAGUCUAGAUUCUAUGCCAUCUCUAUUUGUUGGGUGUAUGCUUAGUUUAUCAUGCCAUGCUUUGUAGGGAGUGCAUCGAGCUCGUAAACAUGCCUACUUGUUAAUCUGUUUUGCAUGCUCCAGUUUUUCACUAAGUCUGAAUCUGUUUAUGUUAUUGCUAUGUUCACGUGCUUGCAAUUGUAUUUUCUGAUCCCUUUUGGUUCAUGGUCAGUAAGGGACUUUUGUUAUAUGCUUUGGGUAGCUUCAUGCCAUGCCUUGCUUUGCCAUGAUAUGUUCCUGUAGCAUGUAGUUUUCAUGCUCUAAAGAUUGCUUCCUGAUGAUAAAUUUCUAACAUGUUGCUUAUUUCACUAAGUCUGUAACUUGUUAUCGUUUGCACUUUUGCCAUGCUUGUUUGAGCCUGCUAUUGAGUGAAUUAGCCGUAGCUCAGUGUUCAUCUUUUGUCAAGCAUCAUGAGUGGAUCCCUGCCAUGUAUUUUUUUGCCACGUUUGAGUGCAGUAGCUUAUUUAUUUUGAUGCAUUUAGAUGGUCACUUGUUGAUUAUCGCAGACUGGUGCCAUAUUUGUUUUGCUUGCCAUUUCCAAACCGUGCAUCCGAUUCCGGUGAUCUUUAUGUCGAUUUCAACCGAAAUCACCUCCCUUUCCAGUGGCACUCUUGGAUUUCCAAGUUGAGACCAGGUUCAAUUAUUCCUUUCCAAAUCAUGCAUAUGCAUCACAUACCGCAUCCCGCAUAUCAUGUCAUGUUCAUGUGUUGGUUGUUUACUAUGUUGUGUGCUUCUUCCCGGUGUUGCUUUUUCGGGUUGGUUCCGAUAACGUCGCAUUUAUGAGGACCCAUUCGACUACGUCCGUUUGCCUUCUUCAUGGACUCGUUCUUCUUCCUUGCGGGGUCUCAGGCAAGAUGACCAUACCCUUGAAAUCACUUCUAUCUUUGCUUGCUAGUUGCUCGCUCUUUUGCUAUGCCUAUGAUGCGAUACCUACCACUUGCUUAUCAUGCCUCCCAUAUUGUUUAAGCCAAGCCUCUAACCCACCUUGUCCUAGCAAACCGUUGUUUGGCUAUGUUACCGCUUUGCUCAACCCCUCUUAUAGCGUUGUUAGUUGUAGGUGAAGAUUGGAGUUUGUUCCUUGUUGGAACAUGGAUAUUUGUUGGGAUAUCACAAUAUCUCGUAUUUAAUUUAAUGCAUCUAUAUACUUGGUAAAGGGUGGAAGGCUCGACCUUAUGCCUGGUGUUUUGUUCCACUCUUGCCGCCCUAGUUUCCGUCAUAUCGGUGUUAUGUUCCCGGAUUUUGCGUUCCUUACACGGUUGGGUUAUAAUGGGAACCCCUUGACAGUUCGCUUUGAAUAAAACUCCUCCAGCAAGGCCCAACCUUGGUUUUACCAUUCGCCACCUAGCCUUUUCCCUUGGGAGUCGCGCAUCCCAAGGGUCAUCUUUAUUUUAACCCCCCCGGGCCAGUGCUUGUCAAAGUGUUGGUCCGAACUAGAUCCACUUGCGGUGCCACCUCAGGGAAACUUGAGGGCUGGUUUUAGCUGUACGUAGUGUUCAUCCGGUGUUGCCCUGAGAACGAGAUAUGUGCAGCUCCCAUCAGGAUGUCGGCGCAUCGGGCGGUCUUGCUGGACUUGUUUUACCAUUGUCGAGGAUGUCUUGUAACCGGGAUGCCGAGUCUGAUCGGAUUGUCUUGGGAGAAGGAAUAUCCUUCGUUGACCGUGAGAGCUUGUGAUGGGCUAAGUUGGGACACCCCUGCAGGGUUUUGAACUUUCGAAAGCCGUGCCCGCGGUUAUGGGCAGAUGGGAAUUUGUUAAUGUUCGGUUGUAGAAAACCUGAAGUUGAUCUUAAUUAAAAGAUAUCAACCACGUGUGUAACCGUGAUGGUCUCUUCUCGGCGGAGUCCGGGAAGUGAACACGGUGUUGGAAUAAUGCUUGACGUAGGUUGUUCUAGGAUCACUUCUUGAUCAUAGUUCAUCGAUCGUGCUUUUGCCUUCUCUUCUCGCUCUCAUUUGCGUAUGUUAGCCACCAUAUAUGCUAGUCGCUUGCUGCAACCCCACCUCAUACCUUUUACCCUUCUUAUAAGUUUAAAUAGUCUUGAUCGUGAGGGUGUGAGAUUGCUGAGUCCCCGUGACUCGCAGAUUACUUCCAAACCUAGUUUGCAGGUGCCGUUGAUACCGAGCAGGUGACGCAACCAAGCUCAAGGAGGAUCUCAAUGAAGAUCUUGUCCUUUGUGUUGUUUCGUUCCAGUUGAUCAGUAGUGGAGUCCAGUUGGGGUCGAUCGGGGAUCUGUGUAGCAUUUGGGGUAGUCUUCUUUUAUUUUGGGUUCCGUAGUCGGACCUUGUGUGUAUCUAGUUGAUGUAAUGUUUUAUUCAUGUAAUUGUGUGAAGUGGCGAUUGUAAGCCAACUAUGUAUCUCUUUUCCCUUAUGUAUUACAUGGGUUGUGUGAAGAUUACCUCACUUGCGACAUUGCUUUCAAUGCGGUUAUGCCUCUAAGUUGUGCUUCGACACGUGGGAGAUAUAGCCGCAUCGAGGGCGUUACAAGGAUGAUCAACCCAAAGCCACUGAGUGGGUCCUCGAUAGUGGAUGUAUAAAUCACAUGACUGGUGACAGGAGCUUAUUGAUGGACACUGCUUUAUCUCCAUCACAUUUGAAGCAUAUCACCUACGCUGACAAAGGCAAAAGCAUGGUAUUGGGUCUAGGUAAGGUUGCAAUCUCAAAGGAUCGACACAUGGACAAAGUCAUGCUUGUUGAGUCCUUAGGGUUCAAGCUCAUGUCUGUCUCAAUGCUUUGUGAUCUUGAUAUGGUUGUUGUCUUUGGCAAGUAUCGUUGUGUUGUGAUCAUGGAAGCUGACAAUUCCAAAGUCUUCGAAGGCUUUAGGAGAGGAGAUUUGUAUAUUGUUGAUUUCUCUACAGGACCACAACCUUCUACAUGUCUACUUGCAAAAGCUUCAGAAGGCUGGCUAUGGCAUCGUCGACUUGGUCAUGCUGGCAUGAGGAAUUUGCACACGCUCGCGAAGAAGAAGCAUGUCAUUGGCAUUGAAAAUGUCAAAUUCCUCAAGGAUAACUUGUGCGGAGCCUGUGGAGCUGGAAAGAUGACCAAGGCCAAGCAUCCAGCGAAGACUACCAUGACUACUACUCAACCAUUUGAAUUGCUUCACAUGGAUCUCUUUGGCCCUACUCACUAUGCCACAUUUACUAAUGCUGCAUCCUUAUAUGGCUUUGUUAUUGUUGAUGAUUAUUCUCGAUAUACAUGGGUCCAUAUCAUCACUUACAAAACUUAAGUGCAGGAAGUUUUCAAACGAUUUUCAUCGAGGGCUUCAACCAACUUUGGUGUGAAGAUCAAGCCCAUCAGAAGUGAUAAUGGAACUGAGUUCAAGAACACCGGUCUUGGUGACUAUCUUGAUGAACUUGGUAUUACUCAUGAGUUAUCUGCUCCUUAUACUCCUCAGCAAAAUGGCGUUGUGGAGCGCAAGAACAGGACUCUUGUUGAGAUGGCCCGCACUAUGCUUGAUGAGUUCAAAACGCCUCCUCACUUUUGGCCUGAGGCAAUUGAUACUGCAUGCCACAUCAUCAACAUGGUACAUCUUCACAAAUUCUUCAAGAAGACCGCAUAUGAACUCCUCCUGACAAGAAACCCAAUGUGAGUUAUUUCAAAGUCUUCGGUGCUAAAUGUUGGAUUAGCGAUCCUCAUCACAGUUCUAAAUUUGCACCGAAAGCACAUGAAGAUUUUAUGCUCGAUUAUGGUAAGGACUCGCACACCUACAGAGUCUUCAACACCUGUCAUCACAAGGUUGUUGAAACUGUAGAUGUGUGGUUCGAUGAAACUAAUGGCUCACAAAGAUAGCACCUACCUCCUGUGACAGAUGAAAUACCUCCUAAGGAAUCUAUUAAGUUCAAGGCUGUAGAGGAUGUCAUUCCUACUGAAGCAUCUGCUGAAGAAGUCAUUCCAGAACAUGAAGAACGUCAUGCUGAUGCACCUGAGGAAAAUGAUGCUGAAUAAAAUGCUGAUCAAUUUCCUCAACGACAACCAGCUCAUCCUCGUGUUGCAAAUGAAGUGCAAAUUGAGAAAAUCAUCAGCGACAUCAACAUUCCAGGUCCUCUCACACGCUCAAGAGCUUCACAUUUAUCUAACUUUUGUGGGCACUUUGCUUUUGUCUCUAUCAUAGAGCCCACUAAGGUAGAUGAAGCAUUUCUGAAGCCUGAGUAGAUUCAAGCUAUGCAAGAGGAAUUACAUCAAUUCGAGCUCAACAACGUCUAGGAACUCGUCAAAUGUCCAGAUCCUCGCAAGCAUAAUAUCAUCGGCACAAAGUGGAUCUACCGCAACAAGCAAGAUGAAAAUGGCCUUGUGGUGAGGAAUAAGGCACGACUUGUAGCUCAAGGCUACACACAGAUUGAAGGAAUUGAUUUUAAUGAAACUUUUGCACCUGUUGCUAGACUUGAAGUUAUUCACAUAUUACUUGCUUAUACUAACCAUCAUGAUAUCACUUUAUAUCAAAUGGAUGUGAAAAGUGCAUUCCUCAAUGAUAAGCUUGAGGAAGAAGUAUAUGUUGCUCAACCCCCAGGUUUUGAAGAUCCAAAGCAUCCUGACAAAGUCUUCAGACUGAAUAAGGCACUCUAUGGCCUCAAGCAGGCCCCACAGGCAUGGUAUGAUACUUUGAAGGAAUUCCUCAUGAAGAAAGGCUUCAAACCCGGUUCACUUGACCCAACUCUUUUCACUAAAUCUUAUGAUGGUGAAUUGUUUGUGUGCCAAAUAUAUGUUGAUGAUAUUAUCUUUGGUUGUACUGACCAACGGUAUACUGAUGAAUUUGGUUAUGUGAUGAGGGAGGAAUAUGAAAUGUCUAUGAUGGGAGAAUUGAAAUUCUUCUUAGGUCUUCAAAUUCGUCAACAGCGCAAUGGCAUAUUCAUAUCUCAGGAGAAAUACCUCAAGGAUGUACUGAGGAAAUUCGGCAUGCAAGAUUGCAAAGGGGCCAAAAUUCCAAUGCCCACAAAUGGUCAUCUAUGCACUGAUGAAAAUGGUAUUGACUUCGAUCAAAAGGUAUACCGCUCCAUGAUUGCUUCUUUAUUGUACUUAUGUGCAUCUAGGCCAGAUAUUAUGCUUAGUGUUUGCAUGUGUGCCCGAUUUCAAGCUACACCAAAGGAAUCACACCAUAAGGUUGUGAAGCAUAUUCUUCGAUAUUUAGCUCACACACCAACACUUGGAUUGUGGUACCCCAAGAGCUCGGCUUUUGAUCUCAUUGGAUAUUCGGACUCUGACUAUGCUGGUGAUCAUGUGGACCGCAAGUCAACAUCUGACACAUGCCAUUUCCUCGGACGAUCUUUGAUCUGUUGGUCAUCAAAGAAACAGAACUAUGUUUCACUGUCUACUACUGAAGCUGAGUACAUUGCUGCUGGUUCUUGCUGUGCUCAACUGCUAUGGAUGAAGCAAACUCUCAAGGACUAUGGUGUCAACAUGAAGAAUGUGCCACCCUACUGUGACAAUGAGAGUGCCAUCAAGAUUGCUCAUAACCCAGUUCAGCACUCGAAGACAAAGCACAUUUAGAUUCAUCAUCAUUUUCUUCGUGAUCAUGUGUUGAAGGGCGACAUCUCCAUUGAGCAUGUGAGGACUGAAGAACAGCUAGCCGAUAUCUUCACUAAGCCCUUGGAUGAGAAGAGAUUUAGAGCAACCACCAGUGGAAUUUAACCGCCUUAUGGUCAGGACACCGCCUUCUUCUCUAGAAUCACACAAGUGGUACCACUCCCCACGGUAAGGCAAGUUGCGGUGUGAGCUAAAUAUCCUAGAAUCUUCGAAUGUUCUUUGAAAAGGACACGCAUCCUAACACUUAUGCAAAAUUGAUGACUUAGAUGUGCAACACAUGAAGAAUGUUUUUCUUAAAUCAAUGAAGAAUAACACUCUAAGUGUGAAGACAUUAACGAAGAAUUUGAUUCUCAGAACCCUACGACAAUUGUACGCGGUGUCUGAAAUCGUCAUUCUUAUACGGUGGUCACGCCACCACAAAAUGUUGAAAAUCUUCAAUUGAGUUUUUCCUCAGUUGUUUUUCAACUUGCAUAGUCCUCACUAAUUCCGUCGUUUUUCUUCUUUGGCUAUAUAUAUAUAUAUAUAUAUAUAUAUAUAUAUAUAUAUAUAUAUAUAUAUAUAUAUAUAUAUGAGUUUAUGUCCUCUACAACAUUCACUUAUUGCUAUUUCUUCAAGUUGCUUGUUCUGCUAAGUGAAUGUGAUCAGACCCUUCCCCCUCUAUGCUAAACUCAACCUAGUCUAUUCACAAAUUCUUCAUGUGCGUUCUAUUUGAAUCUCGAUCAAAAAUCUUCACUGUGUCCUUGUCAGCUGAAGAAAUUGCGAACAGAACUUUAAAAUCUAUCUUAUCUAAAUUUUCGGCUUUGCCGCUCAAACCGUUCCGCAUUCUUUGUGAUGUUUAUCUAUUCACCCACGAUCGAAUACGAUCGUCAUCUCUCUAUUCGUGGGUGACACAUGUCAAGCGAAUAAGAAAGGUCAAGGGCACGUUCGUCCUAUUUCCUCGGGCGAGCGGUUUUCCACUUCGGCUAUAAAUACUCCUCUCCCUUCCUCACUUGACUUUUACUCCGCUCGAUCUCACUCCCUCGCUCGAGCUUCCCAAUGGUAGCGCCGCCGCUACCUCCAUCAUCACCGGUGAGGAAGAGCUUCAUUGCCUCGAUGCUACCUCUUGAGCACUUGCGUUGGUUUUCCCUUGAAAAGGAAAGGGUGAUGCAGCAGAGUAGCGUAAGUAUUUCCCUCAGUUUUUGAGAACCAAGGUAUCAAUCCAGUAGGAGGCCACGCACGAGUCCCUCGCACCUACACAAACAAAUAAAUCCUCGCAACCAAUGCGAUAAGGGGUUGCCAAUCCCUACACGGUCACUUACAAGAGUGAGAUUUGAUAGAUAUGAUAAGAUAAUAUAUUUUUUGUACUUUUUAUGAUAAAGAGAAAUAAAAGAUGCAAAGUAAAAUAAAUAGCAAUAUACAUAACUAAGUGCUGGAAGAUUAAUAUGAUGGAAGAUAGACCCGGGGGUAAUAGGUUUCACUAGUGGCUUCUCUCAAGAGCAUAAGUAUUCAUGGCGGGUAAACAAAUUACUGUUGAGCAAUUGAGAGAAUUGAGCAUAGUUAUGAGAAUAUCUAGGUAUGGUCAUGUAUAUAGGCAUCACGUCCGAGACAAGUAGACCGACUCCUUCCUGCAUCUACUACUAUUACUCCACACAUCGACCGCUAUCCAGCAAGCAUCUAGAGUAUUAAGUUCAAGAGAACAGAGUAACGCUUUAAGCAAGACGACAUGAUGUAGAGGGAUAAACUCAUGCAAUAUGAUGAAAACCCCAUCUUGUUAUCCUUGAUGGCAACAAUACAAUACGUGUCUUGCUGCCCCUACUGUCACUGGGAAAGGACACCGCAAGAUUGAACCCAAAGCUAAGCACUUCUCCCAUUGCAAGAAAGAUCAAUCUAGUAGGCCAAACCAAACUGAUAAUUCAAAGAGACUUGCAAAUAUAACCAAUCAUACAUAAAAUAAUUCAAAGAAGAUUCAAAUAUUGUUCAUAGAUAAACUUGAUCAUAAACCCACAAUUCAUCGGUCUCAACAAACACACCGCAAAAUAAGACGAAUAGAUCUCCACAAGAGAGGGGUAGAACUUUGUAUUGAGAUCCAAAAAGAGAGAAGAAGCCAUCUAGCUAAUAACUAUGGACCCGUAGGUCUGGGGUAAAGUACUCACACUUCAUCGGAGAGGUUAUGGUGUUGAUGUAGAAGCCCUCCGUGAUCGAUGCCCCCUCCGGCGGAGCUCCGGAACAGGCCCCAAGAUGGGAUCUCGUGGAUACAAAAAGUUGCGGCGGUGGAAUUAGGGUUUUGGCUCUGUGUCUAGUAGUUUGGGGGUACGUAGGUAUAUAUAGGAGGAAGGAGUACGUCAGUGGAGCAACAGGGGGCCCACGAGGGUGGAGGGUGCGCCUAGGGGGGGGGGGGUAGGCGCGCUCCCUACCUCGUGGCCUCCUGGUUGAUGUCUUGACGUAGGGUCCAAGUCCUCUCGAUCAUGUUCGUUCCAAAAAUCACGUUCCCGAAGGUUUCAUUUCGUUUGGACUCCGUUUGAUAUUCUUUUUCUGUGAAACCCUAAAAUAGGGGAAAAACAACAAUUCUGGGCUGGGCCUCCGGUUAAUAGGUUAGUCCCAAAAAUAAUAUAAAAAUGUAUAAUAAAGCCCAAUAAUGUCCAAAAUAGAAUAUAAUAUAGCAUGGAACAAUCAAAAAUUAUAGAUAUGUUGGAGACGUAUCAAGCAUCCCUGAGCUUAAUUCCUGCUCGUCCUCGAGUAGGUAAAUGAUAAAAACAGAAUUUUUGAUGUGGAAUGCUACUUGGCAUAAUUUCAAUGUAAUUCUCUUAAUUGUGGUAUGAAUAUUCUGAUCCGAAAGAUUCAACACAAAAGUUUAAUAUUGACAUAGAAAUAAUAAUACUUCAAGCAUACUAACUAAGCAAUUAUGUCUCUUCAAAAUAACAUGGCCAAAGAAAGCUAUCCCUACAAAAUCAUAUAGUCUGGCUAUGCUCCAUCUUCACCACACAAAGUAUUCAAAUCAUGCACAACCCCGAUGACAAUCCAAGCAAUUGUUUCAUACUUUUAAUGUUCUCAAACUUUUUCAAUCUUCAUGCAAUACAUGAGCGUGAGCCAUGGACAUAGCACUAUAGGUGGAAUAGAAUGGUGGUUGUGGAGAAGACAAAAAGAGAGAAGAUAGUCUCACAUCAACUAUGCGUAUCAACGGGCUAUGGAGAUGCCCAUCAAUAGAUAUCAAUGUGAGUGAGUAGGGAUUGCCAUGCAACUGAUGCACUAGAGCUAUAAGUAUAGGAAAGCUCAACAAAAAGAAACUAAGUGGGUAUGCAUCCAACUUGCUUGCUCACGAAGACCUAGGGCAUUUGAGGAAGCCCAUUGUUGGAAUAUAUAAGUCAAGUUCUAUAAUGAAAAAUUCCCACCAGUAUAUGAAAGUGAUAACAUAGGAUACUCUCUAUUAUGAAGAUCAUGGUGCUACUUUGAAGCACAAGUGUGGAAAAAGGAUAGUAGUAUUGCCCCUUUUUUUGGGCCUUUCUUUUUUUGGCCUUUCUCUUUUUUUGGGACAGUACUCUAUGAAUGAUGAUCAUCACACUUCUAUUUAUUUACAACUCAAGGAUUAUAACUCGAUACUAGAACAAAGUAUGACUCUAUAUGAAUGCCUCCGGUGGUGUACCAGGAUAGCAAUGAUGCAUGAGUGACUUAUAUGAAAGAAUUAUGAACGGUGGCUUUGCCACAACUAAAAUGUCGACUACAUGAUCAUGCAAAGCAAUAUGACAAUGAUGGAGCGUGUCAUAGUAAACGGAACGGUGGAAAGUUGCAUGGCAAUAUAUCUCAGAAUGGAUAUGGAAAUGCCAUGAUAGGUAGGUAUAGUGGCUGUUUUGAGGAAGGUAUAUGGUGGGUGUAUGAUACCAGCGAAAGGUGUGCGGUAUUAGAGAGGCUAUCAAUGGUGGAAGGGUGAGAGUGCGUACAAUCCAUGGACUCAACAUUAGUCAUAAAGAACUCACAUACUUAUUGCAAAAAUCUAUUAGUUAUCGAAGCAAAGUACUACGCGCAUGCUGCUAGGGGGAUAGAUUGGUAGGAAAAGACCAUCGCUCGUCCCGACCGCCACUCAUAAGGAAGACAAUCAAUAAAUACAUCAUGCUCCGACUUCUUAACAUAACGGUUCACCAUACGUGCAUGCUACGGGAAUCACAAACUUCAACACAAGCAUUUCUCAAAUUCACAACUACUCAACUAGCACGUAUCACCAUCUCCAUAUCUCAAAACAAUUAUCAAGUUUCAAACUUCUCAUAGUAUUCAACACACUCAUAAGAAAAUUUUAUUAUUAAUCUUGAAUGCCUAAAAUAAUUAAAGCAAAUUACCAUGCUGUUUUGUAGGACUCUCAAAAUAAUCUAAGUGAAGCAUGAGAGAACAAUGGUUUCUAUAAAACAAAUCUACCACCGUGCUCGAAAAGAUAUAAGUGAAGCACUAGAGCAAAAACUAUAUAACUCAAAAGAUAUAAGUGAAGCACAUAGAGUAUUCUAAUAAUUUCCGAAUCAUGUGUGUCUCUCUCAAAAAGGUGUUUGUAGAAAGUAUGAUUGUGGUAAACUAAAAAUCAAAGACUCAAAUCAUACAAGACGCUCCAAGAAAAACACAUAUCAUGUGGUAAAUAAAAAUAUAGCUCCAAGUAAAGUUACCGAUAGAAGUAGAUGAAAGAGGAGAUGCCUUCCGGGGCAUCCCCAAGCUUUGGCUUUUAGGUGUCCUUAGAUUAUCUUUGGGGUGACAUGGGCAUCCCCAAGCUUAGGCUCUUUCCACUCCUUGUUCCAUAAUCCAUCAAAUCUUUACCCAAAACUUGAAAACUUCACAACACAAAACUUAAAGUAGAAAAUCUCGUGAGCUCCGUUAGCGAAAGAAAACAAAACACCACUUCAAGGUACUGUAAUGAAAUCAUUAUUUAUUUAUAUUGGUGUUAAAACUACUGUAUUCCAACUUCUCUAUGGUUUAUAAACUAUUUUACUAGCCAUAGAUUAAUCAAAAUAAGCAAACAACACACGAAAAACAGAAUCUGUCAAAAACAGAACAGUCUGUAGUAAUCUGUAGCUAACGCAAGAUUUGGAACCCCAAAAAUUCUAAAAUAAAUUGCUGGACGUGAGGAAUUUAUCUAUUAGUUAUCUGCAAAAAUAAUUAACUAAAUAUAACUUUCCAAAUAAAAAUGGCAGCAGUUCUCGUGAGCGCUAAAGUUUCUGUUUUUUACACCAAGAUUAAAAAAACUUUCCCCAAGUCUUCCCAACGGUUCUACUUGGCACAAACACUAAUUAAACACAAAAAACACAACCAAAAAGGAGGCUAGAUAAAUUAUUUAUUACUAAACAGGAGCAAAAAUCAAGGAAUAAAAAUAAAAUUGGGUUGCCCCCCAACAAGCGUUAUCGUUUAACGCCCCUAGCUAGGCAUAAAAGCAAGGAUAGAUCUAGGUAUUUCCAUCUUUGGUAGGUAAUCCUUAAGUGGCUGUCAUAAUAGAUUCAUAAGGUAAUUUAGUUUUCUUUCUAGGGAAGUGUUCCAUGCCUUUCCUUAACGGAAAUUGGAAUCUAAUAUUCCCUUCCUUCAUAUCAAUAAUUGCACCAAUCGUUCUAAGGAAAGGUCUACCAAGAAUAACAGGACAUGAAGGAUUGCAAUCGAUAUCAAGAACAAUAAAAUCUACGUGCACAUAAUUCCUAUUUGCAACAAUAAGAACAUCAUUAAUUCUUCCCAUAGGUUUCUUAAUAGUGGAAUCCGCAAGGUGCAAGUUUAAAGAGCAAUCAUCAAAAUCACGGAAACCUAACAAAUCGCACAAAGUCUUUGGAAUCGUGGAAACACCAGCACCCAAAUCACACAAAGCAUAGCAUUCAUGAUUCUUAAUUUUAAUUUUAAUAGUAGGUUCCCACUCAUCAUAAAGUUUUCUAGGGAUAGAAACUUUCCACUCAAGUUUUUCUUCAUAAGAUUGCAUCAAAGCAUCAACGAUAUGUUUAGUAAAGGCUUUAUUUUGACUAUAAGCAUGCGGAGAAUUUAGCACGGAUUACAACAAGGAAAUACAAUCUAUCAAAGAGCAAUUAUCAUAAUUAAAUUCGUUGAAAUCCAAAAUAGUGGGUACAUUAAUAUUUAGAGUUUUGACUUCUUCAAUCCCACUUUUAACAAUUUUAGCAUCAAGAUCUAAAGACUCCGAAUUUUUGGAACGCCGUCUAGGUAAAGGUGGAUCAUAAUCAGUCCCAUCAUUAUCAAGAUUCAUAUUGCAAAACAAAUAUUUAAUAGGGACACAUUAAUAACUUUUAGAUCUUCAUCUUCAUUAUCAUGGAAACUAGAAGAACACGCUUUUAUAAAGCAAUCUUUCUUAGCACGCAUCCUAGUGGUUCUUUCUUUGCACUCAUCAAUGGAAAUUCUCAUGGCUUUGAGAGACUCAUUGAUAUCAUUCUUAGGUGGAAUAGAUCUAAGUUUCAAAGAAUCAAUAUCAAGAUAAAUUCUAUCAACGUUCCAAGCCAACUCAUCAAUCUUAAGCAAUUUUUCUUCAAUCAAAGCAUUGAAAUUCUUUUGCGAAGUAUUAAAUUAUUUAAUAUUAGUUUCAAAAUCAGAGGGCAUCUUAUUAUAAUUUCCAUAAUAAUUGUUGUUGGAAUUACCAUAAUUAUUAGAGGAAUUACUAGGAUACGGCCUAGGAUUAAAGUAUCCUCUAUACGCGUUGUUACCAAAAUUAUUCCUACCAACAAAAUUCACAUCCAUAGAUUCAUUAUUAUUCUCAAUCAAAGUAGACAAAGUCAUAUCAUUAGGAUCAUAAGAAACACUUUUAUUAGCAAAUAAUUUCAUAAGUUCAUCCAUCUUUCCACUCAAAACAUUAAUUUCGUCUAUCGCAUGCACUUUCUUAUUAGUAGAUCUUUCAGUGUGCCAUUGAGAAUAAUUAACCAUAAUAUUAUCUAGGAGUUUAGUAGCUUCUCCUAAAGUGAUUUCCAUAAAAGUGCCUCCCGCGGCCGAAUCUAAAAGAUUUCUAGAAGCAAAAUUCAAUCCGGCAUAAUUUUUUUGUAUAAUCAUCCACAAAUUCAAACCAUGCGUACGGCAAUUACGUAUCAUUAAUUUCAUCCUCUCCCAAGCUUGUGCAACAUGUUCAUGAUCAAGUUGCUUAGAAUUUAUAAUAUCAUUUCUAAGAGAGAUGAUCUUAGCGGGAGGAAAAUACUUAGAGAUAAAAGCAUAUUUGCACUUGUUCCACGAAUCAAUACUAUUUUUAGGCAAAGAUGAAAACGAAGCUUUAGCACGAUCUCUAAGCGAAAAAGGAAAUAGCUUCAAUUUAACAAUAUCAUUAUCCACAUAUUUCUUCUUUUGCAUAUCACACAAAUCAAUGAAGCUAUUUAGAUGGGUAGCAGCAUCUUCACUAGGAAGGCCGGAAAAUGGAUCUUUCAUGACAAGAUUCAGCAAGGCAGCAUUAAUUUCACAAGAUUCAGCAUCGGUAAGAGCAGUAAUCGGAGUGCUAAUAAAAUCAUUGUUGUUGGUAUUGGUAAAGUUACAUAAUUUGGUAUUAUCUUAGCCAUCGUGACAAGCAAGCAAUCCGACACAAAAGCAAACAAGACGGGCAAAAAGAGGCGAAUAGAGAAAGAGAGGGAGGACGGAGAGAGAGAGAGAGAGAGAGAGAGAGGGCAAAUAAAACGGCAAGGGUGAAGUGGGGGAGAGUAAAAUGAGCGGCAAAUGGAAAAUAAUGUAAUGCGGGAGAUAAGGGUUUGUGAUGGGUACUUGGUAUGUUGACUUUUGCGUAGACCUCCCCGGCAACGGUGCUAGAAAUCCUUCUUGCUACCUCUUGAGCACUUGCGUUGGUUUUACCUUGAAGAGGAAAGGGUGAUGCAGCAGAGUAGCAUAAGUAUUUCCCUUAGUUUUUGAGAACCAAGGUAUCAAUCCAGUAGGAGGCCACACACGAGUCCCUCGCACCCACAAACAAAUAAAUCCUCGCAACCAACGCGAUAAGGGGUUGUCAAUCCCUACACGGUCACUUACGAGAGUGAGAUCUGAUAUAUAUGAUAAGAUAAUAUUUUUUUUAUUUUUAUGAUAAAGAGAAAUAAAAGAUGCAAAGUAAAAUAAAUAGCAAUAUAAACAAUGUCAGGACCGGAUUUUCAGGAUAUUAAUUUCCCAAAAGCGGCCCUUGUGCUCACCAGCCCCAGGAUUACUAUUAGCUGAUGAGACACCAACUUGUUAUAGAAACUCCAAGCAAAAUACAAAAUAUGAAGUACAAGACCAUUCUGGCCUAUGGGUACAACAAUUGGUUGCUAGAGGUCGAUGGCGGAAGCGGUUUGCGGAUCAUCAGCGUCUAUGGGACUCCAUUUCCACAGGAACAGCUGACCAGGAUAACUCCUAUCUUCGUGAGGCUGCUAUCACCAUUACGUAGGUUCCGGGGCUGUCAUCGCAAGCUCCUUUCCACGCAAGAAAUCUGGCCAAGACAAUAGUCAGGGACAAGCCAGUGAGUACUUUGAAUGUACUCGCAAACAUUAAGAACACAGGUAUAAUAUAGCCAUUGAUAAUCAUGUUUUGAAAUGUUUCAUGAUCACUUCGUCAGUUAUGAAAUAAGGUUCAUGAUGCACGCAAGUAGAUCAUUCAAAUAAAACAUGAGUAAACAAUCAGGGAGUAGAAAUGAAAAGCACCGAUCGGGUGUUUGAAGCCACGCCUUGAAAGGAUAAUAAUAUGAAACGUGCCUUAGUCGGGCGUCGGUGCGACACCACAUAAAGGGCUUAAAAGUAAAUGAAAUAACAAGCAUGCCACAGUCGGGCGUCUGUGCGACACCACAUAAAGGGCUUAUAAGUAAAUGAAAUAACAAGCAUGCCACAGUCGGGCGUCUGUGCGACACCACAUAAAGGGCUUAUAAGUAAAUGAAAUAACACGCAUGCCACAGUCGGGCGUCUGGGCGACACCACAUAAAGGGCUCAUACAAGAAUAAUCACGGUGAAUAUCCAGGAGGUAGAACCGUCCCAGGGAUACUCAAUAAUUCAAAUAACAUAAAUGAUUAGUCCAUAAUGAUAAUAAUCAUAAUCAUCAUACGUCACCGGUCAUAACCAAUGUUCUGGUUUAGUAGUUUUUCCUCCAAAGACCGACACUAAGACCGACACUUGACCCAUCCCAGACUGUAGUCCUUAACCAUGGACACGGCUAUUCGAAUAGGUAUAAUAUCUCUGCAGAGGGUGUACUCUUUACCCACGAGUAACGGAUUUCUUUAGUUCAUCGGAACUAAUUCCGUCUAUGGUCUUUUAGUCGAAAACACGCCUGACUUGCACACACCAGCUUAACUUUACUCGUGUCUGGAAUCACCCAGACACCUGUUAUGCAAAACUCUAAGUGGGGAGGCUACAACCUCGCGUAGCAUGGGAUUAAAUUUUUAUCGCGCGCUCUAAGGGGUGGCCUCCCCUCUCGGUCUCAACCGGAAACACCCAUGCCCUCGGACCAGGUGGCAUGCCUACCAGCUACAACCGGUAUCUUCCACCAUGGCCUCUCUGUACGGUGUGUGCUAGGACAGGGGUUGACAACUUACUGAACCGUACCCUACCUACGGCAGGGACAAGUGGCAGCACGAAACAAGUAUGGGGGUUACUGGAGCAAGACUCGAUCUACGGCCGACUCAGGAGGCUUAAGUAUUUCCUACAUGGUUAGCUCAAGAAUUAUAUUUCACAUCCAUCAGACACAACCAUCACUCAUCAUACCUCCCCCUGCCCCACCGGUCAUAACCGUCUCGACGAAGGACAAGCUCGUGUCUACCCAAGACAGAGACUUUCCCGGAUCCUUCCCGGUAGGCAUGAGAGGCAUAUGAGGGUGAUUGCUAUCACAAGUAUGUCCAUUUCCAACAGCAAACAUUUCCAUUAUUGCAUUCAAGGUGUAUGAUCAUAUCGUCACAUAAAAAUAACUAACACUUCAUGUCGAGGUGGUGUUAUAACCGUAUCAAACAAUCCCCAAAGUAUAUUAUGCCAGGGUUCAGAAUGCUUGCCUUCAAGGUGUGGAGAGUCAGGGUGCAUUCCAAAACUUUGAAAGUUUUCUUCUCUCUCCCACAAAUCCUAUUUUUGGAAAUAUUUAAAUUAACACAUAGUUUAAAAAUAGUACAAAAAAGUUGCUUGGAAAAUUUUGAAAUAAAUAUGAAAAUAAACUAGACAAUAUUUGAGGAACAACAAAAAAAGAUUCAAGUCAUUUGGAUUCAUAUUUUAAAAGUUAUAGCCAGUCAAAGUUUUGGUCAAAUCUAUUUUUAAAAUAAAACAGAAAAGAAAACGUUUCAAAAGGAAUACGCUUUCCGGGUAGCGAAGACGUACUCUAGGGUUUAUGUCUUCACUUAUCCAGCGUGGACCGGCUCAUGGUCACUGAGAGUGGGUCCAGCGGGCCCACUGGUCAGGUUUUACUUCUCUCCACUCCCUCCCCUUUCCUCUGCCUGAGCGGGGGCGGGACUCAGGCGAUCGUCGCCGGCGAACGGGGGCUCCUCGAGGGCAUCCGAGGCCAGGGAUGGAUCCGCCACUCCUAGGCAGUCCUCCCGGUGGUCGACUGGCUGGCGGGGACGGAGGGAAUCGCCAGCGGCGACCUCCGCGGCGGAGAGAGCUUCGGGCAGGUUUGGGGCUCUGGGAUACUGUGGCUCCCGACCGUGUUUGAGGUGCUGGACAGCUCCGCAGGGUCAAGGGGAGUCGAGCGGUGGUGUUGGAAAGGCGGGGGAGGCCCUGGCCACGACAGACGGAGUUGGGGCAUGGUGGCGACCGAACCGGCCGGAGACGGAGAAGAUGGCUUUCCCCCAUUGAUUUCGGGCUGCGGGUGUGUUGUGGGAGUGGCCUGAGGUUGCCUGGGUGCUCGGAGGAGCUCGGGGGCCUCCUUUUAUAGCGCAACGAGGUCGGUUCGCAGCGGCCGUGGAUAAGCUCGUCGGCGACCGCCGUUCUGUUGCUACAGGCGACGUGGCGAUGACGUGCGCUAGCAGAUGGCCUUGCGGAUGAGGUCGGGCUGUUCAAAGGGGGCAGCUGGGGCGCUGCUGCGGCUUGGGCGGCGCCGUCCACGGCAGAGCCCUGCUGCGGCCGUCAGCGGCUAGCAUCGGUGGCGCUGUGGGGCGCCAGGAGGAGGGGCCAGGCGGCUCUGCGGCGCGGGAGGAGUUGGGGCACUGGCUGUGGGCGGCCAAGGGGCAGCACGGGCAUGGGUCGAGCGGCAGCGAGACGCGGUGGCUCGGUGCGCGCGUGUGCAAAAUGUGCGCUCUGGGCACGCCCAGCGCACGCACGGUACGUGCUCGACACAAUGCCAGAGCUUGCUAGAGGAUUAGGUUGGGGCUGGGGACUAGCAGGCCUGGGUUAGGGUUAGUUAGGAGCUCAAUGAACAUGGUUGUUAGGUCAGAUGAUCAAGAGCACAAAGCAAAUCAAUAAUCAUGCCAAAUCUGCUCAUACACUCAAGGUGUUCGACAGAAUGCUAAGUGCAUCUAGGCAACUCUUGGGGUGGCCCAAAUUUCCAGAUCAUAGUCUCUCUAGAUGAAUGGGAGGGUGGUGAGGUUAGUUUGCCAAAAGCUCAAACUUGUUAGUGUAAGUUUUGUAAAUCCACAGUUUUGGACAGAAAGGAAAAGGCAUGGUUGCAUGCACUAAAAAUCCUCCAAUGGGUCCACUCUUCUGGACUUAAGGGUUUUGUAAGAUGGGCUAUAAGCAGGAUAAAGCACAUGGUCACUAGAGCAAAAAUAAUUAGGGUUGCUGUACAAAUCACCAAGCUGGACCAGAAUGAAAAGGUGGUUGAUUCACUCAAAUUUUACCAAGAACAUCAAUGGGUUUUUGCAUAAAGUUGAAUAAUAUACUCCUAUGAACAUCCCAAAAUUUUGGUGGAGGAUAGAAAGAAAUAUUUAAAUGGGUUGCACUGCAAAAUUGCCCACUGGACCAGAUUUGAAAAAUUGGGGUAGAGCUCAAAAUAUUAAAUGAAUAAAAUAUAUUUUUGCAUAAAAGUGAUUUAAAAACAUCACAUGACAUCUCCAAAUUUUGGUGAAAAUUUUAAAUAAAUAUAUCAAGUGGUUGUAGUUCAAAAAGAGCUCCAAAACUAAUGAAAAAUCAUUUUAAGGAAUAAAGCUCAGAGAGAAAUAAUUGUGCAAAUAAAUUCCACUGAUAAUAGAAAUGUUUUCUUGAGAGGUUAAACAAGUCCAAUAAUAUUUUGGGAAAGUUUUUUUUCACUUGAGGUAAAAAACUCCAUAAUAAGGAAAAAGGAUGGCUCUGAAAUCAAAAGAAAAUCCAGAAAAUUAAAAGUUUAAAUUUCCUAGAAAAAUUUUAAUUAAUAAAACAAGGUUAAAAUUUUGGGGUGUCACAACACUACCCCCCUUAAGAAAAAUCUCGUCCUCGAGAUUUGCUAAAAGUUGCUUUAAGAUAAUAUAAGCAAUAAAAUGUGGCUACAGGGAGAGAGCAAUAAGUGGUGUAAAACCACAGUGUGGAACACUGGCGCUGCGUGGAAAAAUCUAUGGGUAGGGGGGAAACGAGAGAUUUCUACGUUGGAUAUAGUAAAUUUAGAAUAAAUUCUAAAUUUAAAAUACGCUGGUCGUACCCGAGAGCACAGUGCUCUCUCUGGCUGACAGGUGGACCCGGGGUCCACUUUCAGCCUCUUCUUCUUCCUCUGGUUCUCUCUUCUUCCUCUCUCCUGCGCGCUUUCCCGCGCCUUCUCCACCGGCAACGUCUAGCGCGUAGGGCAUCUAGGCCAUACUUGCGGUAGUGCGCGGCAUGCUAGCUGCCGGUGCAGCGUGCACUCACCUCACGGGCCAGCGUGCUGUCGGCACUGCUCGCGGAUUCGCCUCCGAACACCGGCGAUCGGGCGACGAGCGGCGCUGGUGGACUUCGCCCAUCGUACACCGAGCUCGAGCUAUAAAAUGGCCGAGGUGCUUCUCUCUUCUUCCUCACACCUGGCCUCGCUUCUCCUUCUCCUUCUUCCUCCUCCAUUUCCGUUUACAGAAGCUCGGGUGAGGCUCUAAUGGCGGAGGCGGUGCCGGACUGGUAUGUGAUCCUGAUGUGCGGAAGGCUGGCGGCAUUGCUGGGGCUCUCCGUGCUCCUGUGUGCGAUGAUCCUCGAUGAUCGUCGUGAUGCUGCCGCUCGAGUGUUAGCUCUCCGCGGUGGCGGUGAUCACGAGGAGUAGGUGUGGUGUCGGGUGUUGACUAUUGUCGGUAUGCUGGGUAACUUGUACCCGGAUGAUUACCCACUAAUCUCUCCUUCAGAGACUGUGGUGUGUUAGCCAGAUGCAACACGGUUACGUGGUGUUGCAAGUAGUGUAUGUGUUCGAGUGGUUGCGGUUGUGAGUCUGCUGCCAUGGUGCUGCGUGAAUAAAAUUCCAUGUUGUGAGGAGACAUAUGUUGUAGCAACUCAGGGAAAAGAAAUCUCACUCAAGGAUUUCUCGUGAGGAAAAAAUUAGUUAAUCAAAAUUUACAGCAGCAAAAAUUACUCAUUACAAUUGAAACCAAAUGUACAUCUCAUCGCACAAGGUUUAGAAUAACACGCAUGAGUUACAACACUUAACUAUAUGCGAGAAUACAAGAACAUAGCAGUGACGUCUAGAAUGAAAAUGGCAACUGGACGGGGUCCUGACAAAACAUCUUUGGUACUGGGGCGCACUCUUCUUCUACCGGGGGAAGCGGAUUGAUCAGUCGAUGAAUGCGUCUCUCCUAGUCGGGCCUCAGUGGUCUGCCGAUGGCGAUCUGAGGACUUAAAUCAGCGAGGCUCUAGAGAUAACCCAUUACUCGCUGGGUCAAACGCUCUUGAGCGAUGACAUACUGGACAAGGUUGGCCAGUACCGGGUCUCUCUCAAUUUGUUCAUCGGGAAAAGAUGUCACUUCCCCAGGUGCUGCACGGCUCGGAAAGUAAUAAUACCCUCGUUCGCUGGUAUAGGGUACCGCGAAUCGAAGGCGAACAAUCGCUUCUUGUGCAGCCGCUUCUAUGGCCAUCUGCAGAGUGGACAUAGAUUUCCCUAGGAAGGAGACUUCCGUUGGGUCCUGAUUUGAGUCUACGGGAGGGAUGUGCACUACUGCCCAAUAUUUCGAGGUGGAAGAGGUGAUCCUCGAUUUGAGCAGCUUGUACUGGGGUGGCUAGGUAGAACCCAUGGUACUGCAGGUAAAGUCCCACAAUAUUUUAACAAAACUACCCGAGGUUGCAUCCGGGGUUCUUAGAUAAAUGCUAGGGCUCGGCAUGGCAAGAAAUGGUUGUGAGGGUUGCGCGCAAGAUGAGGGGUACUCGGCAAGGUCACGAGGUGUCCCUUUUAUAAAGCAACUGGGCUGGGUUAUUUACCGCGGUGAAGGGAAACUAGUUUGUCGGUUCUUCCCUAUGGGGUCAGGGUCAAAGCCACAGAUACACGCAUCUCGCCAAAGCAACGCAUUACUGAGGGUCCGUCAGGGUUGGUUUUGGUAGCUACGCCCAGAAUUAAAAAUGCAACCGUACACCAACACACUUAUGCACAGCUACUUUUAAAAUAGGGGCACACAUGCAGACAACACUGCGGUAAUACAAGAUCACACAACUACAGGUUGUGGACAUACUGAGACUCGGUACUACUCGAGUGACUUAGUCUACCUCGUUUAUAUCUAAGCGGGCGUGCCUUGUGGAUGCCGAGGCUUCUCCAUUGGCUUCACCGUCGGAGUAGUUAGCUGCAGGGGGUUGAGGAACUGUAGGGCCGGGGUAGUGAUGAUGACCAUCGCGGGGAUUGUUGGCCACAAUCCCUUUGGAGUGUGUUCCCAAAAGGCGAUGGAGCACUUCUGGGGUCAUCAAAGCACCUUGGUCGAUGGUCGGGGCUGAUAUCAAGGUCUCGAUCGGUUGUCCGAACAGCACGACUGGGUUGUCGGUGUCGGGCUCAGCCUCUCUUCUUACCGGGGCUCGGCGAACUAGUUCUCCACGAGCUGCGAUCAGAUCAAGGGUGAUUUGAUCGAACAGUCCCUCUAGUGCACUUACAUAGCGCACUAGAUGCAAUAAUGCAGGAUCCGUCUCGUGGUCUCCGUUGGCAACUUGGGGUGGUCUACCAUACCCAUCACGGCUGGGGUAGUAGUAGAAGGAGCGACAGUUAACUCGGGGCAAUAAGUGCCGGAGUUGAACUAUAGCUUCUCGAGCAGCUAGUUGGAUGGCUUGUGGCUCAAAGGAAGUUGUCCUUUCGGUGAACCUGUAGGGGCGUUCUGGUGAUAGACCCCUACCAUAGACGUGCACAGUGGCCCAAAAUUGACGGCUCUCACCGCUCAUGGAACCCUGGUACACAACAUAUUCUGGGGGAUCUUCUAAUGCAAAGGCACGGCGGGUGAGGUUUGCUAGCACGGUUAUAAAACCUCCAAGGUUGGCUGCUGUGGUCUCAUUGUGAACAAUGGGGCUAGGCAUUCUAGCUCGGUUUGGGGUAGGGGCUGUGCUGUGCUGGGUUGAGGCUAGCGUGCCCCUUUUAUAGAAAAAGGGGACGGAGUCUUCUUCGCACGCUUGCGAAAAAGACUAUUCAGGGGCCGGUCACUGGCGCGGGAUUGACGGGCUAGGCCGAUAGGUUGGGCACCGACUGCCUGAAGGUGUCGGGUCACUGUGUGGCUAUCUUACACGAGAAGCUUGGCCGGGGUCUGGUUAAGGUCUGGUGGGUUGGUUUACCUAGGUUUUCGACCUGGCUAAGGUAGGAUUAGCCAAUGGUCAGCCUGGCUCUGAUACCAAGUUUGUCAGGACCGGAUUUUCGGGAUAUUAAUUUCCCAAAAGCGGCCCUUGUGCUCACCAGCCCCAGGAUUACUGUUAGCUGAUGAGACACCAACUUGUUACAGAAACUCCAAGCAAAAAACAAAAUAUGAAGUACAAGACCAUUCUGGCCUAUGGGUACAACAAUUGGUUGCUAGAGGUUGAUGGCGGAAGCGGUUUGCGGAUCAUCAGCGUCUAUGGGACUCCAUUUACCACAGGAACAGCUGACCAGGAUAACUCCGAUCUUCGCGAGGCUGCUAUCACCAUUACGUAGGUUCCGGGGCUGUCAUCGCAACGCACCUUUCCACCCAAGAAAUCUGGCCAAGACAAUAGCCAGGGACAAGCCAGUGAGUACUUUGAAUGUACUCGCAAACAUUAAGAACACAGGUAUAAUAUAGCCAUUGAUAAUCAUGUUUUGAAAUGUUUCAUGAUCACUUCGUCAGUUAUGAAAUAAGGUUCAUGAUGCACGCAAGUAGAUCAUUCAAAUAAAACAUGAGUAAACAAUCAGGGAGUAGAAAUGAAAAGCACCGAUCGGGUGUCUGAAGCGACGCCUCGAAAGGAUAAUAAUAUGAAGCGUGCCUCAGUCGGGCGUCGGUGCGACACCACAUAAAGGGCUUAUAAGUAAAUGAAAUAACAAGCAUGCCACAGUCGGGCGUCUGUGCGACACCACAUAAAGGGCUUAUAAGUAAAUGAAAUAACAAGCAUGCCACAGUCGGGCGUCUAUGCAACACCACAUAAAGGGCUUAUAAGUAAAUGAAAUAACAUGCAUGCCACAGUCGGGCGUCUGGGCGACACCACAUAAAGGGCUCAUAUAAGAAUAAUCACGGUGAAUAUCCAGGAGGUAGAACCAUCCCAGGGAUACUCAAUAAUUCAAAUAACAUAAAUGAUUAGUACAUAAUGAUAAUAAUCAUAAUCAUCAUACGUCACCGGUCAUAACCAAUGUUCUGGUUUAGUAGUUUUUCCUCCGAAGACCGACACUAAGACCGACACUUGACCCAUCCCAGACUGUAGUCCUUAACCAUGGACACGGCUAUUCGAAUAGGUAUAAUAUCUCUGCAGAGGGUGUACUCUUUACCCACGAGUAACGGAUUUCUUUAGUUCAUCGGAACUAAUUCCGUCUACAGUGUUCUAGUCGAAAACACGCCUGACUUGCACACACCAGCUUAACUUUACUCGUGUCUGGAAUCACCCAAACACCUGUUAAGCAAAACUCUAAGUGGGGAGGCUACAACCUCGCGUGGCAUGGGAUUAAAUUCUUGAGCUAACCAUAUCAACCGGAAACCGGAAACAACCGGAAACACCCAUGCCCCCGGACCAGGUGGCAUGCCUACCAGCUACAACCGGUAUCUUCCACCAUGGCCUCUCUGUAUGGUGUGUGCUAGGACAGGGGUUGACAACUUACUGAACCGUACCCUACCUACGGCAGGGACAAGUGGCAGCACGAAACAAGUAUGAGGGUUACUGGAACAAGACUCGAUCUACGGCCGACUCAGGAGGCUUAAGUAUUUCCUGCAUGGUUAGCUCAAGAAUUAUAUUUCACAUCCAUCAGACACAACCACCACUCAUCAUACCUCCCCCUGCCCCACCAGUCAUAACCGUCUCGACGAAGGACAAGCUCGUGUCUACCCAAGACAGAGACUUUCCCGGAUCCUUCCCAGUAGGCAUGAGAGGCAUAUGAGGGUGAUUGCUAUCACAAGUAUGUCCAUUUCCAACAGCAAACAUUUCCAUUAUUGCAUUCAAGGUGUAUGAUCAUAUCGUCACAUAAAAAUAACUAAUGCUUCAUGUCGAGGUGGUGUUAUAACCGUAUCAAACAAUCCCCAAAGUAUAUUAUGCCAGGGUUCAGAAUGCUUGCCUUCAAGUGUGGAGAGUCAGGGUGCAUUCCAAAACUUUGAAAGUUUUCUUCUCUCUCCCACAAAUCCUAUUUUUGGAAAUAUUUAAAUUAACACAUAGUUUAAAAACAGUAAAAAAAGUUGCUUGGAAAAUUUUGAAAUAAAUAUGAAAAUAAACUAGACAAUAUUUGACGAAUAACAGAAAAAGAUUCAAGUCAUUUGGAUUCAUAUUUUUAAAGUUAUAGCCAGUCAAAGUUUUGGUCAAAUCUGUUUUUAAAAUAAAACAGAAAAGAAAACGUUUCAAACGAAAUACGCUUUCCGGGUAGCGAAGACGUACUCUGGGGUUUACGUCUUCACUUAUCCAGCAUGGACCGGCUCGUGGUCACUGACAGUGGGUCCAGCGGGCCCACUGGUCAGGUUUGACUGAUCUCCACUCCCUCCCAUUUCCUCUGCCUGAGCGGGGGCAGGACUCCAGCGAUCGUCGCCGGCGAACGGGGGCUACUCGAGGGCAUCCGAGGCCAGGUAUGAAUCCGCCACUCCUAGGCAGUCCUCCCGGUGGUCGACUGGCUGGCGGGGACGGAGGGAAUCGCCAGCGACGAGCUCUACGGCGGAGAGAGCUUCGGGCAGGUUUGGGGCUCUGGGAUACCGUGGCUCCCGACCGUGUUUGAGGUGCUGGGCAGCUCCGCAGGGUCAAGGGGAGUCGAGCGGUGGUGUUGGAAAGGCGGGGGAGGCCCUGGCUGCGACAGACGGAGUUGGGGCGUGGCGGCGACCGAACCGACCGGAGACAGAGAAGAUGGCUUUCCCCCAUUGAUUUCGGGCUGCGGGUGUGUUGUGGGAGUGGCCUGAGGUUACCUGGGUGCUCGGAGGAGCUCGGGGGCCUCCUUUUAUAGCGCAACGAGGUCGGUUCGCGACGGCCGUGGAUAAGCUCGUCGGUGACCGCCGUUCUGUUGCUGCAGGCGACGUGGCGAUGACGUGCGCUAGCGGACGGCCUUGCGAAUGAGGUCGGGUUGUUCAAAGGGGGCAGCUAGCGCGCUGCUGCGGCUUGGGUGGUGCCGUCCACGGCAGAGCCCUGCUGCGACCGUCGGUGGCUAGCGUCGGUGGCGCUGUGGGGUGCCAGGAGGAGGGGCCAGGCGGCUCUGCGGCGCGGGAGGAGUUGGGGCACUGGCUGUGGGCGGCUAAGGGGCAGCACAGGCAUGGGUCAGGCGGCAGCGAGACGCGGCGGCUCGGUGCGCGCGUGUGCAAAACGUGCGCUCUGGGCACGCCCAGCGCACGCACGCUACGUGCUCGACACAAUGCCAGAGCUUGCUAGAGGAUUAGGUUGGGGCUGGGGACUAGCAGGCCUGGGUUAGGGUUAGUUAGGAGCUCAAUGGACAUGGUUGUUAGGUCAGAUGAUCAAGAUCACAAAGCAAAUCAAUAAUCAUGCCAAAUCUGCUCAUACACUCAAGGUGUUCGACAGAAUGCUAAGUGCAUCUAGGCAACUCUUGGGGUGGCCCAAAUUUCCACAUCAUAGCCUCUCUAGAUGAAUGGGAGGGUGGUGAGGUUAGUUUGCCAAAAUCUCAAACUUGUUAGUGUAAGUUUUGUAAAUCCACAGUUUUGGACAGAAAGGAAAAGGCAUGGUUGCAUGCACUAAAAAUCCUCCAAUGGGUCCACUCUUCUGGACUUAAGGGUUUUGUAAGAUGGGCUAUAAGCAGGAUAAAGCACAUGGUGACUAGAGCAAAAAUAAUUAGGGUUGUUGUACAAAUCACCAAGCUGGACCAGAAUGAAAAGGAGGUUGAUUCACUCAAAUUUUACCAAGAACAUCAAUGGGUUUUUGCAUAAAGUUGAAUAAUAUACUCCUAUGAACAUCCCAAAAUUUUGGUCGAGGAUAGAAAGAAAUAUUUAAAUGGGUUGCAGUGCAAAAUUGCCCACUGGACCAGAUUUGAAAAAUUGGGGUAGAGCUCAAAAUAUUAAAUGAAUAAAAUAUAUUUUUGCAUAAAAGUGAUUUAAAAACAUCACAUGACAUCUCCAAAUUUUGGUGAAAAUUUUAAAUAAAUAUAUCAAGUGGUUGUAGUUCAAAAAGAGCUCCAAAACUAAUGAAAAAUCAUUUUAAGGAAUAAAGCUCAGAGAGAAAUAAUUGUGCAAAUAAAUUCCACUGAUAAUAGAAAUGUUUUCUUGAGAGGUUAAACAAGUCCAAUAAUAUUGGAAAGUUUUUUUCACUUGAGGUAAAAAACUCCAUAAUGAGGAAAAGGAUGGCUCUGAAAUCAAAAGAAAAUCCAGAAAAUUAAAAGUUUAAAUUUCCUGGAAAAAUUUUAAUUAAUAAAACAAGGUUAAAAUUUUGGGGUGUCACAAACAACUAAGUGUUGGAAGAUUAAUAUGAUGGAAGAUAGACCCGGGGGCCAUAGGUUUCACUAGUGGCUUCUCUCAAGAGCAUAAGUAUUCACGGUGGGUAAACAAAUUACUGUUGAGAAAUUGAUAGAAUUGAGCAUAGUUAUGAGAAUAUCUGGGUAUGAUCAUGUAUAUAGGCAUCACGUCUGAGACAAGUAGACCGACUCCUGCCUGCAUCUACUACUAUUACUCCACACAUCGACUGCUAUCCAGCAUGCAUCUAGAGUAUUAAGUUCAAGAGAAUAGAGUAACGCUUUAAGCAAGAUGACAUGAUGUAGAGGGAUAAACUCAUGCAAUAUGAUAAAAACCUCAUCUUGUUAUCCUCGAUGGCAACAAUACAAUACGUGCCUUGCUGCCCCUAUUGUCACUGGGAAAGGACACCGCAAGAUUGAACCCAAAGCUAAGCACUUCUCCCAUUGCAAGAAAGAUCAAUCUAGUAGGCCAAACCAAACUGAUAAUUCGAAGAGACUUGCAAAGAUAACCAAUCAUACAUAAAAGAAUUCAGAGAAGAUUCAAAUAUUGUUCAUAGAUAAAAUUGAUCAUAAACCCACAAUUCAUCGGUCUCAACAAACACACCGCAAAAGAAGAUUACAUCGAAUAGAUCUCCACAAGAGAGGGGGAGAACUUUGUAUUGAGAUCCAAAAAGAUAGAAGAAGCCAUCUAGCUAAUAACUAUGGACCCGUAGGUCUGAGGUAAACUACUCACACUUCAUCGGAGAGGCUAUGGUGUUGAUGUAGAAGCCCUCCGUGAUCGAUGCCCCCUCCGGCGGAGCUCCGAAACAGGCCCCAAGGUGGGAUCUUGUGGAUACAAAAAGUUGCGGCGGUGGAAUUAGGAUUUUGGCUCCGUGUCUGGUAGUUUGGGGUACAUAGGUAUAUAUAGGAGGAAGGAGUACGUCGGUGGAGCAACAAGGGGCCCACGAGGGUGGAGGGCAUGCUUGGGGGGGGGGGGGUAGGCGCGCCCCCCUACCUCGUGGCCUCCUGGUUGAUGUCUUGACAUAGGGUCCAAGUCCUCUGGAUCAUGUUCGUUUCGAAAAUCAUGUUCCCGAAGGUUUCAUUCCUUGGACUCCGUUUGAUAUUCUUUUUCUGCGAAACCCUAAAAUAGGCAAAAAACAGCAAUUCUGGGUUGGGCCUCCGGUUAAUAGGUUAGUCCCAAAAAUAAUAUAAAAGUGUAUAAUAAAGCCCAAUAAUGUCCAAAACAAAAUAUAAUAUAGCAUGGAACAAUAAAAAAUUAUAGAUACGUUGGAGACGUAUCACUCGACCUCGCCGCCGCCCUACUCAGGCCGGACGCGGAUUUCUUUACUCCGCCACCGCCGUAGCUGUCUUCCUCAGCCAAGUUAGGGCGUGGAAGAUCUGAACCGACGAGCUUCAAAUCUACACUUCCUAGUUCGUCGUGUUCUUCGUCUAGGGUAAUUGAAAGUUACUUUUACUGCCCUUGUUGAUUCUGAUGUUUUCUUCAAAUCUUCAAAAGGUGUUUAUUCCUCGACUCUUCACACACUAAACACCUCACAUAUCAUUUGUUCUUCAUCUAUUUCUCUAAGCAACAUUUUUCUUCAAGAUUCCUCAAUUGUGUGGAUUCUCAAAUCUGUACAACUAUGGAACCUAAGUCAAAGAACGCUUAGUGAAAUUCUUCAAGACUCACCUGGUCAAUUUCCUCAAACUUGUUCUUUUUGCAAAAACUUAUGAGAACACAGAUGACCUCUCCAAAUUCUUCGCACCUAUACUUUGUUCACAGGUACACAUCUCCGCUGCUGAAUCAUUAGGUUCUCAUCAACUUAACUCAUUUGCAGCGUUCCUCGAAGAAAAGUUGCAUACCUCUUCAGAGAAUUCAAUCAUUAAAAACCCUCAGCUGAAGAAAAUGGCAGAUGGCAAGAAAACUCAGAAGGGAGAAAAUAGGCUAGAAGUCAACACUGCAUUUGAAAUCCCUGAGGAUAUAUACAAGGAUUAUUGCACUCCUGAUGAGGCCAAAUUUGGCAAGGAGGACAAAAAUCAGCGCAAAGUGCGCAUCCAAAGGAUAGAGAGGAGAUGGGCACGGGAAUGGAGGGAGUACAGAUAUGUUACUCCCAAGUAUAUGAAGAAAUUCGCUCUUAAUCAUCCAUGCCCAAGACCUCCGUUGGCACCUGGCCAAGUGGCUGAUCUCACCAGCCUCAAGCGUGGUGAGGAUUAUCCUGAUGAAUGGGCCAAGCGCGAGGCCAAGCUUGCCAGAGUAGCUAGGGAAGCAGUGAGGAAAUUCAAUGAAGACUCUGCUGCUGCUGCCACUGCUGAGGCCUCUGCAAGUAAACCCAAGAAGGCUAUGCCAAAGAAGACGGCUCAUAAUCCAAGUUCUUCUACCCAAAUUCCCUCAUGGCCAAGUUCCUCAGAAAUGCCCUCACGACCAAAUUCCUCAGCAAUGCCCUCACGACCAAAUUCCUCAGCAAUGCCCUCACGGCCAGUUUCUUCAAAGCCCUCACGGCCAAUUCCUCAACCCACACCAGCUCCUCCAAAGUCCUCAGCUCCUCCGGCAAAGUCCUCUGCACUUGCGCAUCUUGCCUCGUGUCAAAGGACAACAGGCAUCUCUAUUGCCUCGGGCGCCUCUGCAAGUUCUUUAGCUCCACUGCAUUCUUUAACUGGCCCCACUCUGCUGAAGACCAAGGCAACUGCUGGACGAGGCUCUCGACCAAGUCCUCAAAAGAAGCAGGUCGCUUUUCAAGUGCCGUCAGAUGAAGACGAAGCUGAUGAUGAACUUGCUAAAAUCAUCAAGGACAGACAAGUCAGGGCCGCUAGAGCCAAAGGCACAAGUGUGCCUCUACUUUUGGAUCCAAAGUUGAUCCUUGAUUACAUUGAUCUCUGGCACAAGGACCCCGACACUCCCAUGCCUGAUUUCAAGUUGACUCCUGGCCAAAGUCAUAUGUUGACUCACUUCAUUCAAGAAGAGAAAUGGAAAUUUGAAAAGGCUAGGCAGAUCAAGAAAGCGCAGUGCAAAAAGGAGCGCUUCCUGGAGAAAAACGUUGUCUCUAUGACAACUGAAGAACUUGUCAAUAUGCAGUCUGAGAUCAAGAAACUCAGUGAUGAAUUUGACGCAUACCAUGCUGAUUGGCUGGGAGCCAAGUUUUAUUUUGUGAGACUCGCUAACAACUUCACCUCCAUUGUUGCUGCCAAAUCGCAAUAAGAAAUUCCUCAGGCUGCAGCAUCUGCUCAGCCUACUGAAGAAAAUGCCAGCACCGCUGAUGACACUCGGGCUGCUGAAGAAAAUGCUCAUUUCAGGGCUGAUGACUGCAUUCCAGCCGCUGAAGAAAUUGCCAGGGCAACCUCUAGUGUUGCGCCUGAAGAAAAUGAAGAAGUCAGGGCAACUGCAUUAGUUGUGCCUGAAGAUCUUGAGACAAAUUCCUCUGCUCCUCCUGUGCCUACACUAACUCCUAUUCUUCCAUCUGCAUCAGAUGUGAAGAAGACCAAGGCUGCAGAGCGUGCAGGUGUGAAGAAAAAAAAGGCAUCAACUGCAUCAGAUUCUUCAGCUUCGAAGAAAAUGAAGCCACUGACAAGUUCCUAUGACAAUCCAAUUGAUGUUGUUCUCAUCCAUGCCAUCAAAGGACCUUGUUCCUUUUGAUGAAAAAUACGUGACCCCAAGCAGAUCAGAUGAUGACAUUCCUUCUGCUUCUUCGUCAGAGCAGUUGGAUGAAGAAAUUGAAGUCGAUGAAAUCCCUUCAACCCCAAUUAUCACAUCGCCCAUGCCUCAGUUCACUGCUGAAGAGGCCGGCGUUGAAGAAAUGGAUGAAGAAGAAGAUGUGGACAUUGGAUGCACCAUGCCAGUGCUGAAUGAUGACUUUUGGGAAAUCCAGCACCCCAAUUCUCCUUUGUUCACUCCUCUGCAACAAAUUCCUCAGUCCACAGUGACUACUAAAGUUCAAAUGGGAUCUGAAGAGCCUCAUGCCACACCGGCUGUCCAUGAAGAAAUUCCAGCCACUAGUGCUGAAGAAAAUGUAAAUGAAGAAUUGAAGUCCCAGGCUGCCACUGAAGAAGAACCUGAAAAUCCCCAGCCUAUGGAACCUGAGAUCGAGAUCCCUGAGGUUGUGAUGCAAUUGACUGACACUCCUCACCCCAAGCCAAAUGAUUCCUUCUCGAAGAAACAAAAAUUCAAGGCUGAUGACUUCUUUGGCGAGCAUGUAUUCUUCACUGACUACAACCCUUAUGACUCUGCUCGUCUAAGGAGGAAGCGUUUCUGGACUGCCAGCCAGGCCAACUUCUAUUCUUCACUGCUUUUCAACAAGGACAAAAUCUUCUACCAUGAGCAUAUUCCUCACGUGGACAUGGAAUCGUUGCCUUCUUUCUCUUCUGUCCUCGGUGUGCUUCAUGAUGCAGGCCUCCUCAAUUUUGCUCUGACAUUGUUGAUUGGAAUGAAGAGCUUAUUCUUCAGUUCUACACUACACUGCAUAUCACAGGUGAUCCUGAAGAUAUCAACACCUGGGUCUUGGACUGGAUGAUCGAUAACACUCACUAUAAGGCACCGGCCUCUGAAUUACUUCACGCCCUGCCCAUCAGUCCACCCAGUGAAGGAGCUCGCUGCCUGUACCAAGAACCUGAACUCACUUCUCAUUACAUGCAAGUUCUAAUGAAGCCUCUGAAGCCCGGUCAAGCCACAAGGACCAAAUUCCUUGUGAAGGACUUACUCUAUGUGCCCAGAACAGUUUAUCGCAUUCUGACGAGGACAAUGAGUCCUAUCAAAGGCCAGGACUCAUCUGAUGAGGAAAUUGUUGGCAUCAUGAAGAAUCUUCUAUUCAACAUCAUUCAUAGCAUUCCUGUCAAUUACUAUGAUUUCUUCAUGAGGACUCUGGCAAAUGUUGCUCUCUCUCCAUUUGAGUUGAAGCCUUAUGCUUCUUGGAUUAUGAGAUUCCUCAGAACAAGGUCUUCACUCAACUACAAGGCUGAUUUUCAAAAUCACCUCAGCUACCUGCCCCCGAUUGAAGUCCUCAAGCAGACUUUUACUUCAACUGAUGAAAAGGGCAAGGCACCUAUUGUCAUUGAUGAAGGCAUUCGUCCAUUGGAUGGUCAGUUUCACAAAGCUGCAUCUUAUUCCACCAAUGAUGACUCUGCCACUCAUGACUCUGCUGCAAAUGCAUCCAAACCAAAUCCUCAAGCCACAGCUCCUAGGGUGAUGACUGACUGUGAGCUGCUUCUUAGUCUUCACCAGAAGGUGGAUCAAAACCAUAAAUAGGUUAAGCGUCAGUUUGGUUCUCUUCUUCACAACAUGACUGCUACACAUAAUGCAGUAAGAAAAACCAUUACUACCUCAAUGAAGUUUUCGGUCGCACCUGGGCUAUCUUAUCACAUCUGUAUGGUGAAGAAGAUCUGAAGCAAAUGGGUCUCAAGGAGAACUUUGACUAGUCUGCACCUCCUCCGAAGAAAUUCAAGAAGGUCAAAGUUCCUACCUUGGUGGCCAGCUCCUAUUCUUCAUCCCGCGACACCGACGAGUAUGAAGACUUGGACAACACUGCGGCAGGCCCUGCAACGACAAACGACCCCAACAAUGCUGGCGCUCCUCCAUCAACUUGAUAUUCUUCAGGGGCACUAGUCCACAUUUUUGAUCCUUUUGGUCAUUCGAUGACAAAGGGGGAGAAAUUUGAGUUAGUCUUCAAGCGGCUCUACAUAUAUGGGCGUUUUUUUUCUAAGUUACAACUCUCGUUCUUCUGAGACUUUAUUCGAUCGAGUUGUAAACUUAAACUCUAUGGUGGUCUGAUACUUUUACUGAGUUUUUCUGCAUGCUUAUUCCUCAUUAAUGUUAAUGCACGCAUGCUGAAUUACAUUAGUCACCAUAUUUCAUCAUGCAUUUCAAAUUCUUCAUAUUAUAUGUUAAAUGCGUGUAUGAAUUACAAGAUAUAGGGGGAAAUCUCCCUGACUCUACUCUUCAAGUGUGCAUUGCUUCAAAAGCAAAUUCCUCACUAUGCACAUCUUCACGGGGGGUUCUUCUAUAUCUUGCAAUAAAAAUCCUCAAUUUCAGUAUGUACACUUCAUAUGUUUAUCCCCGUUGAAAACUUAACCUAUAUUGUCAUCAAUCACCAAAAAGGGGGAGAUUGUAAGUGCAUCUAGUGCCCCUUAGUGAUUUUGGUGUAUUGAAGACUUAUAGGUUAAGGGACUGAUGCGUUUGUGAGUGCACACAGGUCUAUAAGUCUAUAAGGAGUUUGAUAUUUAGAGUGAAAGUCGGCCCCUAAAAAUGAAGUUCUUCGACUGAAGACUUCGGAUUUCUGGAGACUUUCUAAAGACUUUGAAAGUGAAUAAAUUGGUGUGAUCCUGAAGACUUGGUAUUCAUUCGAGGAACAUGAAGCAUGACAACUUUUGUUUUCGUAGUUUCUUUUUCUCUUUCUUGAGUCAUAGGAAACACCGUACUGUUAAAGGGGGUCGAGGAACUACUAAGGAAAAUUUUCCAAGUGACGCUCAACUCAAAUCCUACAUCUACCAAUCCCUUCGAGUGAAGCCAUUGGAAAUCUCAUACAGCUCAGCCAAUUUCUUCAGUGACAGGGACGAAGUUCUUAUGGUCUCUGAGGAAUUUGUUCUGACCGAGGAGUUGGGAAUUCGUCGGUGUGGAUUGCCUACAUAGUGAGGAACAUGAUAGCCCUGAGGAACUGGAUACUCAAAAUUCUGACCGUUGUCGUGCUAUGCGCCAGCUGUCCCAAAAUAUCUACCCACUUAAUGGUCAUAUCAUUGAAGGGCAUUUAUGUCUUAUCAUGUCGGGCUGCUCCCUAGGCUAUAAAUAGCCGCCCCCUACAACCACUAGUUGGUUGGCUGCUCCGAGAGAAACUGACACUUAUUAUUUGAGAGCAUCCCAUCCUCCGAGGACUUUGAGUAAAAAUCAUCAAGUGAGGAAAAACCCAAACCCAAACACCUACAAACCCAAAGUGAUUGAGCAUCACUGAAGAGAUUGAUCCUGCGUGGAUCUGACGCUUGUUACCUUUGAAGAUUGUGCAUCUUCCAGAUGGUUAGGCGUCAUGGUCUAGAGCAUCCAAGAGAAAAUUGUGGAUCACCGAGUGACCGAGUCUGUGAAGGUUUGGAAGUCACCUGAAGAAUUACCACGAGUAAUUGGGCGAGGUCUGUGUGACCUUAGCUCAAGGGGAAUACGGUGAGGACUGAGUGUCCUGAGCUGCGUGUUCAGGACUGGGUGUCCGGGACUGUGUGUCCUCAGGUUUAAAUACCUAUCCGCCCUAACCAGACGUACAACUGUCACAGCAGUUGAAACUGGUCUACCAAAUCAUUGUCUUCACCAAGCUACCUGGUUCCGUUUCCUCAAUCCUUUCAUUUCCUCAUUUCUGUGUUGUGUGCUUGUUCAUAUCUGUUUGAAGACUUUGACUGAAGACUUUCUCAAUUUCCUCAGUUCAAUUUCUUUAGUCUGUUUGUCUUCGUUCUGUUAUCCUGUGUUUACGCUUUCUGUACCCUGUGUUUGUUUUCAUUUCUUCAUGAAGACCAUGCUCAUGCUUUGUUAUGUUUACUUCUGAGUAUUUAUUCCGCUGCAAGUAGUUCUUCACCCAGGAAUUUCCUCACCCUGAAAUUCCUCGGUGAAGAAUUCAUAAAAAUCGCCUAUUCACCCCCCUCUAGUCGAUAUAACGCACUUUCAUCCUUGCGUCUUCGUUCUAAAAAAAGAAUUACCUUUGUUUUCUCCUCAUCUUCCAUCUUGGGAAGUAUGAAAGGAGAGCAUGGGUGUAGGGCAUGUGUCUUCAUAUAUGAUUUUGUAGACAUGUAGCAAUUUUGUGCUUUUCAUCAUGGCAAACUUUUAUGUGUUUUUUUCUUCUUCUUUUUGAUAUAUGUGAAACUAGCGGAGUAACCCUGGCAUUCAUUAAGAAGAAAAGAGUUGAUAUGUUAAUUAGAGAAAACAGAGCGAAAACCAUGUUUGCCUAGUAUGGGAAACUGGGCGAAAACCAUCACAACCGCUGAGUGACACACAUAAGAAACCCACGCACACCACCCUAAAGAGGGUCUUGGCGAGACAGCACGCAUGCGUCAUCAUCAUCACUCAUCCCCUAAAGGCGCCAUCGCCAUCCCUAAACUCUAAGCGAACGACUCCGACUUCACCGUAGGCGAUCAUCGACUCAACCCACAUCAUAGCAGGCGCGUGAAGCUACAUGUAGAUCUGCACCAAAAACUCGGCCACCUACGGCCAGACAGAGCAGCUCUGACUUCGACAGAGAACUCUGAAGGAUAAAACCAUGCAUGGCUGGCACCACGAAAGAUCGCCGAAUGGCCGCCUGUAGCCUGUCAUCGUAUACCACAGGGCCCCGUCACCGCAGCUUCGACUCUACAGCAGCAAACAAAUCGAGGCAAUAUCGUGAACACGUCGAAGAAGAGCCGACUACCGCAACCAUUAUCGCGUCGCUGACAUCGCCCCCACCAUCAUCGUUGCCACAGAAGUAUGGACACCACAACCACCACAAACCACCGUCCCGCUUGCCAAUGCCGAGCUCCGAGACGAAGCCCCCAAGAGGAAAAACGACACCAAAGUGUCGUCAUCGACCGAUCGCAAGAUCAAGGUUUUUCCUUGGAAAGGCCUAGAUGGGUAGAUCCGUGUGAGAGGGGGGUGGCAACGAUACAACGAUGCCUCCAAGAGGACCUAUGAUCUCUUUGUUUGCAACAUAUGUCGUCUACCUGAUUUUUUUGCAUGUAACAUAUAUUUUUCUUUUGAUUGUAAUUGUUAAAAUUAAGAGGAAUGGAACAUAUAUUUUUGGACUGCUUUCCUCCGGUUAUGUUUUUUUAGGUAUUUCCUCAACCUAUGCAUAUGUACAUGAGAUUUUUUUUUACAAUAUUACGUGACAUUGGAUUAGGCGGCAGGUUGGGUUAUGUGUAGCGUGCCUUGCUUUUAUUGUUUUCUUCUAGUAGAAUUCGAAGCAGAAUUAAACUUGUCGUGUCUUCUUCUGCACGUGAAUUUCUUUAGGCUUUUCACAUGCACGUGAUUUAUGAUUGCGCUUUUCAAUCAUACAUACAUGUACGUGACAAACUUGUCACUUUACAUGGGCAAAAUAGUGCAUGCACAUAAUAUUUGUAUGUAAUGUUUACAUCUUUAAAUCUCAACCGUUUGUAUAUAAAGUUAAUGAUCCAGAAUUUUUAUCUGCGUGGACGAACGGGAUGGCUUGUUUGCCUAUUGUUUUAAGUAUAUAAUAGAAAGAUAGAUAGAUUGUUAUGUUGUACAUGACGACAAAUUUAUGCUUUAUUUGUUCGUUUCAUCGUGCUAUGAUAUCAUAUCUUUCUUGAAACUUGCCAGGCUUUCAUAAAGUUAGUAAUGGUAACAUUUUUAUGGAUGACAAUUUUAUUCUACAAGUCAUGGCAAACUAUUUGUAUUUUUGCUUUAUACAUUAUUAUUUUCUAGACUUUUGGCAAUUUUAUGUUCAUGUGUAUUUGUUGUGUUUUGCUUCUUUUGUUCUGUUCAUGUGUAUUUUUUGUGGUUUAUGUCAUGGCAAAAAUUUGUAUGUUUAAGCAUGCUACGACCAUACAUCUCAAAAAAUGCCAUAUUUUUUAUAUCAUGGACACUUUUCUCUGGUUUCUUUUCUAGUCUCAGCAGAUUUUCGAAUGUGUUUUUGCAUCUAGUUGCCAUGUCAUAAUAGUAAAUUUUGUUGUGUUUUUUAUCUAGUUGCCAUGUCAUAUGACACGGCUUUGUGGAACGCGUUUCCAUGGGAACCCCUUAGUAUUCGGAAAAAAUACUAGCAAAAAUUCAGAAAAAAAAAACCUAAUCUUUUUAACGUACAUGGUCGACUGGUAUACUCGUAUGAGAAGUUUCAUGAAGAAAAUGACAUCUAUGGUAUUCUGGGAAAGUUGACAAAAUUGAAGCUGUAUUCGAGAACACUGUUUGAAGAAGGAAUAGUAAGGCCAGAUAGUAUUUUCCGCACAAACAUGUAUCGUCACGCGGGCGGGUCCAUCCUAGCGGGUGAACAUUGCCUCACCCACCCGCCAACACAAGAGUACCUUAAAAAAGAAGAUACACGCAAGAGUGUUUGUUGAGACGAGAUACACGGACAAGUGUCACCUCCUCGGUAUAGUUUUGUCACUCUCUUUUUUGUUCUGUUGUGAUUUCUGGAUACAGUACCUUAAUCAGCGGUGAGGUGUGAUAAGACAAGUGCAAGAAGGUGGCACGAAGGUGACUCGGGAGACCGGGGCAUUAAACAACACCGCCGAUGCUGCAGAGGCUGACAAAGGAGUGCCUCUGAGGUGGCAGCGGCCGGCCGUAGGUAUCCAAGGCGAGGGAGGCUGCUCUUGGUAAUUUGAUUUGGCUGCGUGCGUCUGGAAAUGCCUUGAUAUUUACCAUGACUGUGUUGUUCCAAUGCAAAUUUUGGUGGUCAAAUCUGCAUUUCAGAAACUACUGUGCCCACUGCCCGGUGCCAGCCUUUUCUCUAGGGCGCAGUGCUGGCUGUGGCUAGUGCAGCGUGCAGAGUGCAGAUGCAAGUCAGAGUGCAGAUACAGCUAUACAAGUGUACUUGCCUUUUUGAGUUUCGAGGAUUCAAAAACCCCAAACCAACUGCAGCUCCGUCACUCAAUGCGAGGGCACCAACUCAGAGCCAAGAGCACUUUAUGAGCCAUUUUUUCACCUGGUGAUUUGACUCAUCAUAUACAUUCUCCACCAUGGAGACAUUUUGCCACAGAUUGUUCUUUCUUAGAGAUGUCGCAGGCACAUAAUACGCAUUGAGGUCACCCGUGCAUGCAGCACCCAGCCCAAACGCCAAAAAUAGCACGACUUUUGUUAGGUGCUAGUCAUAUGUAGUCAUCAGUAUCUGUGUUUAUAAAAACAGAACAAAAUCAAAGCUUGUCUGAUGAUCAUAACAAGAGACAAGACAGAGGCACCAACUUAAAAGAAUCCCCUAACCUUCAUGCGCGUCUUCCUAUCACCGCACAAUAUAUUCUUUGUCUCAUCGUCUCUUCUCAGAAAACACGUUUAGUUGGCCUUCUCUUCUUAUAAGCACCCCACCCCACCCCACACCCAUCUCCAACCCCAGCUCCUCUUCUCCUCCUAGCUCAUUGUUCAAACUUCAAACACAUAUUUUCUGUCUACUCUCUAGUCUCUACUUCCUCAUUGCCCAUAAGCUCCUGUGAAUGGCGUGCCUGUCCUCCUCGCCGUCCGGCCGGCGCCUGUCGGAGCUGCUGGAGGAGAGGCAGGAGCCCUUCUCCCUCGACCUCCACCUCCUGGAGAAGGGCUGCUCGGGCCGGCUCCUCGAUGGCUAUGACACCGCCCUGUGCUGGCCAGCCGCAGCCGCCGGCAACGACGCGGCAUCCGUGCUCAAGCGACUCACCAGCAAGAAGAAGAAGGCGGCAGCGAGCACCCGUGGUAAGCAGCAACCGGCGGCGGGCUCCGGGCUCCUCCGGCUGCUGCUCUCCAAGAUCCUCCACGGCAAGGCGGCCAACCACAACAAGCCCGCCGCCCUGCAGUGCUCCGAGUCCUUCAAGAGGGUCGCGCCGUCGCCGUUGCCCUGCUCCAAGCAUCUCGACGCCGUGAAGCUCAGGGCCGACGCAGGGGUCGCCGGCGGCCAGGAGACGGAGUAUUCCGACUCCGAGUAUGACGACGAGAAGCAGCAGAGCCCCGUCUCCGUUUUGGAGCACCCGUUCGAGAGCUCUCCUGUCCACGGCCAGAGCAGGUUCUCCUACGUGCAAGACUCGCCCAAGAACGCCAUGGCCAUCGUCCGGGAGCUCCUCAUGGAGAUGGAGACGGCGUACACGCCUGCGCUGCGCACCCAGUUGUUCGCCAAGUCUGAGGACCUCGUCAAUGACGCCAACGAUCUUGCCGACCACGACGGCGGCGACGACUACUACUAUCGCACGAGCCCUAAGAAUUUCCACGAGGAAGACGGGACCACGGCCGCCGGAAGCCCCGCCGCGAGCGCCGCCUACUGGGCGACGCACCGAGCGGAGCUGGCCAGGGUGUCCGAGCUAGUCUCCUCGGAGGUGCCAAGGUCGAGACUGGACGCCGCCAGCGUGCAGCCGGAGCGACGGGACGUCAGCGCCGACAUAGAGACCGCUUUGCUCGAUGCUUUGGUGCUGGAGCUCGUCAUGGAUCUCGGUGGCUGCUGAUCGAUGGCGCCCAAUCUGCCAGUGUAGGUGCAGGACCAAGAACAGAGCGGCCACCUCUGCGUUGCUCUGUUUUUCUUGAAGUAGUUGCUCAUAGGCCGGGCCCUAGUACUCAGUGCCAAGUGGAGGCUGUAGACUGAUAAGCAGAAAUUAAAUAUAUUAAUUAAUUGAUUUGUUUUUUGAACACUUAAUUGAUUUGUUCUUUAUGGCUUAUAAACAGACCGAACAAGCUCUGUAUUUUUUCCCAAACAAAUAAGGUCUGUAUUUUUUAGAUAGACUAGGACGACGCACUUGCAUUGCGUUGUAACGGGAUAUAAAUAUUUUAGUAUCUUAGUUCGUGAUUUAUCUAGCGUUAUCAUGUGAUUGUGUAAAUAAAUAUUUAUCAAAUUCUGCUCGUUAUUUACUUUAUAACUAGAUGAUGCCCCGCGCGUUGCUGCGGGAAGUUUGAACAAAUAAUUUGUAAGGAAUAAAUGCCAACUACAUGAUAUACAUGUGAAAGAAAAUAAGGUAAUAAAGCAGAAGCACCAUGUUGUAUUAUCAAUGCAUCAAACGGUGUUUCAAAAAUUGAGAAUAAUUCAGUUCAUCCAAAAAAUGUGGCUCACCCGCAAAAAAAGUGGUUAAUAAAAAUUGAUCUUUUAUGUCCAUGCUUCAAGUUAGGCUAAAGGUUUCAGUUACAUUACAUCCUCUCAGCCAUUUAGAUGCAUGUAGAUGUUGGUGCAAAAUAGAUCACUUUUAGAUACAACACAUUCACAAAUCCUAGUAUUACAUGACAAUAAAAUGAGUAAGUAACAUUUGUUGAUAUUAUGUACACGCAUCAAUAGAUUUUGCCAGUCACUAAAUGAUACUCCCUCCGUCCAAUAAUACAUAUAUAAUUAUGGAACUGAGGGAGUAAUCCUGAAGCCUUCGGAUGACCAACAUUACCAAGUGUAUCAGGUUUGUUCUCUCUCUCCAAUUUAGUCUCAAUACUGCGAUAUGGAACAAAAAAAAGCAAUAUACUAUCAGUAAGUGUUGGGGAAAGGGGAAUCGUCACCUGAAAUCAAACAACUUCUACUUAUAUCUGCUAUAACAUAACUGUACUACAAUAGGUAAUAUACUUGAGUUACUAUCAGUAUAAAAAUAGCCAUUUCAUAAACCUGUUUGAACCCCUGUAUGAUCUAGUUGACGGAAUAAGAUAGAGGGAAUUAACUUGGACAAAUCAUUGCAGACGUAUAACUGGUUAGAGCAAGCAAAAAUAGCUACAGCUAGGUGACAAAUAUUAUAAAUAUUAAUAAGGAGAGAAACUUAUGUACCUUCUCAAGAAUUCCAAAUUUGGUUCAUAGCAGACUUCUUGCCACACAUCAUCAGGAAACCUAUAAAGCUUGAAUCAACAAUUUUUAAAAUAGAAAUGUAUAGAAUAAGCAUCAAUUAGUAAAUUCUUGAGAUCCAAAAUCGGAGUACAUUCAUGUCAGCAGAUGCCAUGGUCCAAGUUGUAGCAUGAGCAGGGAACAGAAACUGUUUUUCAGAUUAAUUAGAAGUCAUCGGAGAGCAAACAACGGUUGUGGGAUCAGGCAGGCAUGCCAUUGAUGCCAUGCUUGAAGGAGACUGUAAGUGGUGUGUGGUGUCGGCGACAGAUGCGGUGAUGUUAGCUCUUACACAAAGACCGGUCACAAGAAUUCAAAUGAACUCUGAAUUUGUAGUCAAGGAAACAAAUAGUAGACACGAAAUGGAUCUGACAACAUUAGGCAAAGCCUGCACCAUUAUGCUCUCACGGUUUAUUUGAUAGUUUUGAACUUCUUUUAAACAAAAUUGAGAUUAUUGAAAUUGUACAUACUACUGCUGAAAAGAAACUACACAAUAAUUCAAAUGGUCAUGCCCUCAAAGUAUGCAAAGAGAGGGCAUGUGAAACGGUUAUAAUCUUCUACAGGUGACCUGAUGAAAAAGAGAUGUUUCAUUAUCGAAUUUGCCAUUCAUGAAAAAACAAAAUUCAUAUAAGUAAAGCUCACACUAAAGAUAUCACGUAUUAAGCAGGCCAAUGAUGUUGAAAAGAUAUCCGUCAGCAACCAAAUGUAUUGUAUUCUGGUGAAAUCUCUAACAACAAUGACGAUCUCUAGAAAGGUACCCCCAAACACACAGCACACAGGGUGCUUGUAUAGAAUGCAAGUUUACAUAUCCAAUCAAAGAAAUAUUAAUUCAGAUUUGAAUGAAGCAAACAAAAAUGCAGAAUUAGCAAUGGAGAGGAAGUUCCAUCUUGAUUUUCGGCCGAAAAAACGGAUUUCGGCCGAAUUUCGGCCAUCUCGGCCUGAGGCGGAAAGUAUCUUUAGGCCGAAAUUGGUCAAAUUUAAGUCAAAUUGCAGUCAAAAUUUGGUCAAAUUUCAGCCGAAAUUUUUGAAAAUGACCGAAUUUCGGCCAUCUCGGCCUAGGGCGAAAAAAAGCUCAAACCGAAAAUCAAAACACAGGAGGAACUUGGGAAGAAUAUACCAGUAGGAGACAAAAAUCUGCAGAGUAUGCAUAUGCAGUGAUCGGGGCGACCAAGAUGACUACUUGGUUGUCGUCUAGCACACACCACCUGAGAUCAUGGGAAGACGAAGUGAAGCACCAUCUCGGAUAUUAUUAGGAGAGGGAGCGCCAAACAUCAAUUACUGAAUACCUACAACAAAAGUUAUAGAUGAGAGAGGUUGUUGUUUCUUCAAAAGUAGCUGUUAAAUAUAGAAGGCAGAAGGCGUAAAGCAGUGGGUGUGUACGCCUGUACAGUUCGGCUGAUCUCUUUUGAAUAAGAUUUUUUUUCAAGACAGAAUACCAAAUUCGUACUGAAGAACAGGUACUGAACCUUGCAAAUCCAUCGCUGAUAGAAAGGAGCCAAACUUCCUGCGCAGAUGCAUGAGGUCAGCUUGCCCAAAACAAAAAAGGCACCAUUGCUGCAGUAGAAUGCCACUUGCCAGGAAGGGCCACCAUUGCCGCAAUCAAUGUCGUCUCUGAAUCAGUCGAGGCGGCACCUGCGGGAGGACGUCGAUCUAGCACUCCUGCAAGUCAUGGCUAUCAAUGGAGGCCCUACCCGAUGUCACCACUACCCCAGCCCUUCGAGGCCGAAAAGAAAAAUGUCCACCGGCUGGAGACCUCCCCGGCGCAACGUACACUCCAUGGUUGAGUUGCCGGGAAGAGCGUCCAUCCAGGCGAGAGCCCAGCGGAUGCGUGGUGGGGAAGUUGAGCGGCAGCGAGAAGGGUUGGCCGCACCACGGGGAGCCUUCCUGGCCUUCUGUCAAGGCACCCGACACACGACGGCAAGGUAAACGCCGAGAGUGGUUGGGGUCGAUGUCGGCGCAGUGGCAUCCGCCGCGAGGCCCUCUUCUUCCAGGGCGGGGGCACCUACGUCGGGGAAGCCGGAGGCAGGGCUGGGACGACCACCUGUGGAUCUCGUUGCAAGGGGGCACGCCCUCGCCAUCGCUUACCUUAAGAAAUCGCAAGCGCUCCGGAGAGAAAUACUACCAGAUUGUAAGAGCAACUGAAUCGACAGAGUAAGCCCCUGUUUGGUUCAUAAAUCAUAGGACUUUUUCUAGUCCCAACUAAAAAGUCCUAGUCACUAAAAAGUCCCUCCCUGUUUGUUUCCAGAGACUAAAAAGUCCUUAGUCCCUUCCUAGAGGUUAUUAAAUGACCAUGUUGCCCCUAGUAUAUAGAAAAAUAACAAUCAAACAAGACCAUGGGGUGGCGGGCCAAUGAAUGCAUGGAGGGGCAUUAUUGGAAAAGUUCCAAAAAGGCCCAAAAAGACUUUCCUUGAGAGUCUUCUUCAUUUAGUCCCAAAUGUCUAGUUUAGUCCCUAAAAAGUCCCUCCCGUUUGGUAAAAAAGUCUCUAAGAGGGACUUUUUCUAGUCCCUACACAAAAAAGUCCCUGGAAACAAACACCCCCUAACUGUGUAGUGGGAUUUGAUGGAGAUUGGAGAAGACGAAGAGGAAGGGGAAUCCGCUGUCGUGGGGAACUGAUGAGGCACUCUGUUGGGAAGGAUGCGAUGGGAAUCGCCACAGACAGAGACGUGCGUGGGCAGCCUCUCUCGCAGGUCCUACCCGCAUUGACUGAAGCUAACAUGGCUGUUUUCUAGUGUGGUUGGUCCCACAUGUAAUCCUCUAACUAAAUGCUGAUGUGGCACUGAUGAUGAUGCGGAUAGCUUGCAUGUCAAGAGAAAUAGAAUAGUGGGGAUGAACUAUUUAGGUAUUAUAGAUAUGCUGGGAAGUUUGGAAAGUAAUUUAAGUUGACAUUGGUGCAAGAAGUAAGUAAAUUAAUGUGAUGGAGCGGCCUAAAGGUGUGUCAAAUAUGGCAUCUCUACUAUCUAAAAAGAACCUAAGGUUCAUUUUCUUGCCAACGGACCGUGUUCUGCGCACCUUCGUACAUUCACCUUAUCUUUUUUCAUCGAUUGGCAAGUGAUGAUUUGAUUCAAUCAUCAUAAUUACAUGACCCAAUGGGCGUCACACCUUUCCUUUUAAAAAUUGCAAUCAUCAUAAUUAUAUGCCCUAGGCGUCACACCUGUAAGGGCAUAUUUAUCCCUAAGGUGUUUUGGUGAUUGAUGACAACGCGUUUGCGGACUAAUCGUGUGCCUUGAGUAUCCCAGACAUUUCAUCGCUAGGCACAAGACGGUUGGGUGCCCCUCGAAGACAGUUGAAGACGGCGUCUUUUCUAUGUUUCUUUUUGGUGCCGUAGUCAUCAUCGGUAGUGCCGUGCGGUGGCGCAGUAGUACCGCAGGUGCCCACGGUAGUACCGCUCCCCUAGAGCUGCACUACCGCUGCCCACCAGGCUAGUACCGCUCCUUAGCGGUAGUAGGGGCGGAUGUAAUUUUUUACAUCCGCACCUGCCGCGGUAGUACCGCUUUCACUCCGCGGUAGUACCGCGCUAUGCUGUCAGGCAGUAGUACAGCCCCUCGGCAGUACUACUGUGUCGGGUUUUUACUUCUUCCGUUUCUUCGCGGAAGUAGGCACGGAUGCUUCCUCCCCCCUGGCUAGGGGAUUUCUGCCUUGCGGUAGUACAGCAUGGAGGCACAGUAGUACCGCGCGCAUGGAAGUACCACCCUCAGAUCCUGCGCGUCAGAUCUGACCUUGCUGUCACUGGGGUUGCGGCAGUACCGCGAGCCUGUACGGUAGUACCGCAUGGCCGUGCGGUAGUACCGCUUGGUAGCAAGCGGUAGUACCGCGCAACCCUACGGUAGUACCGCUAGCCUGGCGCGGUAGUACCGCUGGCCGCGGGCUGGUUGGUGGGUAACGGUUGGAUCUUUGUCCUACCUAUAUAAGGAGUCCCCUUCUUCCCUGUUGACUUAUCUCUUCCAACCCUAAGCUCCAUUUUCGCCCGAUCUCACUCCCUAGCCAAUUAAACUUGUUGAUUUGUUCGGGAGUGGUUGAGAAGGCCUCGAUCCACACUUCCACAAAGAGAAAUUUGAUUUCCCCCACUAAUCCCUUGCAGAUCUUGUUACUCUUGGAUGUUUGAGCAUCCUAGACGGUUGAGGUCACCGCGAAGCCAUAGUCCAUUGUGGUGAAGCUUCGUGGUGUCGUUGGGAGCCUCCAAUUGAGUUGUGGAGAUUGCCUCAACCUUGUUUGUAAAGGUUCGGUCGCCGCCUCCAAGGGCACCAAUAGUGGAAUCACGGCAUCUCGCAUUGUGUGAGGGUGUGAGGAGAAUACGGUGGCCCUAGUGGCUUCUUGGGGAGCGUUGUGCCUCCACACCGCUCCAACGGAGACGUACUUCCUCUCAAAGGGAAGGAACUUCGGUAACACAUCCUUGUCUCCACCAUCUCCACUCUUGGUUAUCUCGUGCUUUUACUUGUGCAAGCUUAUUUGUAUCAUAUCACUUGCUUGCUUGUGUUCCUAUCCUUGUUGCAUCAUAUAGGUUGCUCACCUAGUUACAUAUCUAGACAACCUACUUUGAUGCAAAGUUUAAAUUGUUAAAGAAAAGCUAAAUAUUGUUAGUUGCCUAUUCACCCCCCUCUAGUCAACCAUAUCGAUCCUUUCAAUUGGUAUCUAAGCCUCGUCUCUUUAUUAAGGACUUUACCAUCCGAAGAGUAUGGUUGAUACCGUAGACGGUGUGGAGGAACACUCCGGUGCGAAUCUGACCUCGUCUACGGGCGAUGGGGGAACCUCGGUCUCUCGUGAGGAGUUCAGUGUGGCCUUGGAGACAUUGAAAACCUCCAUGACGACCGAGGUUGAAAGCAUAUUUACUAAAUUCCUUGAGGGGCUUAAACUAUCCACCGCAUCAUUGAAAGUGGGUGAUCCCACCAACAAGGUGACGGAUGCUAUCUCCGACAAGGGGGAAGCUAGUAGUGAAAAGGCUCCUUCUUCUAGUAGUAAAAAUGGCACCGACAUCUUUGCUCAUGUGGAACCACCACUUGUUUAUGGUGGACCGGUUCCUUCCACCCAUUUGAAUCAUGCUGGUCCUCCCCCUAAGAUUGUGAAAAAUGAGGACUUUGAUUCUUGGGUUUACCGCUUUAAACGUCAUUUAAAUCAUGUGAACACUAACCUUUGGAGAAUCAUUGAAGAAGGUUUCUAUCUGCAUGAUCCAAGCAACUACACUCCUUGAAAAGCCGCGGAUAAUCAAUUCAAUGAGAAUGCUCUCUUCAUCAUUCAAGAUGCAAUUUCACCCGAAGACCUACCUCAUCUUCGGCCCUUCGUCUUGGCCAAAGACGCAUGGCAUUGUGUUGUCUCUCUCUACCGGGGAAGCGCAUGCAUUCAACGCUCCAACUAUGAAGUGGUGCAAGAUGAAGCUGAUGAGUUUGCAAUGAAAGAAGAUGAAGAACCUCGUGAGCUUUAUCGGAGAGUAACCAAACUCGCGGUCUCACUACGAGAUCACGGGAGCAAGGACACGGAUGACAAUUGGAUCAAGCGCAAAUUCCUCAAGGUAAUGAUGCCCUACCACAAGGCCAUGUCCUCCGUCAUUCGUCAAAGACCGGACUUCCACAGUUUGACCUCAAGCGAAGUGUUGGAUGAGUUUGUGGCCAUGAACAUUUUGGACAAGACCACCGACAAUGCGGUGCUUCGUUCUCAAAGGGCAAAGAAGCCCAACCUUGCAUUGAAGGCCAAGCUCACCGUUGAAGAAGAAGAGGAAGAAGAGGAGAGCAACCCCGAAGAUACAAAGUAUGCGUAUCAUGAACACAUGGCACUCGCUUCAAGGCAAUUUUGGAGCAAGAAAAACUCGAGGCCAAACUUUAGCAAAAACAACUCAAAUGGCACGAAGAGCAAGAAAUGUGUAAGUGCUUGCUACAAUUGUGGCAACGUGAGUCAUUUUGUUGCGGAGUGCCCGUAUGAGAAGAGGGAAGGCAAUGGUGGCAAGCUCAUCCGAAAGGACAAGGCCAAGUCGUUCCCCAACAAGAGCAACUUCACCAAGAAGACUCCUCCCAAGGCAUUGGUGGUACAAGAAGAGUACAAUGAGGAUGAUGACGAUGAUGAAGGUGAUGAGUCGGUUGCCAUGGCCUCCGUUGCCAUUGUGACGACUCCACGGGUGUCUCUCUUCGACUCACCCAAUGAGAGCAUCACUACCAAGUGCCUCAUGGCUAAAGCCACCAACAAGGUAACCCCCAACAUCAAAACUACCAUCAUUAAUCAUCCUUCUCCGACGGAUAGCAUUAAUAAACUUGAGGGAGCUAAUGUGGAGGCAAAUGAGUUUGAGGCCUUUAUGGGCAAACUUAAGGGAAAAUCCAAGAAGCACUUUGUUGCUCUCUUGGAACAACUUGGUGAAGCCAAUGACAUGAUCGAGGCUCACGAAGACACCAUCACUAAGAUGGAAGGGCAUAGUCGUGACUAUGCCGAUAAGAUUUCGGAUCUUUCCAAUGCUCUUGAGGAAGAGCGUGGUCUUCGUUUGGCUCUUGAGGAGUCACACAACAUUGAUCAUGCUAAGUUAAAGAAAGAUUAUGAUCAUGUCCUCAUUGUUUCUCAUGUGCUAAACUCCGAGAAGGCCGAACUUGAGGUUGAUCUUGCUAGACUCAAAGAGGAGUUUGAUCUACUUGACAAGGCUCACAAGGUCUUGAAGGGUGCUCAUGCUAGCCUCAAAGAGUCUCAUGAUCAACUUCAAGUAAAGCUAACCAAGGAAAAAGCCACUUUUCCUCGUAUGAUGUUAAUUGAUAAUGCAAAUGCUACUAACCCAUGUUGUGAGCAUGUGCAUCUCGUUGAGGAGAAUGCUAAGCUAAAGGGGCAACUUGAGAGAGGUCUUGCGACUUGCAUACAAGGCAAGAAGAACCUCAACGACCUAUUGAUCAACCAAAAGGGAGUUGUGGCCAAGGAAGGGGUUGGGUACGUGCCCGACUCCAAGAACAAGAAGAAGAAUGACAAGAUCAAACGACCUCCUCCUCUCAUGCAAACAUUUGUGAAGGAGGGAGAAAGUGCCUCCGAGGAGAAGAAGAACAAUGCGAAGGGUGGCAUUGUCAAAAAGGGCAAUGUCACUCCUCGCAUCAAAGCCGGCGACUUUAAUCCUUCUUAUGUGUUAUGCCGUGCUAGUGAUGGGCAUGUCUAUGCCAAAUUCGUUGGUUCUCCUCAUGAAUACAUUGAAUGGUCUAUUUGGGUUCCAAAGACCCUUGUUACUAACAUCAAAGGACCCAUUACAAAAUGGGUACCUAAAACCAAGCAUUAAUCUCUUGUAGGUGUUUGCUUCCGGUGGGGGAUCAUGGUUGCUCGAUAGCGGAGCUACAAAUCAUAUGACCGGAAGCAAGGACUUGGUGGUGGACGUGCACAAGAUUCCAUCUAUGCCCACCAAUGUCGAGUGGGGUGACGCCUCCUCCUCUAAGGUAUUGGGACUUGGCAAGGUGGUCAUCUCUCAUGAUCUCACGAUCGAGAAGGUCAUGCUUGUUGAGUCCCUUGCAUACAAUUUACUUUCCGUUCGUCAACUUGAAAUCAUGGGCUUUGCCACUUUCUUUGAUAUCGAUACCGUGGCCCUCUUGUGGAGCAAGACUCUUAAAGUAGCCUUUGUUGGGCAUGUCGAGAACGGUCUAUAUGUGAUUAACUUUUCGGAGCGACCCACUAAGACCGCAACAUGCCUAAUGGCUAAAGUUGAUGUGGGAUGGCUUUGGCAUCAUCGUCUAGCCCAUGUCAAUAUGAGAUCUUUGCAAAGUUUCCUCAAGGGGGACCAUGUCCGUGGACUAACGAAUGUUAGUUUUGCUAAAGAUUGUGCUUGCAGUGCUUGUAUCGAAGGAAAGCUACAUGAGAAGGCUCACCCUCCCACGACUAUCUUUUACUCAAAGAGGCCUUUGGAGCUCCUUCACAUGGAUCUCUUUGGGCCUCCAUCCUUCGAUAGUCUUGAGGGUAGGAAGUAUUGCUUGGUGAUUGUGGAUGACUACUCAAGAUACACUUGGGUCUAUUUCUUCAAGAGGAAGAGCGAGACCCAACAAACCGUCAUUGACUUUGCAAAUGAAGCACAACGUCAACACAAUGCAAAGAUCUUGACAAUAAGAAGUGACAACGGCACCGAGUUCAAGAACUACACCUUGGAUGAGUUUCUUAGUGAUGAGGGGAUCAAGCAUCAAUAUUCCGCACCUUACACCCCUCAACAAAAUGGUGUUGUGGAGAGGAAGAACCGGACGUUGAUGGAUGCGGCAAGGACCAUGAUGGCGGAGUUCAAGUCCCCGUACAACUUUUGGGCCAAAGCCAUCAACACCGCGUGUCAUGCAUCCAAUCGGCUCUACCUUCGCAAGGGCUUGAACAAGACUCCAUAUGAGAUACUCACCGGUAACAAGCCCAACCUCAAGUACUUUCGGGUGUUCGCGUCUAAGUGUUUCAUUCUCAAGAAAGGUGUUCGGUUGUUUAAAUUUGAGGCUAGAGCUUAUGAGGGCAUAUUUGUUGGUUAUGCUACAAACUCUCAUGCUUACCGUGUCAUCAUUAAAUCCACGGGACUUAUUGAGGAGACAUGUAACGUGGAGUUUGAUGAGAAUAACGGCUCCCAAGUGGAGCAAAGUGGCACUUGUGAUGUAGGUGAUGAAAUUCCUCCUCAAGCCAUAAGAAAAAUGGGUGUUGGCUUUAUCCUACCCAUUGAGGAACCCCUUGUGGCCGAAGGAGAAGGACAAAGCUCUACUCAAGUGGAGCCAUCACCAACCCAAGGCCCACACGCUUCCGAAGAACAACAUGAAGGCCCUCAUCCUCAAGAACAUGACCAAGGGCAAGAUCAUGCUCAAGACGGUGUUGACACAUCAAGUGAUGCCCAAGGUCAAGUUCUCUCCUCCGAGCAAGUUCAAGAAGAAGAACAAGCUCAAGACGACGCUCAAGAUGAUCAAGUGACCACUCCUCGUCUCACCCCCGAGGAGGAAUUGGAGCGUCGUGCCGCCAAGAUUGCUUCCAAGCUCUCCACCAAGGAUCAUCUCAUGACGAAUGUGCUUGGAAGCUUAAGAAAGGGGGUAAGAACUCAUAGACAAUUAGCAAACUAUUGUGAGCAUCACGCGUUUGUCUCUUGUGUCGAACCCCACAAGGUCUAUGAGGCGCUAGAAGAUCCGGAUUGGCUCAAUGCCAUGCAUGAAGAACUCAACAACUUCGAGCGCAACAAAGUGUGGAGAUUGGUGCCAAGACCGACGGGGAACCACAAUGUCAUUGGAACCAAGUGGAUAUUUAAGAACAAGCAAGAUGCCCAUGGGAUUAUCAUUCGCAACAAGGCUCGUUUGGUAGCACAAGGCUACUCCCAAGUCGAGGGUAUCGACUAUGGUGAAACCUUUGCUCCUGUUGCUCGCCUUGGAUCUAUUCGCAUGUUGAUUGCUUAUGCUUCUCAUCAUAACUUUAAGUUACAACAAAUGUAUAUGAAGAGUGCUUUUCUUAAUGGUCCCAUUAAUGAAUUGGUUUAUGUCAAGCAACCCCCCGGGUUCGAGGAUCCCUACUUUCCUGAUCAUGUGUAUCAACUCGAUAAGGCACUCUAUGGCCUUAAACAAGCCCCACAUGCGUGGUAUGACCACCUUACCGAGUUGUUACAAGACCGUGGUUUUGAAGUUGGGCUAAUCGACCCCACUCUUUUUACUAAGAAGGUCAAAGGGGAGUUGUUUGUGUGCCAAUUAUAUGUUGAUGAUAUCAUCUUUGGUUCCCCUAACAAAGCUUUCAAUGAGGAAUUUGCCGCUCUCAUGACCUCAAAGUUCAAGAUGUCUUCCAUGGGAGAGUUGAAGUUCUUUCUAGGGUUCGAAUUGAAGCAAAGAAGAGAAGGAACCUUCAUCAAUCAAGCCACAUAUACUCAAGACAUGCUCAAAAGAUUCAAGCUAAGUGAUGUCAAGCCGGCUUCCACUCCAAUGCCCACCAAGUGCCAACUUGACAUAGAUCCCAAUGGUAAAGCAGUGGAUCAAAAGGUAUAUCGCUCCAUGAUAGGCUCCUUGCUUUACCUUUGUGCAUCUAGACCGGAUACCAUGUUGAGUGUGGGAAUUUGUGCACGGUUUCAAGCCGCACCUAAGGAAAGUCACUAUGUGGCAGUCAAACGAAUCUUUAGAUAUUUGGCACAUACCCCAAACUUUGGCUUAUGGUACCCAAGAGGAGCAAACUUCAAGCUUGUAGGGUAUUCGGAUUCCGAUUGGGCGGGAGACAAAGUGGAUAGGAAGUCCACUUCCGGAGGGUGCCAAUUCCUUGGUUGCUCUUUGGUAAGUUGGUCUUCCAAAAAGCAAAGUUGUGUGUCUCUCUCGUCCACCGAAGCGGAGUAUGUGGCGGCCGGUAGUUGUUGUGCACAACUCUUAUGGAUGAGGCAAACUUUAAAGGAUUACGGUGUCAUUUGUGACAAAGUGCCUCUUUGGUGUGACAAUGAAAGUGCCAUCAAGAUCUCUCUUAACCCGGUGCAACACUUCAAGACGAAGCAUAUCGAGAUCCGGUAUCACUUCAUCCGGGAUCACAUUAGGCGAGGAGAGAUCGAGCUCAACUAUGUCAACACUCAUGAUAACCUUGCAGAUAUUUUCACGAAGCCCUUGGAUGAAGCAAGAUUUCACGAGUUAAGGCAUAAGCUAAAUAUCAUUGAUUCGAGCAAUGUUGCUUGAACCCUUGCACACCCCACCAUACUCAACGUGUUGUCUUGUUUAGAUGUAGGCAUGGACAUAGGGGGAGUGUUGUUCUCUCAAUGAACUAUCCCUCCUCCCAUUAUGCAUAAAUUGAUCAAGUUUUUCACAUUAGCCAUGUUUGAUGGUACUUGUGCUUCAAAGACGAGUUUUGGUCAUGGACCCAAGGAUAAUUCUUCGUGGUGCCAUACCAAUUGACUCAAACAUAGGUGGCUACGGCCACCGCCCUCUCUUUGGAGAGGUGGUGUCUCGUGGUUGUUUCGUUUUGUCGUGUGCCUUUUUGCCUUUGUGUGUAGCAUGGUCUUGUGGUGUCGUGUUGCCUUGGAGUGUUUGUGCAAAGACCCCAUUUUUCAUGUGCUUGAAACGUGCAUCUUCUUGAGCCCACGGUACUACCGCGGCUUGCCGUGGUACUACCGCUUUGAGAGGCAUGGUACUACCGCGCCAUAGCGUGGUACUACCUCUCAGGUGCGGUACUUCGGAAGUACCGCGCCGAGUGGUACUACCGCGAUGGGGCACGGUACUACCGCGCCGUCGAGGGAGCGUGGGGGUUAUGACUCGGGCAGGGGAGUUCCAACUCCCCAUACCCAUUCACUUGUCUCUCUCCCCACGUCUCUCUCUCUUGCUCAAGAACGGCGCUGGAGGCCCUCGCCGGAUCUCCGUCUCCGGCCACUCUCCUCGGAUUCCGACCGGUGGGAUCGUUCCCCACCACUUCCUCUUGCCAUGGACCAAGGUUUUUCCCCAAAUCCCUCUUUUUCUUGGUUGUUCUCUCGCUUCUAGGUUUUUGGGGAGAUGCUUGUUGUUCUUGAGAUUUUAGGCCAAAUCUAUGCAAGAGUAGGAUGUAGGAGAGUCAUGUUGCGUAGGAAUCAUACUUGAUAUGUUGUCUUGUGGUAGAUUUGUCCAACCGUAGUACCGCCGCGGUUUCACGGGCUUUUCUCAGAUUUGAACUUGUUCGGAUCUGACGCGGUGCGGUACUACCGUGUCUCAUGUGCGGUACUACCGCUCGUGCGGUACUACCGCCCAUCAAGUGCGGUACUACCACGCUAGCUCGUGCGGUACUACCGCUCAUCAGACGUGGUACUGCCGCGCUAGCUGAGGCACUAAGCUCAUACUACCGCUCUUAGACCCGGUACUACUGUGACCUUACACGGUACUACGCGUCUAAGAGCGGUACUACUAUCUUAGUUCCGCAGCACUUGGCAGUACUAUCGUAGGGGUCAAAUCUCUCUCUAGGCAAUUAUCUUGUGUGCUUUCUGCAUGUUUCUUUUGCUUUGUUGUGGUCUUUGCAUUGAUCCCUCUUGUUUGUCAUGGGUGUUUUGCGUUUUGUGUCUCAGGUGGUGGCUCUCGCCGUUCCAAUCCCAGUCGUGACACUGGCUCCAAGAGUCUGCGCAACCCCCAAGAUGAAGCCCCAGAGGGCUCCAAUGCCCCCAAGCGCAAUGUCAAGACCACUGCCAGCAAGCAAAAGGAACCUGCUAAGGGCAUGGACGAGAUUUCAGUCUCUGAGUAUGUCAAACGCCGGAGGAUCAAUCCCUAUGUGAAUCCUCGGGCUAUCCUUAGAGGCACCAAGUUGUUCUGGACCAAGCAACAGGCUCUCAUCUAUCUGGAUGUGAUCAAGAGCAAGCAGAAUACCUUCAUGGAUGUCAAGUGGAUAGACAUGCAUCACAUGCAGAAGGACAAGUUUUGUGACUAUUUUGGAGAGGCUCUUGACUUAGUGUAGCAGUUUGCUAUUGAGCCGGUGAUCUCCUUUCACCUUGACUAUGACCCUGAGCUUAUCUGUCAGUUCUUUGCCUCAGUGUACUUUCAUCCCGGGGAUGAGCGGAGGAUGACCUGGAUGACCAACGGCCGUCAGCUAUCUGCUACAUGGAAAGAGUUCAUGGAUCUGCUUCACAUUCCUAAUGACGGGCUUCACACCCCCGUUGGUGUUCGCCCCCACGCCAACUCUGAGUGUGCCAACAAGAACCUGCUUCAUCCUUUCCUUGUUGAGAAGGUGCUCCCCACUGGCAAGUCAACUUGGGUGCUGAACUCCUUUCUGGAUAUCAUGCAUCGCAUCUUUCGCAACACUCUAUUCCCACACAUUGGUGACAAGGACAAGGUCCAUGACUAUCUAGUGGACAUGUUGCUCCUGUGUGCAAAGGCACGUUCAUCUCAGACUCAGCCACUUGAUGUCUCACACAUCAUGUGGUGUGAGCUUUGGUUUGCGGUGUUCACUCGCAAGGUACCUAUCUAUGGACCGUACCUGUUUCUGCUGCUCUCCACCACUUGGAAGAAGAUGUACCCUGGUGAUGAGUUCCUUGCCCCAUACUGGAUUCGCCAUGAUUCCAUCAGCCUCCACGUCAAGCCCAACUGGGCCAACACCACUACCCGUGCUAAGGCCUCUUCUGCUAGGAGGGCUAUUGGUGAGGAGGAGGCUGCUACUAAGAAUAUUGCUGAGGACCGUGCUGCUAGGUCCACCACACCCUCCUCGGAGCGGUCGUGGGCCAAGAAGUUAAAGGACAAGAUGAAGACUCUCUUCUGCAUGCAGGCAAAGGGACAGUACAGGGCUCACAGGCAGACAAGGAGAGUCGCUGCCAUGACAAGAAGGUUAUGAGGCUCUUUGAGAGGAUGUGUCUGGCGGGUCUGAGGACGUCAUCACGCCUGAGGCUGCCUAGAUGUCGAAGCAGGGAUACAAGUGGACCAGUUCAGAGGAAGACAUCAAGGAGACCAUCCCCGCCAUUGAGUCUGACGAGGAGCACGAGGAGCAGUGGGACGACUUCUCUGCCUGAGCCACCCCGUGUCUGUAGGUGUCCUCUCUGCCUUUUUGGCGUCUCGAUGCCAAAGGGGGAGAGAGUGUAGGGAUUUGCGUUGUGUCGUGCUUGGUGUGUUUGUUUGGUUUGCUUGGUGUGCUUGUUUUCUUUGUUGUUUGGACCUCGUUUGCCUCGUUUGCUUUUGUUUGGUUUGUGCCUUCGAGACCUUUCCUACAUAUGGUGUAAGACAUAUGCACUCUAUCUAUCUUAGUUAACUUAUGUUUGUGCUAUCUUAUCUAGUGAUAGAUAUGCCUUGUCUCUAUAAUAUAGGGGGAGCUUUGAUCCUAGUAUGUGUGCCGUGCAGUCCAAACCACUCAUCUAGAUAGCACACAUCUAGGGGCAGCCCGUCUAUAUUCUAGAGAGGAGGGGUUUGCGGUUACUUAAUAUUAUUUCCCUUAUGCAAAUCCCGUAUUGUCAUCAAUCCACCAAAAAGGGGGAGAUUGUAAGGGCAUAUUUAUCCCUAAGGUGUUUUGGUGAUUGAUGACAACGCAUUUGCGGACUAAUCGUGUGCCUUGAGUAUCCCAAACAUUUCAUCGCUAGGCACAAGACGGUUGGGUUCCCCUCGAAGACAGUUGAAGACGGCGUCUUUUCUACAUUUCUUUUUGGUGGAUUUGAGUCGUAGGAAAGCCGUACUAUUAAGAGGGGGUCCAUGUUGGAAAGGUUUGGGUGGAAUCAUCACGUACACGUCUCCUUCUUGUCCCCUCCUUUUUCCCUUGGAGCUUCUUCCUCUUUCUCACCUCCCUGGUUUUGGCUGCUGAGUUGGGUCGCGGUAGUCCUGCUCCCAGGAAAGCGGUAGUAUCGUAGGCAUCAGCGGUAGUACCGUGCAGUGACGCGAUAGUACCGCAGGUGCCCAUGGUAGUACCGCUCCCCUGGAGCUGCACUACUGCUGCCCACCAGGCUAGUACCGCUCCUUAGCGGUAGUAGGGGCGGAUGUAAUUUUUUACAUCCGCACCUACCGCGGUAGUACCGCUUUCACUCUGCGGUAGUACCACGCUAUGCUGUCAGGCAGUAGUACCGCCCCUCGGCAGUACUACUGUGUCGGGUUUUUGCUUCUUCCGUUUCUUUGCGGAAAUAGGCACGGAUGUUUCCUCCCCCCUGGCUAGGGGAUUUCUGCCUUGCGGUAGUACCGCAUGGAGACGCGAUAGUACCGCGUGCACGGAAGUAACGCCCUCAGAUCCUGCGCGUCAGACCUGACCUUGCUGUCGCUGGGGUUGCGGCAGUACCGCGAGCCUGUACGGUAAUACCGCAUGGCCGUGCGGUAGUACCGCUUGGUAGCAAGCAGUAGUACCGCGCAGCCCUGCGGUAGUACCGCUGGCCUGGCGCGGUAGUACCGCUGGCCGCGGGCUGGUUGGUGGGUAACGGUUGGAUCUUUGUCCUACCUAUAUAAGGAGUCCCCUUCUUCCCCGUUGACUUAUCUCUUCCAACCCUAAGCUCCAUUAUUGCUCUAAGCUCCAUUUUCGCCCGAUCUCACUCCCUAGCCAAUCAAACUUGUUGAUUUGUUCGGGAGUGGUUGAGAAGGCCUCGAUCCACACUUCCACCAAGAGAAAUUUGAUUCCCCCACUAAUCCCUUGCGGAUCUUAUUACUCUUGGGUGUUUGAGCAUCCUAGACGGUUGAGGUCACCACGAAGCCAUAGUCCAUUGUGGUGAAGCUUCGUGGUGUCGUUGGGAGCCUCCAAUUGAGUUGUGGAGAUUGCCCCAACCUUGUUUGUAAAGGUUCGGUUGCUGCCUCCAAGGGCACCAAUAGUGGAAUCACGGCAUCUCGCAUUGUGUGAGGGCGUGAGGAGAAUACGGUGGCCCUAAUGGCUUCUUGGGGAGCAUUGUGCCUCCACACCGCUCCAACGGAGACGUACUUCCUCUCAAAGGGAAGGAACUUCGGGAACACAUCCUCGUCUCCACCGUCUCCACUCUUGGUUAUCUCGUGCCUUUACUUGUGCAAGCUUAUUUGUAUCAUAUCACUUGCUUUCUUGUGUUCCUAUCCUUGUUGCAUCAUAUAGGUUGCUCACCUAGUUGCAUAUCUAGACAACCUACUUUGAUGCAAAGUUUAAAUUGUUAAAGAAAAGCUAAAAAUUGUUAGUUGCCUAUUCACCCCCCCCCUCUAGUCAACCAUAUCGAUCCUUUCAACACCUUCCCUCAAAAAAUCGCAAUCGGCAUGAUUACAAGAUUUGGCUCCCGUGGCAAUGCACAGGCAUAUACCUAAUUAUAAAAAACAGUUGGAUGAAAAAAAAUAGAUGGAGAAACAUGGUGGGGUGGAAACUAGUUGACGAAGAGUUCGGCCUAGCACAAAAAAGAACACUAUUUAUUUUUGAAGUACUAGAGAUUUAAGUAGUAGAGAUAGAAGGCGCAAACAACGCCAAACUUUAAAAUAAUAAAUCCAACUGACCAAAGUGCAUAUACAACAAUACCAAUAGCAACAGAUAGAACAUUACAACCCCUCUCAAACAAAGAUAGAACAAAGCAGGGGCGGACCUACGUGAAGAGCCGUGGGGGCAGCUGCCCCUACUUGAUUUUUUUCCAUCGAGGUAUAGUACUACCAUGUGAUUCAUUAGUGCCCACACAAAGGUUAAUUAUUAUUAUUGAGUGAAAGUAAAAGAGACAAACGAAGAGUCCAAAUGAUUCACUAGAUCUAUUGCAAUGUGGGAGACCCACUUAUAUACAUGAUGAAGGGGUGUGUUGGGGAGACAUCUCUUCCCCAACAGACACCUCCCGGGAGGCAUCCCUCCCAUACAAUUGAUCACAUGAUUUUAUUUCUCAACACUGCCCCUUGAUCAAUUCAUCAUAUGUAUAUUGAAAACUGAAAACUCCUCCAAAAACCUUGUGAGAAAAA
rnacentral:lncRNA from 1 species